UCACUUCAAGGUUAUAAUCUAUUUGCAUAAAGUCAAGAACAUAUACAGACAGGAGUAUAAUAGUACAUACUUGGAAAACAACACCAAAAGAACCAGUUCCAACCACGUGCUCAGCAAUAUAACUGACAUUCUGUCAAUCAAAACAAAAAGUAAAAUAAUGCGUGUCAGUAACAAAACCAAAUAAAUUGAAUUUCAAAAGAAAAUUUGCAAGCUAAUUCAUUUUUCUUCCAACCUGCUUUGAAUGACCAUUUCGGCCACCAAUGGUUGUUCUAAUCACAUGCCCUGUUUCAGCACCCACUCCAUCAACUACAUCAGGUUCACUAUCCUGCAUGGACAACAAAAGGGGUCACUUACAAAGUAUAAAAGCAUUUUGCAAAGAUUGUGAACUUCUACUUAAGGUUUCAACAGGCAAACUACCAUAUUUUCAAUUAGAUAUUUUGGCACGUCCAAUCCCCCACCCCAACCCCUCUCUAUAUAUAAAUUGAGCUGCUUACUCUGUCUUCGUCAUGGUCCACUUUGUCUCUCAAUCUCAUUUCAAGCAUUUCUCUCCCCAGCCAAUCAACAGAACUAGAAGAACUUUUGAAACUGUUGACAGACCUUGAACUACCUGCUCCACCAUUUCCUAGGCUUGCAGAAGCCAUAAUUCAGCCAGGAAACCUUAAUAGAUUCUCUAGUAUUUGCUAUCCACCAUAUACUCUGCAGUGCAGCUGCCCAUCCCGUCCAAGCACCAAUCUUCCUAACAGAUUCCCGAAAUUAAGAGUCAGAAACCUUAACAAAGAUAAAUAUAGAAUGAUUAGUUAACAUAAAUGGCCACCAACUGAGAUAAAAAGAUCUGAUAAGAAGAAAAAGAAAUGCAUCAAGAAAAUAGCUUCCUAGACAACAUCACAAGAAUAAACUCCUCAAAUAGAAACAAUUAUAUGCUUCUAGCAGAGGUGAACUUAAUCGUUUACAUAUUAGAACAAAUAACAACAAGAUAGAUAAAAUGGAAUAUUGAAAACAUGUUGGAAUUAAAAUUAUCAGUUCUUUGCGUAGGAUAUAAUUUUAGGAAUUUGUGUCAAAAGAAAUGCAACGAAACAAGGAAACUGGGAAACAAAGAAGAAAUAUAUUCUCAGUCAAGAAACGAACUGUUAAGACAAACAGACCAGAGCUUGACUUCAAAAUAGUGAGAUCAGCUAUAUAAAUUCAUUUCCAUGUAAAAGUUAAAGUCUAAUGUCGUACUCUCUGAAAGAUGCCCUAGAUUUACUGUUUUGCUUAAUCUUCAGUCAAUUAUUUUACCUUAAAAAAUGAACCUUCUUUCUAUUAAAAAAAAGCUUACUUCUUAGCAAUUAGUUUCCAUAAAAUAAUCAUUGUGAUCUCAAAAUAAUGUAAAAGAAAAAUCGAGGACAAAAUAGUAACAAAAUUAGCAAAAAGUGAAGAAAAUUUCACAGUGACUCACAAUCACAACGUGAAAUCAUCCGUCUAACUGGUAACGAGCUUCGAUCAGAUCCAACCCUAAUCUAACCAGUCGAAACACAAGAAACCACACCUAUGUCCACUCUAAGGACAAAUUUAUAGAAGAAAAUCCUUAAAAAAGCACUUCUGCUUAUAAUUAAACCUAAACUAUUUAUAGAAGAAAUUUUAUAGAAGAAAAUCCUUAAAAAAGCACUUCUGCUUAUAAUUAAACCUAAACUAUUUCACUUUAAAAAAAAAACAGAUCGUGAAAACAUUGUUAGCGUUUCGGAUACUUACUGGGAAGAGUUGGAAAUGAAACUUGGAACAGAUCAAGCGCAUCUUUCUCUUCCAAUCUCCGGCGUCCACUUACGAAUUCAAAGCAGCUCUUGCAAAAAAAAAAAAAAAGGAAACUAAGAACAGUUUCUGAUCUGAUCAAGUAUUCUAUUUUCUUGAUUUUCCUUUUUUUUAUUUUUUGUAAUUUACAUUUUUCUAUGUUCUUUUGAGUGGAGAGAGAGAUGGGGAUAUAUAUAUGGAGAGAGAAAGUGAAUGUUUGGAGUUUUAUGGAUGUUUUUGGGAAUGAAAUUGAGAACUGAAAAUUACCUGACAACCUUCAUUUAACCUAAUAAUUAUAAUCAUCAUUGCUAUUCUUUUAAACAAAUCCCUUCACUGUUGCUUCUAUUCCGCUUCCAUUCAUUCUAAAUUAUUUUUUGUUAAUCAGUUUAAAUCAACUUCUUCAAUCCCUCAGAAUAUAUUUGUUUUCCCUUUUCAAACUACAUAACCACGUAAAUUUAUACCUAAUUUAAAAUAACAUUUUAUCCCUAACGAAUCCAACAUUAUUAUCCAAUUUAAUUACAAAUUUCAUUCGUCCAACCCUACAAAAAUUGGAAAUUUAUUUUUUUAUAUUUUAAUUUAUUAGUUUUUUUUAAGUAGUGAUUUAAUAGCAAAUUUUAAAAGUAUUAUCCAAUUACAUUAAAUCUUCAAUUUUUAUAAAGUAGAGAGGUAGAAAUUUAGAAUCUGACGUGUGCCUAAUUACUUUACCAGUUCAAUUAUUUUGAUUUGGAAUAAAAAUAAGAAUAAUCAUAUAUUACGCCACCUAUUUCUUUAACUAAUUUUGUUUAUUUCUUACUCUUCAUAUUAUAUAUAAUUAAUCAUAAUACAACUUUUAUUUGUUUAAAACGACGAGGAGAAUUGUUAGUGAAGCUUUUUGCAUUGUUGAUCAAAGCUUAGUAUCUACAAUUUUCUUUUAUUUUAGAGGACGAGAUAAGAUUAAAAGAAUUGGAGGCAUCAAAGUGUUAAAUUGACUUUUUGAAGGCCAAAUUUUCAUUUAAUUAAGGGUAAACUACACCCAUGGCCACUUUUGUUUACCUUAGGUUACAUUUUAGUCACUUAUGUUUGAAAUGUUACGUUUUAGUCACUUACGUUAUUGUGUUGUAACAUUUUAGUCACUGAGCCGUUAAUUGUCGUUAAUGGUGUAAUGGUAAGCUGACGUGGCACGUUAAAUUAUCAUUUAAAACAAAAAAUUUAGGUUAAAUUAUACAAUUGGUCCCCAUAAUUUUUCGUUUUGAGCAAUUUAAUUCUUUUAUGUUCUUUUAACUUUCAUUCUUUAUUUUCUUUAUUUUCCAUUCUCUUCUGUUUCUCUCUCUGUUUUCCUACCUUCUUUAUUUAUUUUAACAUACCAGGAAGUCGAAUUGGUAGUGAAGAAAGAAGCAUGGUAUGGGUUUAUGGGUUUUGGUUAUAGGGUUUUGGUUAUAGGCAAAUGAUGAUAGUCGACUUCCUACUUCUUUUUUCACUGCCAAUUCGACUUCUUAAUAUGUUAAAAGAAAUGGGAAAGAUAUGAAAACUGAGGGAGAAACAAAAGAGAAUGGAAAAAAAGAGGAAAGUUUAAAGAACAUAAAAUAAAAAAAAUUAAAUUACUUAAAACGAAAAAAAUAUGGGGACCAAUUGUAUAAUUUAACCUAAAAUUUUGUUUGAAAUGAUGAUUUAACGUGCCACGUCAGCUUACCGUUACACCAUUAACGACGAUAUGGCUCAGUGACUAAAAUGUUACAACAUGAUAACGUAAAUGACUAAAACAUGACAUUUCAAACAUAAGUGACUAAAACAUAACCUAAGGUAAACAAAAGUGACCAUGGGUGUAGUUUACCCUUUAAUUAAAGAGCUACAAGAAAUUUAAUUAAAAUAUCAAAUUCAAGAAGGUUUGAAAAGGCAAUUAUACCAUUACCUGCUUCCAUUGGUUAACCCAGUUAUCAUGCGAUUCUUAAUUCGUUUAUAUUUCAUAUAUGAUAAUGUUAUACUUGUGAUUGUAUUGAAUUUGAAUGAGAAUUAGGAAGAAUUCCAUGCAGUUGUUAUAGAUAACUGGAUGGUAAAUCUGAUUUAUUAUUAUAGACUGGAAAUUAUCAAAUCAUAUACCUUCUGAAUUUAAAAUUAGUUGAUAUGAUUAAAAUUUGCUAUAAUAAACUCAAAUCAGUGCUUAUAUAAUUGUUUUUUUUUUUAAAAAUUCGUAAGAUAUUGCAUAAAAUGAUAAAAACAGGAAAGGAGAGUAGCCAAGGCCCAAGUGUCAUAGUCAUGGGUAAGAAAGGGCAAUUAUAUAAAUGUCGAGUUAAGGUGUCCUCCUCCUCCACUGCACAAGCAUAUAUACAUACCCUCUGUAACGAUAUAAAAGUGGUUUGUUUAUCUAUAAGAAAAAGAAAGAAAAGAAAAACACUAGUUAUGGUCCACUACCUAAUUAAAGAAAAAGAGUAUACUUAUGGACAUGUUCUGCCCCAACUUGUCUCUAAAAUUCUAUCUAAUUUACAUCUCUCUCUUUUUUAUUUUCUAAAAUUAUUUCAUUUUUAGAUAUACGAACGUUGAAUGAUCCAGAUCCAACAAAACAUGAUCUAAAAAAGGAACAGUAUUCUGAGGAGUCAUUCUGGACUCCUCUGAUAGUGCAUGAGUACGAAGGGUAACCUCUAAACCUAACAAUCUAUGAAUGUACUACUAAAUUUACAUAAUAGAGAAAUGUGGCGCUCGUUUCGCUUCAAAGGAUACUCGUCUUUUUUGUUGAAAUACCUUAUACAAAUUCUUGUUUUUUUACUAUUAUUAUUAUUUUGCCAGAAAGUAUAAUUUAUUCGAAGGAGAAACACUUGUCCAAUUUUCAACCAGCACUUUAUUAAGAGAAAAAGAAAAGAAAGAAAUCUCGUUGGGCAAUCACAUCAAAUGGCAUCAUCAAUUUGAGUAACAAGGGAGGUGGGUUCCCAACGACAUUUAAAUUUACCAUAUUCCUCCAAAACACUCAAAAAGUAUCAACGAAGUCAAAGAAAUAAAGAUCCAAAACAAGCUGCGAAGGAGGGUGACUUUCCUUCUCUUGCACAAAACCCACCUGAAAACUUGUGGGGCUGGCUGGCUGCCUUUUAUACACAAAGUGCUAACCCUAAACUAAAGUCCAGCAAACAAGACCACACCGCUGCAUUUAUAUUUACAGUUCCAGUUGAGUCCUCAACUGGAUAAUAUCUGCAGGGACCAAGAAAACAGUGGUAUCGUGUGAUUAGAAAAUCAUAACCUUCUUCUAUUCUCAACCAUCUUUCACAAAGAUGGAGAUUUCUUCACCCUCCCGUGUGUUAAUUACAGUGAUACCAUCUGCAACCUCUGUAGGUCACCCAACCUUCUGCGAUAAGAUCAUGGGUACCAAGACAGCCUACAGCAAUUGCAACUGCAUGCUCAAAAUUCAAGUGACCAUGCACUCUGCUGCAUAAAUAAUGAUACAAAGUGAGAAUGACUACAAUACCUUGAAAUAAAAAUAAAUGUAUGUUGCAUCCGACAACACAAAUGAAAUAGUAUGAACCAUGCAAUGAGGCAACACCCUACCUACACUGGAAUUUUCUUUCAUGUCGCACUCCUCAAGACAACAAUCCAAUUCAAUAAACCAAUUUGUUUCACAGCCACGACAAACAAAUUUUACUCGGAUGGAUGAAUUCAAGCAGAUUUUAAUAUUCCAUACUCUAGAUGAGAUUUAUGAUCAAUGUCUCAUUCAUAAUAUAUUAUCAGUAACACAGAUUAACAUUUCAAGGCACGGCUUCCGAACUUUUUCUUUUACAUCACCACUUUUCAUAAUUUGUAAAACUUCCGUCGAGAUUCUUGUGUUUUGUUUGACAAAAGAAUUAAUCACAAGCUAAUAACAGGAACACACUAAUGGUUGCAUUAGACCAACUUCAAACAAGUUAGCUAUGGUUUGACAGAUGUUUCGAGUCUUAAGCUAACUUGGCAACCACCUAACUAAUUCAAGGUGAACAUUUGAGGCAUUACCUGGCAAAAGGUUUAGACCUUCAACUAGACUCAAAAAAACAGACUGAUUAUGAUCUAACUGGCCAUUCCCUGAAUUUCAAUACAGCACUCCAACAGGCUGAGAAAUCAGUCCAACUACAUACUUCCUUUACAAGAACAAAUAGUUCACAUCAUGCUCUAAAAUGCGUAACUUUCAAGCUGGUAAAAAAGUGGCCAACAAAUUCAAAUCAUUACAAUAAAUGCGUUCACAAUAAUUAAGUGCUUACCAUUUUAAAAAUUCACUAAGAACCUGAACUAGAUUUCUGUACCCAGACUUGUUUCUGCAAAUUUGGAGAAUAAACAUUAACAGAAUAACACUAUUAAACAUAUCAGAUAUUACAGCACAAAUAUAAUCACCUCAUGAGAACCAUAGGCAGAAGCAUUGCCUCUCUUCCCUGGUUUCCCAUCACUCACAACAGAUGAUCCAUCAGCAACUGCUCCGCAUCGGCUACCAUGUUUAGAGGACCCUGCAUAAAUUUACAAGAAAUAUUGAUGAAAUGCAAACAAACACAAAACAGACAGUUAAUCAGCUUCCGAACACAAAGCUAACCACCAUCAAAAGAACUGUUACGUCCACUUCUGACAGUUUUAGGUUGCAUGCUCCGAACAUUAGAUAAAUCAACUUUAGUAUCACCAUAAGCCCCUGCCAAUUGUAUAUGGAAAAAGAAACAUCAAGUUCUCCCUAAGGAAAAUUAUGUUUUAUGCAGUUCUGGUUUGCUGCUGCUACUCACAGAGCACAUAAUGCAAAAUCCCAAGUGCAAACAUAUGCAAGUUCAAUGUGUCAUGAUAGCAAUCAACUACAUUUAGUAGAAAAUCCCCAGGAUAAUGAUUAUCCCAAGUAACAAUAAAAGCUGAGAUUUAACAUACCUUCUGAAGAAUCUAAAGGCAUCUGUGCAGAUUGAGAAGCAGAUGAUGACAAGGACUCAUCACUUGCAUAUGAUCCAUCAGAACGGCGAAGGGUCCAUACACCACGGUCUGGCCUGUCUUUGUUUCUCCUACGCCUCUCUGGCUUCUCACUACCAUGCAAGUCACUCCCGACCUUAUCGUCUGAACUGUUAGUAUCCUUCAACAUUAAUUGUGCAUGUGAAUGCCGAGAAGGUCGUCUGUCCUUUUCCAAAUUUGGGGCCUGAAGCUGCUGCUCUGACUGGACCCGAGAAGACUGACGAGCAUCCUUGUUUAAAAGUACACCUCUGAUAAUUCUGCCUUCACACCCAACAUUUUGUUUGAUAGGAGUUGAGCCAAGUAUUUUUGUAAUUGGCGAUGCAAUAUCCUGUUGACGUAACAUGCUUCCAGCCACCUGUGCAAAGAAUUAUAAUCAUAAGGAAUGCAAAAUCGCAAAACAUGGUGAUUGAGAACUAUAAUUCCUUCCAGUAUCCAUGUGAAAACAACAAUCUUAUUAGCAACAAUAUCACAUAUAGAAUGAGAGUAGCAUUGUUCCUUUCUCCCCCAAUUUAACCUACCCCCCCCCCAACCAAAAAAUAAUAAUAAAAUAAAAUCCUUACCCAUUCCCCAAGUAUGCAUAAAUGCACUCUAGAACAUGACAAAAAAGGAACAAGAGGCUCACAUGAGAAAAUUCUCUCUCUUUCCCUUUAAGGAGCAGAACUUUCUUUUUACCAGCAUCAGUAAUUCCAGAAACUCCUGGAAAAACAAGAAUGAGAAAUUUAAACUGGAAACAUGAAACAUGAGAAUGCAACCACAAAAUGAAAAUUUCUGACUGAUUACAAUGCCAAAUAAAACAUACAUAAAGCAAAGAAUAAUAGCUCACUAAACAAAGGAAAAUUAGAAUAAUAUAUAUUAGGCAUUUAUCCAUUAUCACCCAUACCACUUUCCUCUUCAGAUAUUUGAGUUCCCACAGGUGUAGCUAAGGUAGCAUGCUUAUCAGAAAGUUGCUUAUCAUCCCUUUUGGAAACCAGAAUGUAAGCGGACUUGUCUUUGCCACUUGCAUUUUUCAAGCUAUCCCUUAGAACAUACUGCCACCAAAAGGACAAGGAAUUAAUGAUAAAGAAACUUCCAAUAUCCGACCAGGAAAUCCAUCAAAACAACUAGAUUUAUUAUUAAAAGGGGGAAAAAAUCAAAAGCAAAAGUAUCGGUAAAUACCCAAAUCUACACAUCUUUACAACAUGAAAUUACAACUCCAUUACUAUUCAAGAGAGAAAGAUAUCAACUCAAAAAAUAUUAUAUAGUUUUUCCCUAAAUUAACCAAAUAUACACAUACCACCGUAGUACUACCCCUUCGCUUUUCAGAACCUCUUCUGGAUGAUGCUGAACUUGGACUCCCACCAGAUAACCCACCAGCUCUUUUGCUCACUUUCCCAUUAGACAGUGACCUCUGUGAUAAAAACACUAUUAGAACCAGUAAGUUGCAUAUGAUGAAUUGCUGGCACAAAUAGCUCACAGAAAAGCACUGAAAGAAAAUCAGAAACAAAUUAAAAGCAUAAAUAAAAGGUCCGAACUUCGACAAGUCUGAGAUUCAGGCUCUGUAAUUAAAAAAGUUAAAAAUGAAAUCCUCAUACUUUUUAGAUUUAAAAAUUCAAGUCUAUUUGGGGAAACCGUUAGCAUUUUCUAUCAAAAUUUGCUUGCUAUCAAAUAUGCUUCUGAAUUUUGUAGGGUUGUAUGAGUGUAUUGAUGGUAAAUUUUGAAGGAAGUCAACAAUUGGACCACAAUUUGACAUCUAAAAAUAGAUUUAUUCUUAAAAUUUUGAAGUAUAGGGACUAAAUCUCAAACUCCAUUCAAGUAAAGGGACUAGCGGCAUAUUUUGACCUGAAUAACAUAAAAUAAAACCAGGAAAGGAAAAGUUGGGGAAAAAAAAAGACAGCUUACUUCAGUCCAUUUAUCAAUAAGUCAAAAGGAUGGAGGAGAAAAGUAUUGAAAUCCUUGGAUAACAUUUUAUCGUUCUUCAGUAAUGAUGUCAAUGAUUGAUUUUAAGAUCGUAUUUCGCUAUCAAAUCACACUAUAGUGAACGAAAGAAAAGCCUAUUUGACUGUAAAGGCAAAGCUUGGUAAGAAAAACACCAAAUUAUAGCAAACACAACACAGCUCCUAACUUUUGUCAACUAUAAUAGGGUUGCAAAUAUUACCCGAGAUGCACCCUUAGCAGCUCUUUUCUGUCUAACAAAAUCCAUUAAAGGUGUAACUAUCGGACUAUCCUUUGAUACACCUGAAAAAAGCCAUUGUGGCAUAACAGAAAAAUAGCAAUACAUAAAGAUAAUUUUUAGUCAGUCAAUAUAACUACAAAAACUUUCUUCUUGUUUUUCCAAAAGGAUCAAAAUAACAACUUCAGAGAUAUGAAUAAGAUUCAUCCAACUAACCAGCUCUUUCUGCCUCCCUUCUCUCUAAUUGCAUCUCGGCACUAGGAAGAUUCUCAACUGGCUUUGCAAGGAAUUCAAGGAACUCCAAAUACUCAGGAUCUAGAUGUUUAUCAAGAAAAACUUGAAUUCAUGAAGAGGAAAAUAGUGGCAUAGAUAAGCUUUCACAAAUUCCACUUCUUUUCAAUUAUGAUUAAAUAAAAUCAGCUUAUUACCUUUGGAUAUGGUCCCUUCACGACCAUCCUUAUCAGAGAACUGCUUUGGAACACGUUGAGAAGGUGCAUACUCAACAACAGCUUUGAACUGAGCCCCUGAAAAAGAGAACAGAUAUUUUACUUUGAAAUCUACAUGUAGAAUCACUUUAUUGCAAAUAGAGGCUAAGAUAAACGGGGUAUUAAAGAAAAUGAGAUAUUCUACAUAAGCUUGUCAAAAAUAUCUUUUCCAUUAAGCAAUCAAGGUGCUCUAACAUCCCCAAACAACUCGUAGUUUUCUGAGGUGUGGAUUAAAGACAGAUUCAGAUCAUAUGCCUAUUUGAGGCUUAAAAGAGGAUUAAGUUUCACCCUGCUGCAAUAAAAACUAAAAUAGUAUAGCUUAUAACAAAUGAAAGCUACACUACAUCAAUUUCUAAGAAGUUAAAGGUUCAAGAAGCAUACCCUUCUCACUAACAAAUACAUGACCAUUAAAGAACUCUGCAAACUCUAAAACAUCCUCUGGCCUCUUGAAGUCCACGUAUGCUCUUGAAUAAGACAAAUUCUUCUGACUACAAAUAAUUUUGAAAAGUAAAACCAUAAUAAGAUAAUCUUUUGCUGUAAGCAACCCCUAGAAUUUCCGUUAUGAAAAAAAUACAACGUGAUAAUGCAAGACCAGCUGGAUUAAUUAGCCUCUCAGCAGUAUCUAAACGAUUUAUUCAUAUUUGAUCGGAAGAAUCAAGAACAUGGCAAAAACUAGUACAAGACAAGAUAAACACUCCUACUAAAGAAAGGCACUGAGACUCUGAGUAAGCAAAGCAAGGCCAAACAUGUCCCUUUACAAGAGACCCGCAAUUAACCCCACAAUGGCAUAAUCUCCACAUAAGACACAUUGGAUAUAUAUAUAUAUAUAUAGAAUCAACCUUUAUGAGGGCUGAAAGCAGUAAUUUACUGAAAAUGUAAAGGAAAACACCCAUGCAAUUCACUAAAGGAAAAUACGGCCAAAGUUAAAGAAAUAGAGACCGAGAGGGACUCCAUUAACAAAAAGAAAAAAUAAGGAUAAGAAAAUACUAAAAAAGUCCAAUGAAGAAUAUGAUCCAACCCACCCCCAAAAAAAAAAAAAACGAAAGAAAGAAAGGACAACCUACUCUUCCCGGGACGAAAGGAGAGCCAGUUGUAACGGCCAGAAAAGGCACUAUCGACUUGUUCGAGAAGCAUGGACUCCGUGAUGGACGGAGGUAAGUGGCGGAGAAUCACCUUGGUUCGAUCUAAAGUCCCCUUCAUGCCUUCAAAAAACCUAACCCUAAAAAUCACAAACCACAACAAAAUCCCCCUCAAAAACCCUUUAACGAGUUUGAAAUUUAAGAAGGAAAAAACGCGAGUGUCGCUGUGAGAUCACAUCUUCAAUGAACGGAAUUGGGAAUCGACCGAUUAGCACAUCGGAGCCCUAAUUUUUGCGAUUUGAAGCCCAAAUCGCCAUGCAGGAGUGCUUAACACUAAAUGAAGAAACAUAAUAAAAAAAGGAUUCCUAGGAAGAACUUGUAAAUUCUUUAUUUAUAAUUUAUGAUAUUUCGGUUAUGUCUUCAUUCUAUUUUAGGCUAUUUUAGUUUCAUUCUUUUUAUUUUAUUUUAAAAAGUGCCCGGACUUUUGAGUAAAAUUGAUAUAUAUAUAUGGUUUUUAGAAAACAAUUAGGGAUGAUUUUUUUAUAUUUAGGGUAAAAAAGUUCAUAAUUUUUUUUUCCAAACGAUUAAUUUAUUUGGUGCAUAAAUUUAAGCAAUUGUUUUCCUUUUGCAUCCAGAUCUUAUUCUCUUAUUUUCUCAUUUGAUUCAUUUUAUCCUUUCUCAAUUUUUCAUUCAAUUUCUCUUAAUUUUAUAUUUCGUCAUUUUUUUUUUUGUUUUUAACUGAUUUUUAUAAUAACAAUUCCGUAUAUUUAUCUCUAUAACAAUUACAUUUCCGACAUCCAAUUGUAAAUAGUAAAAAAAUAUUAUUAAAAUUUUUAAUUUUAAUUAAGUUUAUUAAUAAGUUGUUAACAUUAUUAAUUUUAUAAUUUUUUUAUGUUUAUAUAAUCAAGCCAAAGAUCGAAUUUCAGAUACAUACACAAUUUAAUUGUUCGUGCUAUUGAAUAACACUUGCAAGAGGGGAGAUUUUUGCACAUGUCUCGUAUGCUCGAGGGGACUAAAUUAGAUCCCACAUUUAUCAGCGCUUUGGCGGAAAGAUGAAGACUUAAGACACACACAUUUCAUCUUCCGUGCAGCGAAUGUACAAUUACACAAGGACGUAGCUUUACAACUCAGUUUACUAUUGGAUGGGUCAGUCAUUACAAGGGCAGUGGUCGUUGGCAAUUGGAGCGCAAUUUGCGACCAACUAUUAGAUAAGGUGUCGGACAAGUUUUUUGGUAGUCGGAUAGAGAUGAAGUGGUUGGAAGAAAAUUUCAAUUAUGUUGACAACUCCGCGAGUGCCAUUUGAAAGGGAACAAUAUGCCCAAGCAUUCAUCUUGAGGUUAAUCGGAGGUCUUUUAAUGUCUGAUAAAUCUCGAAAUCUAGUACAUUUAAUGUGGCUACUACAACUUAUUGACUUGCAAGAAGCGGGGUGACUUAAUUAGGGAUCAGCUAUAUUGACCAUAUUGUAACAAGAGAUGUGUCAGGCGACGCAACCACAAAAAAUUAAAAUUGGUGGUUGCAUACUCAUUCUGUUGUCAUGGACAUGGUAUUGACUAUCAUUUUUACGUCAUUGAGUGAACACCUAUUAUUCUUUCCCACUCGUAAUAAGGUAAAAUUCAUUUGAUAAUAUAGUUAUCAUAAUAUUUUUCAUUAUUAUAUUUUUGAAAUAACAUAUUAUUUAAAUAGGUAGAAUAAUAAGGCGAGUCAUGUGAGCAUAAUGAACGAGCUCAAAGAUAUCCAACUACUGUUAGAUCAACAAUCAGAAGCCGAACUUAGUUUUUGAAAUUUUAAAUUAUAUAAUAUUUAUGUAAGGAUUUAAAAUUUAAUAUUCGAUAAAUAAUAAAAUUUAGGCUUAAGGGUGUAAAAAGCCCGUAAACUUCUUCAAAAAAACAAUUAAGCUCAUUUUUUUUCACUCAAUUAGGUACUUGAACUUUCAAAAUGCAUCAAAAAGACCCUCAAUAUUUUUCAAAAAAGCAAUUAUGUCUCUGCUCUUAUUAAAAUUAGAAAAAAAAUUAAUAAUAAAUAAUAAACUUUAGAAAAAAUUAUUAAAUUUUAAUAAAAAUAUAAAAUAAAAUAAAUUUAUUAAAUAUUAGAUUUUUAAAAAAAAUUGUAAAAAAAUUAAAAAAUUUUAAAAUUUUAUAAAAAUCAUAAAAAUUUAACGACCCCUAGUUUUUUUAAUUAAAGUCAUUACGUAUCGCAACACAACUAGAGGUGUUCAUGGGCCGGGUCGGGCCCAAUCAAAGUUUUAGGUCUAUUUGCUAGGCCCGACUCGAAAAAUGAAUCUAAAAUUUUGCCCAAGCCCAGCCCGGAUAAAAAUGAUAAAAACCGGGCCCAACCUAUAUUAUUUUUUAUAUGAUUUUUUAUUAUAAAUUUUUAAAAUAUAUAUAAUACAUCAAAAAACUAAAAACAUUAAAAUAAAUGUUUCCUAACAAAUUGAAAAUAUUUUUUAAAAAAAUAUGUGUACUUAAAUAACACUAUAUGUGCAAGUUAACAAGCAAUUGCCUCUAAAAUAAUAACAAAAUUAACAAUAAAAUAAGAGUUAUAUAAUAUCCAAACAAUAACAAUAAAAUAGUACCAACAUAAUAGUGAAUAGGUAGCAAAAUAGUGAAAAAAAUAACAAGAAUAUAGUAAAAAAAACAGCAAGGAAAAGCAGCAGUUUUUUUUUUUUGCAUAUUCGAGCCGGGAUGAGCCCGGGCCAAAAAAGCCUUACCCGAGGCCCAACCCGUUUUCUAAAACGAGCUUUAUUUUUUUCCCAAACCCAUUUUUCGAGUCUAUAUUUUUACCCAAACCCUCCCACUUUUCAGGCUGGCCUUCGAGCCGGGUCGAGUGACCUGACCCAUGGACAGGUCUAAACACAGCGUGAUAUAUGGCGAAAAAUGAUAAAAAAAUAAAAAUUAAUAAAAGUUAUAGAAAAAUUAUAAAAUGCUUCUUUUGAUACGAUAAUUUUUAUAAAAAAUUUUACGAAAUUUAUAUUCUUUACAUUUUAUAAUUUUUUACAAUUUUUAUAAUUUUUUCUAAUUUUUAAUAAAUUUUUAAUAAUUGAAUUUUUUUAUUAAAAUUUAAUAAUAUUUAUAGCUUUUAUUGAUUUUAUUUUUUAUAAAUUUUUUUCUAAUUUUUAAUAAAAGCAUGGGCUUAAUUGCUUUUUUUUGAAAAGGUUUGAGGGUCUUUUUGAUGCAUUUUGAAAGAUCAAGUGCCUAAUUGAGUGUAAAAAAAAAUAAGGGCUUAAUUUCUUUCUUUUUUUUUAAAGUUUGAGAGCAUUUUUGAUGCAUUUUGAAAGUUCAAGUAUCCAAAUGAGUGCAAAAAAAAGAGCAGGGGCUUAAUUGCUUUUUUUGAAAAUGUUUGAGUGCUUUUUGCACCCUUAAGUCUAAAAUUUACAAUUUCAUACUAUAGUUUGAAUGGAUGUCAUACGUUGAUCCGAGAAUUCAAGAAUGCAUCCCGAUCGAAUUUUUGGUCAACCGCAAUAUCUGGCACGUCAAGGUGCCAUUGAUAUUUUUUGCGACGACAAAGAUGCACGAAUCCGAUCGAGUGCUGCACCAGUUUGGGUUUAGGCAAAGUAUUCCGUCGUCACCCUAAGACAUCAAAGAACUACACAAAGUCAACUUGCGAGAGAGAACCGAUGAAGAUUGGGCAAAAUUCCUUGAAGAAUAUAUCUACAUUUAGGAGAAUAUGUACGAUUUCAUACCUAUAUGCGAAUCAAUUCUCGAAUUGGAAUUGGCGACCUCUAUUGAUUACAUGAUAUGAUUUAGACAUCACGGUAAGCCAUAUCUAUUGCCGAAAGAGAAAAGGACUAGGCAACUCCGUCGUAGGAGGCAAAGACAACCCUACAUGAAUCCUAGGUCGGAAUACAUGCCUUGAUGGAGUUACCAUUAGCUCCAACCCCACACGUGGUACUGAUGAUUGCCCUACCUCCUAGUCAACAUGGUUCAAAUUAUUUCGGUGUUUUCACUAAUCCUAUUUUUUAUACACAAGCACUGUAUCGUAUCAUGUAUCAACACUUUCUGCAGGUGUAUUUUUUACACCAUCUCCAUCCCCAGCACCAUAUGGAGAGUCAAUGCCAGUAACAACAUCAAUGUAUCCGCCAUCUCUGACAAUUCCAACAUUUUAUUCGAAACCAGGUUAUGCGACAUCUUACACUUAUCGACUGAUAGUGUCGCAAACACCCUAGCGUCAUUGUUCUACCAAGGUGGUUCAUCUUUGCAACCACCUGUUACUCGAAAGGACGAUAUACGAGGGCAACCUAGGACGACACGAUGCUCAAGCACGGAGGAACGACGAGAAGAAGAUGAUGAAGAUAGAGCUCGAAGUGAAUAUGAAGAUGAAGAAGGAGUCAAAACCUCAACUACAAAGAAAUCUUAUUCACAACCGGUAUCCAUCGGGUUGUGACACACAUUCAGUCGAUGACAGAUUAUUUUUUAAAAAAAAAUUGUCAGGUAAAUCAUCAUUUACUUUGUUAGCUUUUAAUUUGUAUUGUGUUACUUUUUUCAUGCAUAAUGUACUUAUUCCAAUUAUAUAAAAAAAAAUGUGAUAUGUUGUAUUUUACAUCAAUAAUAUACUUACUUACAGUCUAAGAAAAAAUUAAAAAAUUGGCUAUUGUAUUUUUCAUAUCAGUAGUAUAUAUGACAGCCUCCGGUUGUACCAACGUCCAGAGUAGAAAUCUUGCACAAAAUAUAUGAAGAAGCGGUGUCCAUAAGUAUACGAGUCAGGUUGUAAUAUAGUUACAACGGAGUAGAUGAAUACUACGGGGAUUGUACCCAAGGGAGGCGAAUACUAAAUUAAUUCUAACCUAAGCAUAAAUAGAUCUAAUUAGUACUUUAGAUGAAUUAUAUUACGAUCAAAUAAUAAAUUUAUCAAAUCUGAGCAUGGGUGAUUAGCUUGCUUCGGUAAUCAUAAUCAACUGUUGUUUUAGGUUUUCUUGUUCAAUUAACUAGCUGAUAUCCUAGCAGGAUCUUUCGAUAUUCUACUAGAAUAAUGAGUCGGCAAGAACUACUUAUCUCUUGACCUCACAGUCCAGACUAGUUCAGGGUUAAGGUGUUCACGGAUAGGUCAUACCAAUUUUGGAUUAAUUCCCACCUUAAUGACUUCCUAGGGUCGUCAAACCUAGGGUUUAAGUUAUUCAUUUCCUGAACAACUGAUCCGCUUAAGAGAACCCUACAAAAUAGUUAAUUAAUCAUGCCUCCACUCAUUAAUCCCCCACAAGAUGAUUAGUUCCUCAUGGAUCUCAUAACAAUAUAAACUUGAUAGAAAGAAUAGGCAUGAACAAUAAUUCAAUAAUUAGAAUAGAAUGUUGAAUCCUAAACUACUUAUACAAAUUUCAGUCAACUAUAACUUACUUUAUUACAAAUUUGAAACUAAAAUACAUAAGUAAAUACAACGAGUAAAUACAGAUACAACACAAGGCAAUUAAAUUAUAAUGAUAUCUAAAUUAAAAACCUAAUUUAUUAUAGAUACUUCAAGUGUGGAUUUUUAAGAAGUAUUUUAAUCUUUGAACAUGCCGCCAAGCUUGUUUUGUAUUUAUAAUAUCCUAAUAUGCCCUUUUCUUUGGAGUAAUCCUGGCAUCAUUCCUUCUAGUGCAUACUCAUAAUCAGCCUAAAGCAAAAAUAUAAACUCAUGUAAGCUCAUAAGAACUUAGUGAGAAAAACGUCCUUUACCUGCACAAUGCUUGCACAUUGUUACUGAAGAAUUGUUAAGACUUUCUUAUUAUCCUGGUCUUUCAACUUGUUUCUGGCAAAUAUUUUUCCCAGAAUUUCAUUCUUCAUUCUCUAUGGAUAUCACGCCUUACUCUGAACUCAUUACUUACCCAUCAACACCUUCGAUACGCCACUUACCUCUUUCAAGAUGAUCUUUCAUAAGUCUUUACUCAUUUCCUUUACAGAGAUCUAUAUGACCGAAACACCGUUACUCUUGUAUUCGUAACUUUAAGCCAUCGUUUCACCACAAUUCAUGUUUGAUCACAUAUACAGAUAACAGGUGCCUUCAGAUAUACGAUUAGAAAAACCCUUAUUUAAAAUAUGCUUCUUUUAUGUUUACUCAUCACCUCUUCUACAUCUCAUCACUUCAUUACUCAUAGUUGAAUCAUGGUCUUGCAUAACACUUUACCAUAGCCCAUAAAGACACUGUGCCUUUCUAAUCUUUCUAAUCACACUUACAAGUCAUAUUGAAUGUGCCAAAACAAUUUAACACAAAAUUCGCUACCAGAAAUCAUUCCUUUAGGGUACACCAUUGAAAGCCUUACUAUGAUAUGCCACAAAGGCAAUAUUUUCAAAAUUCACCAUAUAAGUCGUUCCUUUAGAGUGCGCCACAAGGGUUUGUCUUUUAAAUUAUUGCUACAAAGGCUAUCAUUGCAGGUUUCACCAUAGAGGCUAUCCCUUCAUAAUUCACCACAAAGGCAUUCAUUUCAUAUUGCGCCACAAAGGCUUUCUUUCUUUCCUGACAUGUUUAUAAUAUGGAUUUACCUAAACUCAUGUUAUGUGAGGUUUGCCCGUCAUCAUCCUGGAACACGCAAAGAACCCCAUUGGAAAAUCACCGUUCUUUAAUUCCUUUCAGAAUGUGCCAUGAACAUAGGUUUUUCCUUCAAGAUUUAUAUCAGAGAUUGUGUUUUUAAUCCCAACGGACCCCUUUAGACUCCACCGCGGUGAACAGACACAGAUUCUCUUGACAAGCUCUUCAUAUUCUGACAUUAUUUAAGACUCAACGCUUUCAUGCAUUAACAUACACCCAAACUAGUUCACAUCCCUUCACAUUUUUACCAGAUGUACUCAUACAACCAUGCUUCAACAUUAGGAUACUUAUCUCAUACUUAAGCUUGACAGAUUUCAUACGAACUAUACAUGCCAUUCUUAACAAACAUUAUUACUUUACUUUUCUAGUUUCAAUUUCAUAGUUCAAUAAAUUUCCACAAAGGUAUCCCAUAUGAAUAGUAUACCUACAAGAGUCAACUUAAAGACUCACCUGACAACCACGGACAGUAGUUUGAACUCUAGAUCCAACCUUUAUCAAGAUUCUGCAGCAACCACUACUUACAAAAUAGGGGAACACAAUUAAAGCUCAUUCGAGUAACCAUACUAUCAUCUCAAACCUAGAUGAACCACAUACAAAGCCUUACUUCUUCAUUUUACUAUUUAUGCACUCAUACAGACGUCUCUUUCAUAACACAACAUGUAGAGCCAUAAAACUUACUUUAACAUGGAGCAAUCACUAAUAAAAUUCGGGAUCUCAACUUCAGCUUAAAGAAAUGCCUUUAGUUCUUCAAGCCUUAGAUAACCUUACAUUAGAAGAAAGAAAAAGAGAAUUCCCAUUUUCCAAACAUAAAUAUCUAUUAUUAUAUUCUAAGUCCUUAUUGAAACUUGACAAAUGUCACAUUAUUACUAAAUUAUCUUAUCAAAAGUUUACAACUUCCAAGAAACCUAAUUUAAUAUCCCCUUAUCUUUUAACUAUCUUGGUUCGCAUUCAGUUGGUUUCUAACCAGCUUACCUUGCAACUUAACUUGCACAAUACCACAAUUAAUGAAUGCACUAUAUCCCUAAUGUGAACUCAUACUUUUGAUACCAUUUUAUUUGGUCAUUGGUUUUAUUCCAAUUAAUAUAGUAACCUGACAAUGAACCUUUAUUAACUUAACCACAUAAUUUUAUAUGCUCGUUCUAUAUGCCGAAAGAUGUACUUAGGCAAAGCUUAUUCGGCCGAUCAUACUACUUUAGGACUAUACGCCAAACCUUGUGCCUACUAGAACUGGGGUGUUACAUAAGAAGCGAUUUGUGUGAAGGGAAAAAUAAACAUAUUAGCCUUAUAAAUUAAGAAUCUGGUGAGCUAGUAACCUUUCUAACUCUUUUGUAUCUUUUUUAUUGAAUGAAAAAGGUAAGAAACUUGUAAGUUAUGGUAAAGUUCAUGGAUGUGAAAAAUAAAAAUCUUAGAUAGCUUAUAAAGAUAAUUUGCAUGUUAAUGGAUUUCGACGGUCUCACUUAUGAAUGCUAUCGUUUUGAUUGUCUAAUGGUUAUUUUGUUUAGCUAACCAAGGAGGAGGCCUAAGAGACGAAGGAAAAGUUAAACAAUUGUAGGGUUCAAGCAUCCUGGUGUUUUGCGGAUGAGUUUCUCAACUGCAACUCUCAGUUUUCAUUUUGCAUGUUACAGGGUUGUGAUAGUUGGGUUAUGUUUGUUGGAAAAUUCUGCUGUAACAUUUGGUGACGUUGAACUUUGUUGUUGCUAAUGUUGUCAAUGUUGUUUUGUUGAAAGUGAAAGGGUAUGUAAAGCUCAUACCAUUGAUGUAUUGAUUGAUAUUUGAAUUGCCCUUAUGUUGGUAAGCUGUAAAACUUAGAAUGGGAGGCAUGCUAAUGUCUUCUGAUAGUAAAUAAUGUGUCCAGGAAUAAGAUACAAUAUGACGCAUUGGCGUUGUGGUGGGAUAUUGAUUAAUGAAGUUCUGGCGUUGUGGCAAGAUGUUGAUUGAAUGAUGUAUCAGUGUUGUGGUGGAAUGAUAAUUGAAGAAGUAUUGGUGCUGUGGCGGGAUAUUAAUUGAAGGAGGACUAGAGUCCGCAAAGACUUCUUCUCGUGGUUAUAAAUUAUGAUAGUCCGCGGGGACUUGCCCUCAUGUUACAAGUCAUGAUAAUUCGCACUUGACUUUAAGAGCACAAGUGUGUAACCAUUCCAGAAUGAAUCUGCAAACAUGAUAAUCUGUCAAGCUUGAAUUCACAUAGGUUGUUAGCUAAGUGUGAGUUUGCAGGAUCAUUUGUGAGCAUCAAUUCGUAGGGAAUAUCUUACAAGUAUGAUUCCAUAAUGGCCAUAUUGUAUGUAAGAUAGUCAGCAAGUCUUGUUUUCAAGCUUCUAGGCCAAGUUGGUCCAUUGAGACUCUGCUAUAUGAAAGUUAACGAAAUAAGUCCGAAAAGUACAAGUCCGCGUGAACAAAUUCACAUAAUGCGAUUCUACAGGGCUAAGUUCUCCAAGCAUGAUUGCAUGAGAAAUAUUCAUCAAACGUGAGUCUACAAGAACUAUCUGUAAGUAUAGAUUUGUAUAAACGAGUGCAGGUAUGAAUCUGCAAAUCUGAGUUCACAAGUAUAUGUCAGCAAACAUGAAGCCACAAAUGUGAAUUCACAGGCAUGUUUUUGGGGUGUAUUAGCCAAUUAUAACUUUGCCAAGAUUUUUCACCCUGUAUAAGUUGCAUUGGGUAAAUCCACCUAGAUAUUCCACAAUGCGUAUGUCCACAGAGAGUAAAGGUGAUCGAUUUAUAUGAGCAAAGUGUGUGUAUGCGUGUUACUUAUACUCAUACAUGAACUGUUAAACGUACUAUUUGUCUUUAUGCAUAAAUUAUAUUCUUCGCAAGCUAUAUGUGUGGGCGAGUAAGCAACUUGAAAAUUCACUAAGUUCACCUUGAACUUACCAUGUUCCUUGAUCUAUUUUGUCUUCGGGUAACAAAAGCUAUUUUGAACUUAAAAGGGAGGGACUAAGCCAGAAUUUGCUGUAUCUUGAGUGAGCCUAGCAACUUUUGAGUUUUAAACAUGUACAUAUUAGGGGCGAUCUAUAGGCUUAGCUUAUGAAAUUGUAAAUAUUGAAAGUCUUGUUCCAACUAUGAUGUGUAUAUAUUUAACGUUGGGUAGAUGAAUGAGGAAAUUUUAUUGUAAGAAUAGUAUUCGUUUUGGUGUAAGCACUGUGAAUAGUAGAUUGAGUGGUAAAAGCUUUAAAGAUAAGACAAACUGUUCGCCAAGUCUGAAAUCUAUCCGAGUAGCAUCCGGGAAGUGUGUUACAGAUGACCCUAAAAAUAAAAAAGCCAUGCGACAAGAAAUAGAAGAACUUAUCUACAAAAGAUUGGCUCUUGAAGUUAUCUGAAGUAUGCAAAAUUAAGAAUUUAAAUACUGCUGCUAUUCUUCGCGCUUGGUUCAAUUACACGACGAACUUCGAUUUAAAAUUUGACGUGGGUUGCUUCAAAAUUAAGAUCUUCAUGUUAGAAUGAAAAGCAAAAACUGCAAUCAAUUUGGAUAAGAAAAUUUGAGUCCUGCAACUUUGCUUUUAUUAAACAAAGAAAGUAGAGCCUUACAUGACCAAGGAUUUACACUUUCGAUUAUACGAGGGCUUCAACAGGAAAUCAAAUUCUAGUCAACAUUGCAGACUCCACAAUUAUUUGAAAUUAUAAAAGGCUGCAAGCGGUUAAAAAAUGAAAAAUGGCACUUGCUUUAGCCACGUUGUUGGAGAUUGGAGAAAUGGUGAUCAGGGAACGGAUGAAGUGGAGCAUGAAGCUAAGCUGGCAGUGGAAAAUGAAAUAAAAAAAAAUUAAUUAAUUUUGAUUUUUUUUUUUGCAUGAAAUGAGAUAUGAUGAAUCAAAAUUAAAAAAAUUUAUUCUAUCAAAGUUGAAAGCUCAAGAUACAAAUAUAAUCAAGCAUCAAGAUGAGACCAAAUUUCAAGGUUGUCUCUUUCGCAAUACGCAGAACAUUUGUGUAUGUGAUUAAAUUUUGAGAGAGUAUUUGUAGAUAAAGUAAAUUUAUGGAUGAAUUACAAAGUGUUAUAUAAAUUAAGUUAAAAUUAUUGUGGGUCAAAGUCAAAAUUAUCAUGUGUCAUAAUUAAUUUAAUUAAGAGAUUGAUUAAUAAAAAUAAAAUACUUAAAAGUGAUAAUAUCAAGUAAAUUAAUAAGAGAUAAUUAAAAUUAUUUUGUUGAAGAGAAGAUUGAUUAAAAAAAAGUGAGAAGUGAAAGAAUUGGCAUAUAAAGUUGUAAUACAAACAGUAAUGAUGGAAGAAAUUGGAUGAUAACAUCAUAUCGAGAAUGACAAUUAAAGAAAAAAGGAUUAAAAAGUCCAAACAUCUUUAUUUCACAUGUUUCACGACGACACAAUAAAAAGAAUUUGUGCAUGAGAAAAAGUGAAAAAAAGAUAAAAUGAUGGGUGAGGUAAAAAAUUGAGAGGGUAUAAAUGGAGCAAAACAAAGCAUCAUAAGAGCGUUGUUGGGAGUAGGGCUUUAGUCUCUUUGAUUGACACUCUGCUCCACAUAAAAAAAAAGAGGGCAGCAGACUUUGCAUCUCUGCCCCUUUUUGCUCUUUUGCUUAUUAGCUUAGCUUUCUCCAUCUGCCACUUUCUCCCUUUCCUUUCAUCAAAGUAAGUUCGGGUUUUCCUCUUUAAUGUUUAUAUACGUGUUUCUACGUAGGAUUCUUGAUUUUGAUUACCUUUUCUUUUUCUAACAUAUGUUGAAUGAAUGAAGCAGGAAUAAGGGAAGGUGAUUUAUAUAUAUGAUGGGGGAGAGGAUCCCACCAGGGAGUUACUUUCAGUAUCCGCCUUCUGGAGUUCCUGCUUCUCCUCAUAGGGCUUCUUCUCUUCCUACAGAUCGUGAUAGGUCCGAUUUUUUUUUUCUUAAUUUGCUUUAAUCAAUCAAAGCCCAUGUUCUGUUUUGGUUCUUUUGGGAAAGUUUUACUCCAAUUUUUGAUGGUUUUCUUUUAUUGAUCUAAUAAUUGAAGUUUCUUCUGCUGAUCGAUAUGGGUUCUUGAAGUUGUUUUAAGGAAAAAAAACUUUUCUGUUUCUAUCUUCUUGUUUUUGCAUGAUUGAUUGUUAUGUUUUCAAUUGAUGGUUAUGUUCUUUUGCCCCUCAGGUUCAUAGUUCAUUUGUGUAUGCUUUACAUAUUCCAUUUUAUCUAGAUAUGGUUUUACUUUAUCAUUGUUAUCUUCAAUGUUAACUUACAAUCUAACAAUGGCAGAUAUUUAGCUGAAUUAUUGGCAGAGAAACAUAAGUUGGUACCUUUUACCCAAGUUCUGCCUCUAUGUACCAGGCUCGUUAAUCAAGGUUAUUGGUUUUUUUCCCCUUUUUUCUGCAAUAUAAGAUUCAUUAGCACUUAUCAUUGGUAUCGUUGGAAACUGGUUUUGAUUAUUUUUUGGUUGAAUGAACAUCACACUAAAAGUAAAUCUAUCUGUAUCUAUUCAUGUUAUGCGCUUCUCAAGGAUGUAAAUAUAAGUUUCAUUUUACUAGAUUGUUAUCUUAGAUUCAUCAUCAUGAGUGCAUUGUCGGUUUGCUUCUUCCAAGAAUAAAUCUCUCAUGUUAACGAUAUUGAACUGAAAUUGUAAACAAACAACAGCCUAGUACAAACUGUCCACCUAGCUAUAGUUGAUCUACUAUUAGUCUAAACUAGCAACAUAUGAUUUUAAGUUAUUACAGGCUGAAUUUAUCCUAGACUAGAUGGUUGUACUAAAACAUGUGGCCUAAGCCAAAAAAUAAACCCCAAAUGUUCACUUUUACCAUUGAGGUAAUUUUGACUGCAUAUUGUCACUUUUGUUUUUUUCUCAUGUAACUGCAGAGAUCAGAAGGGUCUCAAGUCUUACUCCUAGUUUUGUCGAUCAAGAGCGAUUUGAACAUGAUAGUCCUUUCAGGUCAUUAGGUCAACAUCCCAAUGGGAGACAGAUGGAUUUGGAGGGUUGGUCUGUAAUGCAAACAGAGGUAAUGCUGCUUAAUGGUUAUAUACAAAUCUAUUGUUUUAAAUUAAAAUUUUUAAUUGCUUACCAGCUUAAUAAAUUUCAACUGCCUUGUUAUUGGCUCCCACUGUGAUUAAUUCUUACGAUGAAUAAUUUGCUUCUCAUUAAUAUUAAAUGGAAGGAAGAUGAAAUUUGUUAAAUGUUGUUAUCUUGCUUCCAGGAAAAUGGGCAUAUGGAACGAGUUCCUCCAAUUCAAGCUGCAUCAGUGGGUUGGCCCGGUUUGCCUAGAGCCCCUACAACACCGAUUGUAAAGAGAGUUGUUAGACUUGAUGUUCCUGUGGAUAAAUAUCCAAAUGUAAGUUAUGUUGAAAAUUGUUUGUUUUCAUUUUCUUCUUUUGUAAGAUAAUAGGUCAGACUCAGUGCCCUUGCAGUACAAUUUUGUUGGCCGAAUUUUGGGACCACGGGGAAACUCCCUAAAGAGAGUUGAAGCCAUGACAGAGUGUAGGGUGUACAUAAGAGGCAAGGGUUCAGUCAAGGAUUCUGUAAAGGUGAAGUCAGUCAUGAAUUCUUUUUAUUUCCAGCAAGUAAUUUUGGUAAAAGAGUGUAGUUUGAUAUGCACCAUAGGUCAAGUCUUAAGCUACUUCUAGCUUGGUCAUUUAUACAAGUUCUGAUUAUAAUGGAACCGUGCAAUUGUUUUCUACUUUCUCUUGAAAAUUGGAGUGUAGCUGGUUCUUGGGCUAGUUUUAGGAGCAUGUUUUUCAUUUUUUUCCCUCUCAAUGGCAUUUUAAAUUGUAGGUGAUGUGAAAUUUGCUCAUGUAACUUCAUAUAUGCUAGUAAUCUGCUUCUCCGUUUGCAUAUGACAUGCUUUGCUGCCGAUUUCAGUAUCAUGUUUAUUUGGGUUUUGUUUUGGGCUUUUUGCUGUUUGUCUCUUGUUUAUAGUUAAUGUGUAUUUUAUGCUUUUCACUUUUCUACUACAAGAAGCAAAAAGUAAAAGCAUCAUCGAAAUGGCAACUUAGUCUUUUGCAUUUUUACAAGUGACUAUUGUGGAUCAAUCAAUGCAGUGAUCACCUUUACUACAUAAAGUAACUCCUUAAAUACAGUAGUGCAUGAGCUAGUUCUGACAGUUUCUGGUUUAAGUAUAAGAUCAAGUUUUCCUUGGUUGUUUGCCCACUUGUUAUCCAUUCCUACUUCCUUUAAAUUCUCACAACUGGCGGCUGGCUUUUUCUACAGGAAGAGAAACUGAAAGAUAAACCUGGAUACGAACAUCUUAAUGAGCCACUGCAUGUGCUGGUGGAGGCUGAAUUUCCCGAGGAUAUGGUAAAUUCUCGUCUGGAGUAUGCUGUUGCGAUACUAGAUAACCUUCUGAAGCCAGUGGUAUGAAUGAGCAAAAGCAAUUUCUGCUAUCUUCUAUGGAUAGCUAACCCUUCCAUUCCAUUUCUGUUUUUGUGCUAACCCUUCUCCAUUCCACCAUUUCCAGGAUGAAUCCUUGGAUAGCUAUAAGAAACAGCAGCUUAGGGAGUUAGCUUUGCUAAAUGGUACCUUAAGGGAAGAGAGCCCAAGCAUGAGCCCAAGUAUGAGCCCAAGCAUGAGCCCAGGUAUGUCGCCUUUCAACAGUACGGGAAUGAAGCGGGCGAAGACGGGAAGAUGAAGAAAUCCCUUGUUUUCUGCUGGUUCUGAUCAUCAAUUGAAAUCGAGAUGGCUUGGCUUGGCUUUUGUGAUGGAUGAUGUAUUUCACCUUAACUUAGGGAGGCUGAGUUAGGAAGAUCUAAGUCAAAACUCCCAUCAGUUUUUGGGCUGCAUAUGGGUUUUCUUCUCCACUGAUAUUCCUUUUCUUUUCCUUCUUUUAUGUAUUAUUCAUUGCCCCUCCCAUAAGGUUUGACGUCAGUCUCUAUUUCCACUAGUUCGAAAAUAACUUGUUUCCCUAAUUAUUUUCGCCUGCUUCCGAUGUGCUCCCAUGAUUCUUUGUACUGACAAUUUUACAUGCAUAUUUCUAUGUAUGCCCUUCGUCAUAAGAUACAAUCAGUCCCUUGUAUUAUCUUUUAUCUUCAUAGCAAGUAUUAUCUCUCUAUCUUGUUCAUUUUACGUUAGUCUGGUUUUGCUUCCACUGGUAUUAUGCUUCUAUAUCCACUACAAUUUCUGGAAUUCAUGGCUGCCUUCUUGCGAGGAUUAAUGAAAUAUGCAAAGCAAAAUGAUGCAAUCUUGUAAAACAAUAGAAACUAUAUCUCCUUAAUAUAACAUAAAUAGAGCAUUUCAAAUCCAACAUCUGAGAACAUAAAAACUUAAUUGUAAUGUUACCUUAAUCAAAAACUGAAAACAGCGAUCUAUAAAUAAAACCUGACAUGCAAAAAGGUACCAGAAAUAUAAAAAAGUAAAAUUAAGAACAUAUUCUAUCACUUAAAGCACUUGGCAUCCAAGAGAGGCUCUCCCUCAAAUGGCUCGCAGUCUUCAAUCAUCUGAUUCACCCGUUCCUUCUGGGCUGCAUCUGACAGGUCAACCUUCUUCCACUCGUAGAGUUCCAUGUCAUAGCACUCGUCAAUCACAAAUUGAGGAAUCUCUUGCCCACGGAAAAGCCAUAGUCCUUUCACCUUGAAUGGAGGGUUAGCACCGAUCACCAACAUCUUCCCAAAUGCAUACUUGCGGGCCAAAUCCAUUCUCUGCAGGAAUCCUCCAACCUUGUUCAUUGUGACAAAUGAAACUGUAUUCUCCUCAUUGUACUUGUAGUCACAAAACCACAGUGAGUAUCCCUCGGGAUCAUACAUGUCCCAGAAUCCUGACACGAAUCAAGUAUCAGAUAUCACAAGCCCAAACAUUGCUUUUAAAAGGGAGUGCUACUGUGAAAACAACAGGGAUACCUUUAAUUGCAACCUCUCGGAAAUUGGUCUUUGUGUUAGAGUAAAGCCUCUUCCAGUCAUCCAGUACCAUCUUACUUGGAGGCAGCAAAUCAAGAGGAUUCUUUGGUUUGGGCUUUGGUGCCUCCUCCUCCUCAGCUGCCUCUGCCUUUGCUGCCUGUUUCUCAACCUCCUUUUUGGCUUCUUUCUUUGGUUCAGCCUUUGGUUUAGUUUCUUUUGGCUGGGCAGCAGGCUUCUUUGAAGGAACAGGUGGUAGAGAGACUGCCUGCUUCACUUCACCAAGAAUCUUCUUGAUUUUUGGCUGAUUAACCAAGGUCCAAAAGUACCUCUCAACAUGAGGGAACUCCGAGGUAAAACUCUUAGUCAUGAUCUGGGAGAAACCCAAGUAGAGGUUACAUGUCAUGAUAAUGUCAGCAAGGGUGACAAAAUGUCCAACAAGAAAUGUGUUGGAAGCAAGAUGAGUGUUCAAAGCGCCAAGGGCUCUCUUCAAUGCAGCAAUAGCAGCUUCCUCAGCCUACAUGCAAAAUACAUAUAAGAGAUUAAAAUGAAAUAGGUAGGCAAAAUCAUACCAUUGAAUUAAAAUGAACUACUACUGAAUUACAAAAAUAAAAUUUAACUCUUAAUAUAGAUUAAUAAAUACAUCAGAAUGGGGGAGAAAACAACCUAGUCUCUUAAAAAAAUAAUGAGGAGAAAACCCAUGCCUACUUGAUUAUCAAUGCAAUGGGCAUUCCCUUCAACCAAAAUUACUUAAUAGUGCUUGAGUUGAUUCCUUUCCAGAAACUAUGCAGGGGAAAACACUACCACAUUAAGCAUGUACUAAAUGUUGUCUAACUAAUCCUCUCUAAAAUAAAUAAAACAAGAAUCAUAGACAGGUAAUCAAUGCCAAUUUUCCCUUCACCAUUCCCUCCUUAAUAUUUUGUAUUUCAAUGACUAAGUUGCCUUAUUCCAAUUUUAACAUAGGACCUAUUGUCUUAUAAUUAGAAAGAAACAAAGACUAAGUAUGGCCCCAGCAAAUCAAGCCCAAUUAAAAUGACAAAAGAAUCUGCGAGGAAAGACAGUAGAACUUACUGGAGGAAGGUAAACACCGUAACCAAGUCUUGGAUACAACCAUUUUGCAAUAUUAGCAUCAAUUUCCAUGGCUGCAAAAUCAAUCCAUUGCUCGAUAUGACCCUAAGAAAGCCAAAGUAAUACAUACAAACAAUUACUUCCAUGGUUUAAAAUAAACUUAACUGAUGACAGAAGAAUACAAGACCAUUGUACUAUAAGAAUCUUACAUAAUCAAUCAAUGUAGAACCACAUAUAGGGUUGUUAACCUUUGAGCGAGCAACUGCAGAGAAAAGUAUACCAAUAAGUAAAAACAAACAUUAGAGGAAGAAAAUUUAGGAUAUGGAGUCAGCAGAUCUUCUCACCAUAACGAGCAAUGGCAUUGCUCUCAAAUACAGGACCCUCAGGUGUUUCCAACACAGGAACCUAGAAGAGUUAUAAAUAUCUUCAGUGAACAGACCUAGAAAAAAGGUUACAUAACAUGUAUAAAAAAAAUUCUCUAGUUUAAAUCUAUUAAUAGGCGUUACAAGGUCACCUUCCCCAAAGGGUUCAUCUUGAUGAACUCAGGAGUCUUAUUUGACACACCCAUCUCAAAAUUUUCAACCAUUUUGACCUGCACACCACUAUAUUCUGCAGCAAUGAGUGCCUUAAAGGCAUUUUUGUUUGUUUUUCCUGCAUGCAAGACCUGCAUGUAAAUCAACACACCACAUUGAUUAGAAGAACCGGUUGAUUAAGAAGUUGAAUUGAAUGUCAAACACCAGUCAAUCCCUACAACGAAUCCAGUAAAAUCCUGAAAUUGAUCCUUUUCGCCCCAUAAAUUCUCUUAAAGACCAUUCACUUUACAUUCUAAACUACUAACCGGUACUUAGCAUUUCCAUCUACCAUACACAAUUAACCUAAUUGACGUAACAUCUCGCCAUCCAUCUUUCUUCUGGUCAAUGGUUCCCAGUUGAAAUCGAAGGUGGUAGAGUUAAAAUCAAAAUCAAUUUUUUUAUCGUUAUGAUUAGUAUCUACAAAUCCAUAAACUAUUCCAUUGAUAGUAAUUAUAUAAAACAUAUUCAAUGUGCCACUUCUUUCGCAAUGUAAAAAAGCUAGUUACAAUUUUCACUUUCUAAUUCUACUCGAAAUAACUUCCACUUAAUCAUUAGGUGUCAAUUCUUUCAACAGUUAAACUACCAAAAGAAAUGAAACUAAUAUAUAUGCACAGAUAUAAAGCUUACCAGAGCCAUGGCUUGAUAGAAAAGAGCGCUACGAUUUGAGAACUGAGAUCUGGAAAAAAAAAAACAGAGAACAAAAUAAAAGGAAUAAGGAAAAAUAUUCAAGCAGGAGAACUUGAUUCCCAUGUAUUAAGGAGUAAAAAUGAGAGAAAGGAUUAAGAAAGAACCUUGAAGACGAAAUCGCAGCGAGAAGGAGCGGGAGAGACUGCGGGACAAAGAGAGAAUAAAAGAAAGGGGGACUAGGGUUUUUGUAGAGUAGAGCGAGUGUGAUGUGGGGUUAUCAGUUCGGGUUCCGGUUUAGAUCCAGAUUUACUAACCCCUUUCUUUUUCCGGUUUUUUUAAGCGUGUCUUUGAGGUAAUAAGUCAUUUCAAGAAUAAUUAAAUAAAAAUAAAUUAUAUAAAAAAUUCUCAUAACCAUUGAACCAUUGUUUUUCUCCAAUUUUCCUUUUCACAACAGUUUUGCUUUUUAUGUAAUUACACACAACUAAUUGAUCUGAAUCGAUUGGAUCACUAAUUUUUAAUUUAAUUGUUUAGAUCACUCUGAACAACACUACUUUUCUCAAAUUUUUUAUCUUGUGUCUAUUUUUUUUAUUACCAAUAUAAAUUAACUUGGAGUAUAAUGAUUUAUAUUUUUGCUCAUGCUUGAGGUUGUUUGUUUAGAUAAAAGUUAACUCAAGUGAGUUGUAUUUAAUUAAAAACUCUAUUGGUUUGAGUUCAAACAUUAUUAUAUGUGAAGUUUUAUUUUUUAAAAAGAUUAAACUACCCUCGAAUAAUCUAAUUUAUUUUAAAUAUGAAAAACAUUUUUGUAAUUUUUUGAGUUGAUGUCCGGUUAACUCGUAUCACUAACUCAACCAAGGGUUUAAAUAAUAGUAUAGAUUAUUGCAUUUUAAUUAAUUUUUAGAAGGAAUUAUUUCUAAAAAUAUGUUUUUUUGGUGCACCUCAAUAGUCAACACUAAUAACUCAUUUCCCUAAACUCUAGACCCCUAAUUUCAACAAAGUGUAUAAUUGUUGAAAUGUCCACUUGUUGGUCUAAGUGACAAACGCAAAGCACCAAGAUCAUUUUUUAUGCACUAAAUCAUCCACGGUGUUAUUAUAUUGGUUUACCUCAAAUCAAACAAUUUUUACUGAUCCCCAUUGUAACUACUACAAUAGAAAAUCUUACCCAUGCCCCUAAACCUAACAUUCAACUCGAUGAUUUUUGUUAAUCAUCGUGCUUAAACAAACCCAUAAAAAGUUUACAUGUAUAAUUGAAAAACCUUAACCUAUCUCCUUAAACCGUAAAUCCCCAUAGUUGUGGGUUGAGUAAGCUAGAAACCAUGGGGAUUUUUUGAACUUGGCAUCUCUUUCAAAUAACAUAAAAACCCUAACUUAUUUUCCUAAACCUUAACCCUAAAACUUUAAUCCCCAAACAAAACCUUAAACACUAAAUAGAAACAUUUAAUAAAUUCCCAUCAAAUUCUUUCCUCUAAGGGUUUUUAUGCAUCUCUAAUUUCAAUAAAAAGUAACCUCAACUCUCAAAUUCAGAUGCCUUUUGUGAUAAUGGAUUUCCUCAAGUGUUAGAGCGCCAAUUGAGUAUGAAAGCUUCUUUUAAACUAACUUUAAAUAGGCUUUAGGGUUUAUGAUAAACCUUGUUUAUGAUUAGUAUGAAAGAUUUCACUAUAUCAAAACAAUGUUUCAACACUUAUGGAAAACCAUGAUCUAAAUCAAGAGAGUUCAAGUUUUCCUUGAUUGAAGUUAGAUUUUGGUUGAAAUCAUUGAUCUAAAAGUGAUAGUAGCCAGAAUAGGUUGGAGGAAAUUAGUUUUAAAGGACUUUAUCAAAAUUUUAAUUUAGGGUUUAAGGUUUGAGGGGAAAAGGUAAAUAUUUAAGGGUUAAAAGAUUUUGGUUUGGGGUUAGAAGGAAAAGGUUAAGGUUCAACUCUUGUUCAUUAGGUAAAUUGACUACGAUCUUGACACCCAUGGGUUGUUCAGUUUUAGUAUUAAUAAAAUGCAAACAAAUACAUAACAAACAAUUCUUCAUCUUCCAAAAUCAAAGCUAACCACUAUUUAAAGAUAUUGAGUUUAGUACCCUAAAUGUAGUAUAUUUAUUUUGUAUAGUUGUAUUUUUCGAGAAAAUUGGUUUAAUAAAAAUAUUCAUUGAUUACAUUAAUAGCCUUUGUAUAUUAUCCUCAACGAUUUUGUAUGCAAAGAAAAAUGGAAACAAAGAUUGGCUCACUAGUUAUCUAACAUUUAACAAAUGCUAAAUGGUAUUACGUGGUCGGAUAGUAAUACAAAAAAACAACUUAUAUUAGUAGAUAAACCUAAAUAAGUCAUUAGUCUAAUUGGAAAUGAGCAAGCCGCUUUAAAGACUUAAGUCGUCUACCAAGUCCAAUUGGGGAGAUGCUUUGUCUUGAGCAUCAAAACGAAGGACUCCCAGAAGAUAGAGACAUAGAUGUCACUGACUGGACUGACAAUACAUUGGACAUGACCUAAGUAGGAUAGAUCCUAGAUUGUUUUAUGAAUUUAUUCACUUGAGACAUUCAUAGUGUGACAUACCUUAAUCCUGAGUGGAUGAUGGACUAUGCAUGUAUGACUCAUAUACUUUGAUGGAAGUAAAAGCCUAAAUUCAAAUAAAUAAGGAACCGAAAAAUCGGUAUAUUGCGUAUACGACUUCUACAACAUAUAGCAUCAUUCACAAUAGUGGAAUUCAUAGCUCAAAUAAUAAGUAAAUGAUAUCCUCUCAUUGGCAUUACAUGAUAGAUGAAAAGUAAACAUGGCCACGAGUCAUUUGUCUUUGUGAUAAAUGACUUGAUUACUAUUUAAUAGUACUAGGGACUGCAAACCCUAGUAUAUUUAACUAGGGUUGUCGCCCCGCCCUCCAAUCCUAGUUAGACUAGGAUUAUGUUUUUCUAUUGAAAUAGACUUCUAAUAAUUCAACAAGGGUUUCAAUUCUUCUCCCUAUAAAUAGAUGGAAACAGUAAGGCUAAAUACAAAACUUUGAGAUAUUGUUAUUCUGCCCGAAAAUAGUGAGAAUUUAUUUUCUAAGUAUAAAUUCUAUUUUCUAGAAUAACAAUUCUAUUGGUUUAUAUUAAAGAGAGAUUUUCUUUUCCACUAAAAGUAAAGUAAAUAAUUUAUGGUUCUGUGCUUUAUUUGAAUUUGUUCGAGCCCACAAUCGAAGUAGUUCGUGGUACAGGAAUAACAAAGAAGGCCAUUCGAUUGAAAGCCAAGAAUGACAAGGACCCGUUUAGUCGAAAGCAUAAGUGCAAUUUCUGUAAAGGUUUUAUUGAUAUAACUAUCACAAAUCGGUUUGAUUUUCAAAAUUUAAAUUUUUCACUGGGCAAAAAAACUGUUUUCAAAUCAAUUUUUUUCCAACUUUCAUAUUAACCAAGAAAUAAUAACUAGACUUAUGAAAGAUGAUACCUUAAGUUUGCUUAAGGAAAUUGAUAUUCCACAAUAUGAAUAUUGCUUGGAAGGUAAGAUGACUAAGUGAUCUUUUAAUGCAAAAGGAAUGAGGGUUGUGAAAUCUUAGAACUUGUGCACACUGAUAUAUGUGGCCCUAAGAACGUCAGUGUGCGAGGUGAUUAUGAUUACUACAUAACAUUUAUAGAUGACUAUUCCAGAUAUAGGUAUGUAUACCUAAAGCACCGUAAAAGUGAAACUUUUGAUAAAUUAAAAGAGUUUCGUGCAGAAGUGGAGAAAGAACUAGGUUUACCCAUAAAGACACUUCGGUUUAAUCAAGGUGGAGAAUACUUAUUGGAUGAGUUCUUUGGUUACCUCAUAGAGAAUGUAAUAUUAUCUUAAUUAACCGCGCCAGGAACCACACAACAAAAUGACAUGGCAGAGAAAAGGAAUCGAACCUUGUUGGACAUGGUUCAAUUGAUGUUAAGUUAUUCAUAGCUUCGAGUCUCCUUUUAGAGAUAUGUUUUACAAAUGACUUGCUACAUUUUGAAUGAUGUACCAACUAAGUUUGUACCUAAAACUCCAUACGAAAUAUGGAAUGGCAGGAAGCCAAGUCUAAAUCAUUUAAGGAUUUGGCGAUGGCCAGCCCACGUGUUGGAUAAAGAUGUGAGGAAAUUGGAUUCACAGAUAAAGUUGUGUAUGUUUGUGAGAUAUCCAAAAGUAAUAAAGGGUGGUUUGUUUUAUAACUCGAAAGAGAAAAUAUUGAUAGUGUCGAUUUAUGCUCCUUCAUUGAGAGGAGUUAUACGAACGACUUUAAAUCUUGAAGUAAAGAAGUACUUGAUGAACUUUGAGGAAGUACACAAAUCCUUGGUUUUAAAUCCAACUUCUAAUAAUAGACUUGUAAACAAUCAUCAACAUAAGGAGCUUCAUUGUAGUGAGAAGGUUUCUCGUAAGCCCGAGUUCUUCUAGUCUAGCAGAAGUGUUUUAAACACUGAGUUUUUUGAACAGGAAGAUGAUGACCAACUCACAUUUAAAAAAAUGAUGCUGAAUGCUGAUUCCAAGCUUUGGGAAAUAACUAUAAAAUCUGAGAUGAAUUCUAUGAAAUCCAGCUAAAUGGAUAUACAAGAAGAAAAGAAUGUGAAUGGAAAGUGGAAACUUAUAAGGCUAAACUUGUAGCAAAGGGGUAUACUCAGAAAGAAGGUAUCGAUUACGAAGAAGCCUUCUUUUUGGUUUCCAUACUCAAGUCAAUCUGUAUAUUGUUAUCCAUUGCGACGACUCUUAAUUAUGGAUCUGUCAAAUGGAUGCCAAGCCGAUAUUCUUUAAUGACUAUCUUGAAGAAGACACUUAUAUGAUGCAACCCACUCGAUAUAUAGCUAAAGGAAAUUAGCAUAAAAUUUACAAAUUGCUUAGAUUCAUAUAUGGACUUAAGCGAGCAUCCCGCUCAUGGAAUCAAAUAUUUGAUCAAAUGAUCAAAACUUUUGAAUUUGAGCAAAAUAUUGAUAAACUUUCUGUUUAUAAACAUAUUAAGGAUGGAAAGAUGGUUUUUCUUAUUGUAUAUGUCGAUGACAUUCUACUCAUUGGAAAUGAUUUAAGUACAUUGUCAUCGGUUAAAUUGUGAUUAACCCAACAGUUUAGCUUGAAGGACUUAAGAGAAGCUAUCUUUGUUCUAGGCAUUCGAAUUCUAAGGGAUAGAAAGAACAAAGUGAUAGCAUUAUCACUAGGUAUAUACAUAGACAAGAUAUUGAAAAUUUAUACGAUAACUGAUUCAAAAUUUAGUCAUUAUACUAUAGUGGAAUAACUUCACGACCAAAUAAGUUUAUAAUUAAUAGACGAAAAGUUGGACAUUAAUUAUAAAUUAUUUAAGCCCUAAUUACGUAUGUACAAUUGGUCCCCCCACUAGCUCGUUGAAAAAAAAAUUAAUUGCAUGUGGAACAAAAUGAAUAGAAAUGAAUGGAAAUGAUAAUGUCAGAGAAAUGAGUCACAUUAACAAAUUAAUGUGUUUUCUCACCAGGUAUAGAAAUGAAUUGAGAAAUUAAUUUAAGGUUUUCGAAUGAUUAUUUAAUUAAUUAUAAUUAAAUAAUUGAAGUUAAAAAAUGAAAUGAAAUUAAUUUUCUAUUAUGAAUGCUUUGAAUAAUGAAAUUAAAUAUACUUCCUCAUAAAAUCUUUUACAAUAAAGUUGUUAUAACUUUAACGGAAUUAGAAUUGAGUUGAGAUAAUUAUUUAAUUGAGUAAUUAAUUUAGUUAAUUAAAUUAAUUAAUUAAAUAAUAUUUAUUUUUGAAAAUAGAAAAUAAACAUUAGGUUGGAUUAAAUCAUAAAAUGCUAGGUUAAAAGUUUAGGAAACUCAUAUAAUUGAACCCAAUACAUGAGAGGUCAAAUUUGUCCCGUAUAACAUGUGAGCAACAACAACCCAAAGGGAAUUUAAGAGGAUGUGUUGCCUCCUCUCUCUUAGUUAGACAAAGAGAGUGUUUUCUAUUAAAAUAAUUGUUGAGUAUGACUCCUAUUUCAGUCAAAUUUGAAAAAUAAUCUUCUAGUUAAACUCUGUUUAUUUGUUUCAAUCAAAUUAUGAUUAGUCUAGAUUAUUUUUUUAUUAUUUGACCUAUGAAUUUAGCCUAUAAAUAGGCUCUUUUACAACUUUAGAAAAUACACCCAUUAGAGAUUAGAACUCAUACACUUUUGGAGAAUUUUUGUGUUUACAUUUUGAGGGUUCUUUGUUUUUUGGGGUUUCAGGGUUUAGUUUCUAUCUUCAUCUUUGUACUAUUCGUUCUUUUUUCAUUAUAGUAAAAUUAUUUUUGCCCGCAGUAUUUUAUCUUCUUUGGAGGGGUUUUUCUACGUUAAAUUUGUGUGUUCAAUUUCUCAAUUUCUUCCGGUAUUUUUACUUGUUCGUUGCUUAAUUGGGUCAAUCCCCAACAAUAACAUUAUUUGUUUAAGCCUUAUUCAACCAAGAUUCUUCUAUCUCUCUCUAUGAAUAGAUAGCACCGAUUGACUUAAAAAACACACUUAUUAGUUAUUGAUUUAUCGUUAUUCUACCAAAAAAUAGUGAUAAUUUAUUCACUUAGAAUAAAUUAUAUUUUUUGGGAAUUACGAUUUUUACCAGUUUCUUAAGAGAAUUUUUUUCCUACUGAAAGUAAUAAUAAUUUCUUGUUCGUUGUUUGGUUCGUGUUUCUCGAGCCCACGCUCAACCCAAAUCCAUCUUGCACAAUGUAUAGGUACUUUUUGGUAAAACGUUUAUUGCUAUAAACAUCAUAAAUCGGUUUAGUUUUUAAAAUUUUUAAACUUCUGCUAUAACUAUAAAUCGUUAUGAAGGAUUUUGAAGAACCAUAUUUUUAAGUGGGACCGUGUGUAUUAAAUCAAAUAAAAUUAUGAAGAAUUUUGAAAAACCACAUUUGUAAGUGGAAUUGGAAAAAGGAAAUUGAGCUACUGAGAUCCCCUCUUGAAAUUACUUAUAAAUUCUGAAAUUCUUUAAUAUAUUUACCCAAACAAAUAAAUUCAUUUUUAUAAAUUUAAAAAUCUUGAUAAAAAUAAAAUCCCUCCUAUAAAUCCCUCACCCAAACACACUUUUAAGUACCUAUGCAAGUUAGGAAGCAAAUGAUGACAAGGACUCAUCACUUACAAAUGAUCCAUUAGAAUGUCUGACCGGCAUUACACGUGUGUGCAUAAAACAACAAAUUUAUAAAAAAAAAUUUAUAGCAAGGUUUUACUGCAAUCAUGCAGGUUAGUUGUAAUAUUUGUAGUGUUACAAUGGAACACCAAAAUAUUCCAAGGAUCGAACUCAAAGGAGUUGGUGAUUUAAUGAUCUGCCACGAAUUAUUGACCGCCUUCAGACAUACUAACAUCUAGAGUGUGAAUAUUGCAGCAAAAGAUAUAUAUAAAUGAUGCGGUAUCUGCAAGUACACGGGUCAGGUUGUAAUAUAGUUACAACGAAGUAUGUGAGUACUCUGAGGAUCGUACCCAAAGGAGGCUAAUACUAGCUCAAUUUCAACCUAAACACCAAAAGAUCUAAUUAGUACUUGAAAUAAGUUAUAUUACGAAAAUAUAAAUAAUAGAGAUUUUUGGGGGUUUUUUAUAGUAAUGAAAAUAUGACAAGUAAUUAAAUAUUGAGAAAUUGAAAAGUGAAAUUAAUCAAAUCUGAUUAUGGGUGAUUAGCUCACUUCAGUAAUCUUCAUCAACUGCCGCUUUAGGUUCCUCAUCAAUCAACUAGUUGAUAUCCUAGUAGAAUCUUCCGAUGGAUCCACUAGAACAAUAAGUCAGCAAUGACUACUUAUCUUCUGACCUCACAGUCUAGACCGGUUUGAGGUGAAGGUGUUUACAGAUAGGCCAUAGCAAUUUUAGGUUAAUUUCCACCUUGAUAACUUCUUAGGGUCGUCAAGCCUAGGUUUUACGUUCUUCUUUUCCCAAACAGCUGAUCUGUUGAGUAAUCCUACAAAACAGUUAAUAUAUCAUAGCUCCACUCGCUAAUCCCCCAUAAAAGGAUUAGUUCCUCAUGGUUUUCGUAAACAAUAUAAAGUUGAUAUAAAGUGUAAACAUGAUAAUUGAAUCGAAAGUAUAAAGUUUAAGAAAAAGCCUGAUUUGUAUUACGAAGAAGAAUGAAUCCACAAAGUUUAAUCGUAUCCACAAGUCAUAUUUCCUGAGAUAAAACAAAGAACAAGCUGAAAUAAAUAUAAAACCUAAGAAAAGAUAAAUACUAAACUAAAAAUAAAAAGAAAGAUUCUAAGCUAAGUAAUCAGUGUCUAUAACAUGUGCCAAAUGAGCCUAUUUAUAGAUUUGAGGUGAUCGUCGUCCUUAACCCUAGGUUAGCUGACAUUCCCGAACUUUAAGUUGGAUUGUGCGGACCAAAAUACCCCCUGGCUCGUAUUAAUUCCCGUCAAGAGUUGAUGUUGCGACACAUCAAAACCUGUGUCGCGACAUAAAAGUCAGUAUACUUUUCUUCAAAGUGUCUUUAGGGGUAUGUCGCGACAUCCUUAAGCUGUGUCGUGACAUCAAAGGAAAUCUUAGAAUUCCUCCAUUCUGCUCCCUAUGUUGCAAUAUCGAAUCCUCUGUGUUGCGACAUAGUGACUAGUAUCAGUUUAGCACGCCUCCUAAUGGUCUCCUAUAUACUCACAAAGUUCAUUAGCUCACCCUUAGACCUCGUUCGACCCCUAAGGUCAAGAAAAGACUCAAUUUAUACAUUUUGUUGAAUUUAAUUAAACUUACUAAAACAUAAUUAAAAUCUAAUGAUAAUGCUUAUUUUCAAGCUCUUAAAGUGAAAAAAUUAGUUUAAUCUACUAACCCAAUUAUGACAGAUCAAUUAUAUUAUUAUUAUUUAUAUCACUUUUUACACGUAAUUUUAGCUUGUUUAAUAGUAAAUAAAAUUAUCUUAGUAUAUAUUUAUGUUUUCAUACUUGAAGUAAUGAUGUAUGCUUUUUAGUAGUUUUUAUUACAUUUUAGAUAUAUAAAUAUGGUUGCAUGGUCCUGUAGGACAAUCUGGGAGCAAAAGAUGCAUAUUCAUGAUGGAACUGUUGCCUAUGUCGCGACACCAACACAUCGAUGUUGUAACAUCAAAGGCAGAAGCAAAAACAAGUCAAUGAGCGAAACUGCUUGGUAUGUCGUGACAUAGCCUUACUAUCUUGGAGCGAAGACCUAAUAAAUUGUACAUAAAUUGAAACCUUGAACUCUUCCUUAUCCUUGGUCUUUUAAUACAUUACAAAAUAGACGUUAGGCUAUAGAUAUUGAGGGUUUAGGUAUAUACAUCAUGGUGGUUUCAAAAAAAUUUAGAGCGAAAAAAGAAGAAACAAUAUGAUACAAUGAUUAUAGGUCAAGCAAAAAUGUGCAAAAAAAGAAAAAUAUAGAAAAAGUAAAAAGUAAAAAUAAGAAGAAAAAGUACAAAAUAAAAGCAAAAGCCUUAUGAGUGAGAAAAAAAGUAAAAUGUCAAGUGGCAAAACAAAAAGUCACAAAAGUGAGAAAAACUCAGUCAUCAAUGCACAAAAACUCGUUGAGCCAACCAUAGUUAUUAGUAUUAUAUUGUAUCUUCCUACAUGGAGAGAUAAGGAAGGUGAGAGAGGGAGAAAAAAGAAGGUGAGCUUGAAAGGGGCACCUAGAGAGAGAGGGAAUAAUGUCAUGUGCCUAACUAUUUCUAGUGUUUGAACUAUUUUGAGCCAUAUCUUUCUUUGAACUCGUACAGUCCUAAGCCUCAGAACAUUACAAGCCUAGAAGACCAAUGUGACUUAAGCGUUCUCUGUGCAUAAUCUUCUAGUAUUGCUAAUGUAAUGACCUAAAUUCAAGGUUAGCGGAAUAGUGGUUUCGUAACCAUAAAUCCGAUUUAAAGAAAAAUUUAUUUUAAUAUUUUGCAUGAAUAUUGAUAUGAUAGGAAAACCGUAUGAAAAUAUUGAUAGAAAAAUUUUACCGAUUUAAUGGUUAGUUAGAAAAAGAAAUUAUUGAAGAAAUUGGGUAAAAAUAAGGUAUGGGGACCUUGAUCUCGUAAAACUGAGUCAGAAAUAUUUUUAUAAAUAUUUAUGAAAUGUAAGCAAUGUGGUAUUAAAAUUUUGUUAUAAAAUUUUAAUGUUUGGGUAGUCAAUUAAAUGAAAAGGACUAAAUUGAAAAAGGUGUAAAAGUGGCUGGGAUGAUUAAAUAGCUUAGGUGUCUAAUGAGAAAGGAUUUAAAAGGCAAUUAGACCAAAAUUUAUUUGGGCUGGACGGAAAGGGCAUGAAAUCAGCAAGAAAAUGGAUUAUUUAAGGGUAAAAUUGGAAUAUUGCAUCAUUAACUAAAUAAAAUUAGGACUAAUGUAGAAAUAUCUAGAUUUCUUGUGAUUUCUCUUCAUUCUCAUCAGCCAAAAGGCCAUAGGAGGGGUUCUUUAAGCUGGUAUUUCAUAAUUUUUGCACCAAGUGAGUUAAUCCUUGCCUUUUUCUUGUAAUUUUUGUGUUUCUAAGACUUUUACAACUAGGUUCUACUAUUAAAUUCAUUAGUUUUUGAUUUCAUGGAUGGAAUUGAAAGUCACCAUGGUUGAGUGCUGUAAGUUUAUGAUGAAAUAACAUGAAAUUGAAGCUUUAAUUUGUUUAUGAGAUGAUUUUAUUAGGUAAUUUUAAUAGAAAUUGAUUUUUAAGACCUAAUUGUGAAAAGUUGGAAUUAAAGUCUAGUGCUGAAAUUUUGAUUCCCAAAGGUUAUAAAGUAGUUUAAAGUGAUAGAAUAAAGUGUUAAUUGAGAAAAAUCAGCUCAAUUGAGAGGUUAAUUGAGCAGGGACGAAAUUAUCAUUUAUUAAAAGCUUAGGGGAAAAUGGUAAUAAACAUCUUGCACUAAAACAGCUUUGGACAGCAACAGUAGGCUAACUUUAAAAAAAUCACCAUAAAUUGUGGAAAUCUAAUUAGAGGAUAAAUAAAAUAUUGAAUUAAAGCUUAUUGAGUCUAGUUUCUUAUAGUAGAAACGGUGUAAGUAAUGGAAUUGUAAAUCAUGAGAUAUAUUAAAUUUUGUGAGACAAGGUCAGAAUGAAUUCGGAAUCCCCUGUUCUGAAUUUGGAAAAUCAUUAAAAAUUGGAGAAAAAUAAUUAAGGGUUAAAAUUUACAUAUUUAAACUAUUAAUGAGUCUAUUUUUAAUAGAAACAAACGGAAAUAUCAUCCAAAUUUUGUACUAAGAGAUAAUUAAUUUUUAGCAAAGAAAGGUCGAAGUUGUCAAACAACAGAACAGGGGUAAGUUUGAAGAUUUUACUGUACUCAUUGGCUGAACCAAAAAUUCUGAAAAUUUUAUGGUGAAAAUAUAUUUGAGUGUAGUUUCAGAAGCAUCAAAUGGUUUUUAAUAUGGAAUUCUGUAGCUUGAGAUAUAAAUAAUUUAGUGACUACGACUCAAGUAGACAGCUUUGAGUGAACAGUAAAUAAUAGUGGAAUUAUAGAGAAUGUUACAUAUGAACGUGAAAUGUAUUAAAUUGAUGAUUAAAUUUAUUUAUUUAGAUCCAGAAAAUUCAAAUAUGAAGCUAGAUCGAGGAAAGGAAAAAGUUCGGGAUUAGUAGAUUUUUGUAUACGAACAAGUAUCGAGGUAAGUUUGUGUAACCUGAAUUAUAUUCUUAAAUGCUUGAAAUGUAUAUUAUUGAUGUGAAUAUGAUUUAAAUGUUCAUUGUAUGAAAAUUGAUGAGACAUUGAUAUAUUUGAUAAAAAGGGGGAAAAAUCCCGGUUGAAUAAAAGGAAAAUUCGAUGGAUCUUUAAAAAGGAAUUGACGGUAAAGAAAAGAUCUAUCCCGGACAGGUGAUCCUACCCUGAUAUAGCCCUCUCGAAGAAUAUGUGUAAAAUAGAUUUAGCUCAGACGGGUAAUCUGAAUUAGGGUUUGAAUUUAGCCUGGACUAGUAAUUCAGAUCCAAGCUCAUUAGAGUAAAUUGUCGUUGUAGGGGAUUUAGCCUAGACUUGUAAUCACAACAAUACUCUAUAAGUUUAUAUUACAGGGGAUUUAGCCUGGACUGGUAAUCCUGCUGUAAGGAUGAGGUUCGCAGGAGUGUGCUCUCUGAAAUGGAAAUGUGCGCACAUGAAUAUGAAUUGACGGACCCGGAAUAGUACGCUAAAAGUGUACCUCUAAAAACCCAUCGAAAUUCCGAGAAAUUCAAUGGGAUAAAUAUGGUAAAUAAUAAGGGUAAUAGAAAACAUGGAAUUGAUGAGCUCAUCAGUCAUUAAUCUUUGUAUUGAACUCAUAUGAUGCUAUUUGAUUAAUGUUUUGGUUGAGUUUGUGUGAUAGGUAAAUGGUAAAUUGAAUGGAUGUAUGAAUAUUUAUUGUAUUGUAUUGGAAAUAUUAGGUAAGUAUAAUUCUUGUUACAUGACUUUACUAAGCACAACGUGCUUACCCUGUUUCCUUUUUCCCUGAUUUGUAGUAUUAAGAGCUCGAAGGUUGGAUUCGGUCGGAGAUACAUCACACUAUCAACUUCAACAUUUUGGUAUAUCAAGAAACUUUAUUUUGGAAUCACUGAUGUGUAUAAGUUGAUAGAGUAAAUGUUAAAGUGAAAUGAAUGUAAAGUUAGCCAUUGGUAUGGCUUGAAAUCCAGGUUUUGGUAUGUGAUGAGGUUAUCUUAUGGAUAUGCGUAAAUCUAUCUUGAAAAUAUGUUGAAUUUGAUUGGUUGAUUUGAUUUGAUAUCGGUGUAUGUUUUGGGCUUCGGAGGCCUAUCUAAGGGACGUCAUAAUAUGUUUCAAUAAAAGAAUAGUAUUUAACUCGUAAUAACGAAAAAAAAUAAUUUGAAAAACUCUGGCAAUGCCUCGUACCCUAUUCCAGUGACGAAUAUAGGUAAGGAGUGUUACAGCUAACAAUUGUACUUAAUGAAAAUUUUUUAUUCACAUGAUUGUAUCUACUCAAUAUCUAUUUGAUUUCUAUUAACGGUGAUAUUGUUAAACAUUUGGUUAUGAGAUUUGCUUCUAAUUUAUUAGUAAUGUAACUUUGUAAAGUAAUCUUAGUUUACUUUAAAAAGUUUUCAAUGCAUCGAACUAUCAAUAUUAAGUUGCAUGUGCGAUAAAAUUUUUUAUAGCUUUACUAUUUGACAACCAUGUUCGUAGUAGUAAUAAAUUCCAAGGGACGUCUUCUUUUUGCAUACUAUAUGUCUAAAGUUGGUUUGCUUGAGGACAAGCAAAAAGUUAAGUGUGGGGGAGUUACGUGUGAGAUUCUUAUUUACAUCCAUCUUCACUAACUUUAUCUUGUUUAAAUAAAGAAAUCAAGUCAUUUUCGUAUUAUUUUUUUUCCUUUUUCCCAUAUAUGUGUUUUGGUUGCUUGAGGACAAGCAACAAGUUAAGUGUGGGGGAGUGAUCUACCAGGAAUUAUACUAUUAUUUACAUCCCUUUGUAUACAUAAUUGUAUCUUGUUUAAUAGUAAAUCAAGUUAUCUUAGUAUAUAUCUAUGUUUUCAUACUUGAAGUAAUGACAUAUGUUUUUUAGUAGUUUUAUUACAUCCUAGAUAUCUAAAUAAGGUUAUAUGGUCAUGUGGGACAAAUCGGGAGCUAAACAUGCAUAAACGGGCCAAAAAUGAUGCCUAUGUCGUGACACCAAGACACCGAUGCCGCAACAUCAGAGACAAAAGCAAAACAAGUCUUGGGGUGAAACUGCUUGUUAUGUCAUAACAUAACAGGCACCAUAUUUGAUUUUGCAACACUACAUGCCUAUGUUGCAACACCACUUCUGCGCGGUCCAAAAGUCCUAGUGCGUGAUAGUUGCAUUUUUUAGGGAAAUUAGGAGAAUUUUUCCUAGUCAAACUCUAAGCACUUCAAAGAUAGUUUAGGCACUUUAAUAUUCUGAGUUUAGCCUAUAUAAAGGCCAUUGUAAUAAGUUCAAACACACAAUUUUAAGGAGACAAAAAUUAUUCUUAGGUUUUUAUUGCAUUCUUAGUUUCUACUUAGUUUAUUUUAUGUUCUUGUAAUCAAAAGAUCCUAUUCCAAAGUGAGACUUUUGCGAGCGGAGAUUGUUCGGAGCCAUACUUUCAUCGAUAAAUCUAUGAGCAUCUCUUUCCUUUAUUUUAUUCUUUAUAUUUCUUUCUUUAAAAUUGUUAAUUGAAUGUUUGUGUAAAGAUUAGAAUCAAUAUAAUUUAUAUAUAUUUCGCAUGUUUCAAUUGUACUAAUCUUAUUAAUUGAUUGAUUGAUAGAGUUUAUUUGGGUUGGUUAGAUUUGGUUGAGUGUUAUUAAACCCUAGGAUUGACAACCCUAAGAAGUCAUCUAGGUAGGAAUUAACUUGAAAUUGGUAUUGCCUACAAAGCAUCACUUAGCAAAUCAAUGGUUAGAGAAGGAAGAACUUAAACCCUAUGAUAGACGAUCCUAGGAAGUCAUAUAGGUGUGAAUUAACCCAAAUUCGGUAUUGCCUAUCCAUGAAAACCUUACCCUACCCCGAUCUGGACUGCAUCAUUGAGAGGUGAGUAGUUCUUGUCGUCUAGUUAGGUUAGUAGAAGUUGAGAAGCCCUGCUAGGUUAAUUAGUAACCAACUAUUUAGAUCCCUACAUCAAUAAUUAAUUAGGUAAAACAAUUGGAUCUAGGCUUAAGGAACUCCCGUAUUCGAAACAAGGGAUAGGAGAAGUUGAUACAUGAACUUAAGAGUAGAUUUAAGUUUAGAUCACUUUAUUUGGUUAUUAUUAUCAUCUUACUUUUAGAUUAACACUACUAAUUUAUACCUUUAGUAGAUUAGUAGUUAUUUUCGGUAAUUUGCUUAAUAGUAGUUUUUUUUUCACACUGCACAAUCUUCAGAAUACUUACCAAGUAUUUCAUUGUAAACAAACUAUAUUACAACCUGCCCCUUAUACUUGUGAACACAACCUUAAUUCCAUAUAUUUUGUAACAGUAUUCAUACUCUCAACGUUGGUAUGUCGGGAGGCAGUCAUUUAGCGAUUUCUAUUCAAAAGUGCAUGCAAGUAAGGAGACCGUGAUGGGCACAGUGAGGUGUCUAUUAGUUGAAAGCAAGUUGCCAAAGGAAUUUUGGGUUGAGGUAGUUAACACUUCAGUCUAUUUGGUGAACAGGCUGUCAACCAAGGAUGUGAAAGAAAAGACUCCAUUUGAAGCUUGGUACGGGUAUAAGCCUUUUGUUUCUCAUUUGAAAGUAUUUGGCUAUAUUUUUUUUUCAUGUACCUCAGGUGAAAAAAAGCAAAGUAGAAAGGAAAUCGUAGCCUGGGAUUUUUAAGAUGCUACUAUCUGAUUCUUAAGGAAAUACCAAUAUUUCUUCCUCCCUUGAGCUGGAAGUUGCGAUUUUGGGUUGUUAUGAGGAGAUAUUUUAUGUUUGGUUAAGUAGUAUGACUUUGUAUGCGAGUUCUGAAAGAGUAAGUUUGUUAGAUUUGGUAAAACAAAAAGAUAAAGAUAUGAGGCUUUGUUUGGGGACUUCUAAUGUUAGAAAUGUUAGUAAAAAGGUAUAUGAAUAAAUUUUGAUGUGCUUCUAUGUUCUGUAUCAGUGCUUGCUGUUGAUUUCGUAAUGAGAGUCUAGAUCUAGAGUUUUUCUUUGCGACAAGUUAGAAUCAGGUGAGUCUCUAAACUGACUCUUGUAUGUAUUAUUCAUACUAAAAAAACUGUAGGAAAUUUCUUGGAAGGUGAUGUGUGAUCUUGUAAGUUGCAGUAUGUUGUGUAUGUGACUUAGGAGUGACUAUUAAAGGAUAUAUAUGAGUGUGUGAAUGUUUGUUAAGAAUGGAAUACAUAUCUGGUAUGAAUAUGAUAGUUCUAGUAAGGCGAGGUGAGGUAUAGUUGCAUCUGAAUGUCAUGAAAGUAUAUGUGCAUGUCUUGGAUGUAUGCUAUGAGGAAUGUUCUAUUAAGAGCAAGUUGUUAUUCAAAUGGUGAAUAUGGAUCGUGUCAGUGCAUGUAGAGUAUCUGUCUGUCUUCACGGUAUUGUCUAAAGGAGUCUGUUGAGACUUUAAACACGAAUUCUGAAAAGAAAAUUCCAUGGCCAUGGCACAUUCCGAAAGGAACUAAAGGACGAGGAUUACCCAAUGGGGUUAUCUGCCUAUCCCAGGAUGAUGAUAGGCAAACCUCACGCAACGUGAGUUUAGGAAAAUCUAUAUCAUAAAUACGUCAGGAAAUGAAGCCUUUGUGGAUAACUCUAAAAAGAAAGCCUUUGUGGCUAACUCUAAAAAGGAAGCUUUCAUGGCGAACUCCAAAGGAAUAACCUCUAUGGCCAAUUGUAAUAGGAUAGCCUUUGUGGCGCAAUGUAAAAGGAACACCUGUGUGGCGAAUUAUGAAAAGAAUAGCCUUUGUGAUGGAUUAUGAAAGAGCAUCAUUCGUAGCAAACUUCAAAUGUGAUGUCCUUGUGGCGUGUCUUAAUAAGGCUCUUAGUGGGAAAACUUUAAAAGAUGUCACUUAUGGCAAUUUUUGAAUUAAGCUAAUUUUCGUAUUCAAUCUGGCUUUUAAAUGUAUUCAGAACACAAUCAACAAGGCAUAAGUUAUCUAUUAAUUAUACGGUGAAGUAUCACAUAGGACUAUCAAUCGAUUGGAAGUAUUGAAUUGAAGAGAUAUAUAGAAAUAAGGAAUUAGUAUGGAAAGUUUAUUUCAAAAUAAGGAUUUGGAAUUGUACAUUUGAAGAAGGUAUUUGUCAUCUACUCACAUGAUGGCUUAGAACUAAGUAUGGUACAGUAAUAGUGUGUUAGUUAAGUUGAUCUUGGAAAGGAAAUGCAAAGAUACUUAUAAAUGCUAGGAUGAAAGGCAUACGUGAUGUAUCGAAUACCCCAAUGGAAAAAGAGUUAAUUUUUGAGUAAGGCAUGAUAUAUAUAGUGUAUGAAGAAUGGAAUUUGAGGGAAGCAAUCGCCAAAGACAGGUUACUGGGCAAGAACAAUAAGAUCAUCUCAUUGAAUCAUCAACUGUAUUGUGCAAAUAUCACAUAGGUAAUUAUAUAUUCCUCACUUAGUUUGUAUAAACUUAUCCAUGUGUAUGUUAUAUUAUAGGUUUGAUUGCAAGGCUACACCAAGAGGGACGAUACCAGGACUACUCUAAAGGAGUGGCGUAUCGGGAAAUUAUGAAUGCAAUUAGUUGAUAUGUUCCUUAGAAUUCAUAUUUUUUUUGUAAUAUAUAGGUUUUAAAUUAGAAAUAUUUAUACCUUAAUUACCAUGUGUUGCAAAUGUAGUUAUCUACUGAACAUACUUAUAUAUUUAGUUUGAAAUCUGCAAUUGAAUAAGUUGUAAUUGUUUGAAAUUUGUAUAAGUAGGUUAAGUUUUUGUUUGUUUAUGUUGGUAAUGCCCAAGAUCUAGAUCCAAAAAAACGGACCAAGCUCAACAAAGGACUUCUCCUCGGCCAUGACUACAAUAAGCUCAGUGAUGCAUUGUCGGUGCAAAUAAUGUUCUUCCCAAAACUUCAAUCCAUCUUCAAACUAGUAGAAUGCUUCUUUUUCACUUAUAUCAGAUAUUUAAAGCAUUUAUUCACUAAAGUACUAAAUAGUGCCUUCUUGAGUAAGCCAGUGCAACUUAGCCCGAGCUUCCUUCUCGGCAUAUUAUUGGUAAAACUGUUUUUUCAUCUCCUUUUGGAACUCCUCCUAAAUUUUAAUUUUAGUCCUACCAUGUUUCUCAUCCGUGAACCUACGAUGCCACCAUAAGAGAGUAACAUCAGUAAAAUAAAUUAAAGCAGUGUUUACCUUAGUGACAUCUAUAAUGACCCAAAAUUCACGGGCAUCGAAAAAGUAUAAUAUCGAGCCUCCGUCUUGAGUUUAAAAAUAAUUAUUAGAAAUAUUUACGAGACUAGUUGUGUGUUUAAUUAGGUUUUAGAUAGGUGAAUUUGGCUCAAUUAAGAGUAAUUAGCAAAAGGGAUUAAAUUACAAUAGAAGUGAAAAUCUAAUCAUAGAUUAAAAGAAAGUAAAAAGGGCUAAAAUGGCAAUUAAGCCAUUUAAAAUGAUUGAGGCGGCAUAAAGGAAUAAAUUUUAAGAUUUUAUUUAUUUAAUUAUAUGAUUAAUGAUAUUUAUUGUUUAUUAUUAGUUAUUAGUUAUUAUUAAAUUAAAAGAUAUUUAGUAAUUAAAUAAUUAGUAUAAGAUUUUUGGGUAAUAAUAAAUUAUGAUUUUGCCAAGUGUGUGGUAAAAAUAAAAUACAAGUGUAUUAUAUUUCUUUAUUUACUUGAAAAUUAAGUAAAAGAUAAUUGUUAAUUAAAUAAUAAUAUUAUGAGAUUUUUAUUUGAUAAAUUAGUUAGAUUGAGACAAGUGUAUGUAAUGAUUUAAUGCAAGUGUACUAAUAAAAUACAUACAUUUGUAAUAUUUAUAAUUAGUUAAUAUAAUAUAAAGUAAAUGAAAUAAAAUGAAAUAAAAACAAAGCAAAAGAAAGGAAAGAAACAGAAUAGAAGAGACGAAACAGGGGAGAAACAGGGGAGAAAGAAGAAAAAGAAGAAAAUAGGGAAAAUAGGGUUUUUGAAGCUUGAAAUUUAAUUUGGUAAGUCAAAUUAGCCCUUUUCUCUUAAUUCUAAUGUUUUAAAAGCUUUAAAACAAAGUUUUGAUGGAAUUAAGUUGAUAUUUUGUAAGUUCAUAGGUUUUCAAGUAACGUUUAUGUUGAACAAAAGAGAUGAAUUAAGAAUUAAAUUGAAUGAAUUUUAAGUUAGAAUUGAAAAAGGGAUUAAAUUGUAAAAGAAACUAUAAGUUUUAUGUUUUAGGGACUAAAUUGAGGGAAAUUCGAAAUUAGCAAAAAUGCUGAAAUUUCGAUAGUUAAAUUUUAGUUUGGAUGAAAUUUGAAUAGAAAUAGAGUGUGAAUUGAAUUAGGAAAGCAAGUGAAUUUAGUUAGGAUUAAAUUGAGAAUUAGGAAGAAAUUGAAUAGAAAUUCAAUUAUUUAUUAUAAUUAGUGCUGUAAUUAAUAUUACAAAUUAUUAUUAUUUUCGUAGCUAACAAAGAACCCGAGGCAUCGGCGUCAAAAGGAAAGGAGAAAGUUAUCGAGGACUAAAACGGGAGAUUUACGGUUUGUAUUACUAUAAUUCAAAUUAUUUAUUUUUAAAUGUUUAAUUUUAAUUUAUGUGUUUAGUAAAUGAAAUGUGCGGUAAGUAUUAUUAUUAUUAUUAUUAUUAGUGGGAAUUAAACUGAAUAUUUGAUAUGAAUUAAUAUUUGAAUUGUUUGUUGAUUGAAAGUGGGAAGUGAAUUUAAAUCGAAUAGUGACUGAUAUUAAAUUGAAUGGAAAUGUAUUGAGUUGUGAAAAUGUGUGAAUUGCGGAUUAAUUAUUGAUUGAAAGGUGGAAAAAUGAUUGAAUUGAAAAUGUGAGAAAUUGUGAUUGAAUUGGGAUUAUAUGUGAUUUAAAUACCCUAUUAACUAGUCGGGCUGAGUCGGAUAUAGUUGGCAUGCCAUAGGAUUGGAAGAGUUCAGGGAUACUUCGACCUCGAGUCGAUGAGACACUGGGUGUCACUAUAUUUUUUCGGAUAGAUUCGAUGAGGUACUGGGUACCAACUUUCUUCGGCUUUGCCGAUGAGACACUGGGUGUCAACUAUUGCUUCGAACUAUCCGAUGAGGCACUGGGUGUCAUACUGGUGUGUUUGGUUGGAUCCGUGUAUCCGCCAAAGUCCGAGUUUUGUUAAUAGGGUAAUUAAUGAAAUGAUAAACCGAACGAGCUACUGAAAUGAAAUGAAAAAGUUGAAUUGUGAAUUGAAAUGUGAAAUGAGAUUGAGAAAUGAACCUAAAGUUCAUGAGAUGUUCAAAUUCAAAUUGUGGAUAUGUGAUAUUGAUUGAUGGAUUGCUAUUGUUGAGAUAUUGAAUUUAAAUUGUAUAUACGAUUUAUGCAUUACAUGUACAUUAUUGUUAUAAUUUGAAUUAUGGUAAUACCACUGAGUAUGAAUUACUCAGCGUACGGUUGUUUCCAUGCGCAGGUCGAUAGAAGUCAAAGGUCUCGGUUCAGCAUCCAGAUUAAUCCCGGCUUCAGCAUAACUUUGGUGAUGUAUAUUUUCUUUUGGUAAUGUGGCAUGUACAUAGGAAUUAUAAGUUUUAUAUAAAUGGUUAAAAAUGUUAGUAUUAUAAGUUUAUGAAUUAUAAUGAAAGAAGUUUAUCUAUUUUAAUCUAAUUAGUCAAUGGAUAAAUUUAAAUUGAUAUUAUGUUAAUUGAGUUUGAUUAGAAGUAUUUAGAAUAGAAAAUGUGAAUGUGAAAUGAAUUGGUUGAUUUGGUUAUAUUUGAAAAUGUUAUGGAUUUUAAUUGCAGGGGGUUGUAUGUAAAAAUAAGCAGAAGUGCUGCCGAAAUUUUUCAAAAAAAAAAUGAAUGAAGUUUAUUAGCGAAAUUUAUAUGAAUUUAUGACUCUCUUUUAUAUGUUCGUUAAUUGUUUAUGAAUUAUUUGAAAUUUGUCUGAAAUGUCCGGUAAUGCCUCAUAACCCUGUUCUGGCAACGGUUCAGGGUUAGGGGGUGUUACAGUUGUUGGUAUCAGAGCUAUCAGGUUUAGCCGAUUCUCGGCCUAAAUCGAGCUCGGAAUUGAGUCUAGAUGUACAUGCCACUGUCGAGUCAAACUGAGUCGAGAUUUUUGGAUGCUGACCUAUUUGUUUGCUUUGUUUUAUAGAUUAAAGAUGUCUGAAGAAAGAAUAAAUGAUACUGAUGAAAGAAUGUAUACUGAAGAUAGAGAAUUAGAUGAAACAGAAUCUGCUGCACCGAGUGUGAAUCUGUUAGGCAACCAGCCUCCUAAUGUGGAACGGGAAAAUGCCAGAGAUAGAGAUGAAUCCCAAUUACUGAGAAUUAUAGCUGAUGCAUUACAAAGAGUAGCGAGAACUACUCCUGCUACGACUUCAGUACCUACUGUUAGACGGGCCCCGAUAAAAGAACUGAGAAAAUAUGGUGCCACUGAAUUUAUGGGUCUAAAAGGAGUCGAUCCAUCCGCAGCUGAAAAUUGGAUGGAGUCGAUUAAAAGAAUUUUGCAGCAAUUAGACUGUACCCCCCGUGAGUGUUUAAUCUGUGAUGUAUCGUUGCUACAAGGGGAGGCUUAUCUAUGGUGGGAAUCAGUAGUUCGACAUCUAUCAGAGAGUCAGAUAACGUGGGAUCUAUUUCAGAAGGAAUUCCAAAAGAAAUAUAUCGGAGAGAUAUAUAUCGAAGACAAGAAACAAGAGUUUUUAAUGUUACAACAGGGGGAUAUGUCAGUAAUAGAUUAUGAGAGAGAAUUCUCGAGACUCAGCAGAUAUGCCUCCAAAUUUAUCCUGACAGAAGCUGAUAGUUGUAAAAGAUUUCUAUGGGCUUUGCGAGACGAGAUCAAGGUACAGUUAGUAUCUCAUCGGAUCACUGAGUUAGUAGAUUUGAUUGAGCGGGCUAAAAUGGUGGAACAAGUUCUAGCCCUUGAUAAAAAGACUGAAGUUGUUAGACCAACCAGGAAAUGUACAGGAACUACGAGUUCGAACCUUCAGCCGAAAAGACCAAAGGAGUCUCAAGGUGGUUGAAGAUCCAGUUUCAGAUCAGGCAAAGGUGGUAGAAGCAGGGGAAGAUAGAUGACGGUAUCUACUGGCAAUGUGAGAGGUCCUUGUCGAGAAAUAGAAAUUCCAGACUGUCAACACUGUGGAAAGAAACAUAGAGGGGAAUGUUGGAGAUUAACUAGAGGUUGUUUCCGAUGUGGUUCUACAGACCAUUUUAUCAGAAAUUGUUUGAAAACUGAUAGUACUGUACCCGUGACAUCACAGAGAUCGGUAUCUACUGCUAGAGGCAGAGGGUUAGGAAGAGGUGGUUCGGUUUCAAGGGGAGGAAGUAUUAGGAGGAGUAGUGAUAUUGCUACCCAGCAGUCUGAAGCUAAAGUACCUGCCAGAGCUUAUGUGGUCAGAACACGGGAAGAAGGCGACGCCCACGGUGUAGUAACAGUAAGAUCAGAACUGUAUGUGAGUUUCCAGAUGUAUUCCCUGAAGAACUACCGGGUUUACCACCUGACAAAGAGGUUGAAUUUGCUAUAGAAGUGUAUCCGGGUACAACACCAAUCUCUAUACCACCGUAUCGAAUGUCGCCCACUGAGUUAAAAGAGUUGAAAGUGCAAUUACAGGACUUGCUAGAUCGUGGAUUUAUUAGACCGAGCAUUUCACCUUGGGGAGCUCCGGUAUUGUUUGUUAAAAAGAAAGAUGGAUCGAUUCGGCUUUGUAUUGAUUACCGGCAGUUAAACAAAGUGACGAUCAAGAACCGGUAUUCGUUACCCCGUAUAGAUGAUUUAUUUGAUCAACUAAAAGGAGCUUCAGUAUUUUCGAAGAUUGACUUGAGAUCUGGGUAUUAUCAGCUGAAAGUAAAAGAAAGUGAUGUUUCGAAGACUGCAUUUCAUACUCGAUAUGGUCAUUAUGAAUUUUUGGUAAUGCCGUUCGGGUUGACUAAUGCUCCAGCUGCUUUUAUGGAUUUGAUGAAUCGUAUUUUUCAGCCAUAUUUAGACCAGUUUGUGGUGGUUUUUAUUGAUGAUAUAUUGGUUUAUUCAAAUUCGGAGUCAGAGCAUGAUCAGCAUCUCAAAACCGUGUUACAGAUUCUGCGGGAAAAAUAGUUGUACGAGAAACUGAGUAAAUGUGAAUUCUGGUUAUCAGAGGUAGUAUUCUUGGGACAUGUUGUAUCUGCGGAUGGGAUUAGAGUUGAUCUGAAGAAGAUUGAGGCAAUUGUUCAAUGGAAGGCACCAAAGAAUGUAUCAGAGGUACGCAGUUUUCUUGGUUUGGCUGGGUAUUACAGAAAAUUUGUAAAUGGGUUUUCGAAGAUAGCUUUGUCGAUGACCAAGUUACUACAGAAGAAUGUUCCAUUUAUCUGAGAUGAUCAAUGCCAGAGAAGUUUUGAAACAUUGAAACAAAUGUUGACAGAGGCACCAGUCCUAACUUUACCAGAAUUAGGGAAAGAUUUCAUAGUGUACAGUGAUGCUUCUUUGAAUGGUUUGGGUUGUGUAUUGAUGCAGAAUGGAAAAAUAAUAGCUUAUGCAUCUCGACAGUUGAAACCACAUGAACGUAACUACCCGACACACGAUUUGGAGUUAGCUGCUGUAGUAUUUGCAUUGAAGAUUUGGAUACAUUACUUGUAUGGUGAGAAAUGUUAUAUUUACACUGAUCAUAAAAGUCUCAAAUAUCUUCUGUCACAAAAGGAGUUGAAUCUGAGACAGAGACGAUGGAUAGAACUUCUGAAAGAUUAUGAUUGUGUUAUAGAUUAUCAUCUAGGAAAGGCAAAUGUGGUAGCAGAUGCAUUGAGCAGAAAGGCAGCGGCUGAAUUACGGACAAUGUUUGCUCGGCUUAGUAUUAAUGAUGAUGGAAGUUUGUUAGCUGAGUUAAGAGUUAAGCCGGUAAUGUUUGAUCGAAUCAGAGCAGCACAACUAGAAGAUGAGAAGUUGAUGAAGAAAAGAGAAAUGGUACAGCAUGGUACGGUAGAAAAUUUUAGUAUUGACGAGCAUGAUUGUUUGAGAUUUCGGAAUCGAAUUUGUAUUCCAGCUACUUCUGAGAUUAAAGAGCUGAUUCUUCGAGAAGCACAUGAUAGUAUUUUUGCUUUGCACCCAGGUGGAACGAAGAUGUAUCGCGAUCUACGAGAACUGUAUUGGUGGCCAAGAAUGAAGAACGAUAUAGUUGAGUAUGUCAGUAAAUGCUUGACUUGUCAGCGGGUAAAAGCAGAACAUCAGGAACCAACAGGUCUGUUACAGCCUAUUACUAUUCCCGAGUGGAAAUGGGAUCGCAUUACCAUGGAUUUUGUUAUGGGGUUGCCAUUGUCAGUGAGUAAAAAGAAUACCAUUUGGGUGAUUGUUGAUCGACUCACAAAGUCAACUCAUUUUAUAGUAGUUAGAACCGACUGGUCAUUACAGAAGCUUGCCGAGGUUUAUAUUCGAGAAAUUGUUAGAUUACAUGGUAUUCCGGUAUCAAUAAUUUCAGACAGAAAUCCUCAAUUCACUUCGAGAUUUUGGAAGCAGCUGCAUGAAUCAUUGGGUACUCGACUUAGUUUCAGUACAGCUUUUCAUCCUCAAACUGAUGGACAAUCUGAACGGGUAAUUCAGAUAUUAGAAGAUAUGCUUCGAGCUUGUGUCAUUGAUUUUGAAUCAGGUUGGGAACGUUAUUUACCAUUGGCCGAGUUUGUUUAUAAUAAUAGUUUCCAAUCUAGUAUUCAAAUGGCUCCGUAUGAAGCACUUUAUGGUCGAAGGUGUCGGUCACCAGUAUGUUGGACAGAAUUAAAAGAAAGAAAAGUGAUUGGGCUGGAAUUAAUUCAAGAGACAGAAGAAACAGUUAAGAAGAUUAAAGAUAGACUGAAAGCCGCUUUUGACAGACAGAAAUCUUACGCAGACUUGAAACGACGAGACAUUGAAUAUUCCAUUAGUGAUAAGGUAUUCCUCAAAGUAUCGCCGUGGAAGAAAAUUUUGAGAUUUGGUCGGAAGGGAAAAUUAAGUCCGCGCUUUAUUGGGCCGUAUGAGAUUGUGGAAAGAAUUGGGCCUGUUGCUUAUCGAUUAGCCUUACCUCCAAAGUUACAGAAAAUUCAUGAUGUUUUUCAUGUUUUGAUGCUUCGGAGAUUUAGAUCGGAUUCUUCUCAUAUCAUUCCCACUGAAGACAUUGAAAUUCGAUCUGAUUUAACUUAUGAAGAAGAACCAAUUCAGAUAUUAGCACGAGAAGUGAAAGAAUUAAGAAAUAAACGGGUUCCUUUAGUAAAAAUUUUAUGGAGAAGUCAUAGUGUGGAAGAAGCGACUUGGGAACCGGAAGAGACAAUGAGAGCACAAUAUCCUCAUCUCUUCUCAGGUAAAUUUCGAGGACGAAAUUUAUUAAGGGGGAGAAAUGUAAUGACCCAAAAUUCACGGGCAUCGGAAAAGUAUAAUAUCGGGCCUCCGUCUUGAGUUUAAAAAUAAUUAUUAGAAAUAUUUAUGAGACUAGUUGUGUGUUUAAUUAGGUUUUAGAUAGGUGAAUUUGGCUCAAUUAAGAGUAAUUAGCAAAAGGGAUUAAAUUACAAUAGAAGUGAAAAUCUAAUCAUAGAUUAAAAGAAAGUAAAAAGGGCUAAAAUGGCAAUUAAGCCAUUUAAAAUGAUUGAGGCGGCAUAAAGGAAUAAAAUUUAAGAUUUUAUUUAUUUAAUUAUAUAAUUAAUGAUAUUUAUUAUUUAUUAUUAGUUAUUAGUUAUUAUUAAAUUAAAAGAUAUUUAGUAAUUAAAUAAUUAGUAUAAGAUUUUUGGGUAAUAAUAAAUUAUGAUUUUGUCAAGUGUGUGGUAAAAAUAAAAUACAAGUGUAUUAUAUUUAUUUAUUUACUUGAAAAUUAAGUAAAAGAUAAUUGUUAAUUAAAUAAUAAUAUUAUGAGAUUUUUAUUUGAUAAAUUAGUUAGAUUGAGACAAGUGUAUGUAAUGAUUUAAUGCAAGUGUACUAAUAAAAUACAUACAUUUGUAAUAUUUAUAAUUAAUUAAUAUAAUAUAAAGUAAAUGAAAUAAAAUGAAAUAAAAACAAAGCAAAAGAAAGGAAAGAAACAGAAUAGAAGAGACGAAACAGGGGAGAAACAGGGGAGAAAGAAGAAAAAGAAGAAAAUAGGGAAAAUAGGGUUUUUGAAGCUUGAAAUUUAAUUUGGUAAGUCAAAUUAGCCCUUUUCUCUUAAUUCUAAUGUUUUAAAAGCUUUAAAACAAAGUUUUGAUGGAAUUAAGUUGAUAUUUUGUAAGUUCAUAGGUUUUCAAGUAAUGUUUAUGUUGAACAAAAGAGAUGAAUUAAGAAUUAAAUUGAAUGAAUUUUAAGUUAGAAUUGAAAAAGGGAUUAAAUUGUAAAAGAAACUAUAAGUUUUAUGUUUUAGGGACUAAAUUGAGGGAAAUUCGAAAUUAGCAAAAUAUGCUGAAAUUUCGAUAGUUAAAUUUUAGUUUGGAUGAAAUUUGAAUAGAAAUAGAGUGUGAAUUGAAUUAGGAAAGCAAGUGAAUUUAGUUAGGAUUAAAUUGAGAAUUAGGAAGAAAUUGAAUAGAAAUUCAAUUAUUUAUUAUAAUUAGUGCUGUAAUUAAUAUUACAAAUUAUUAUUAUUUUCGUAGCUAACAAAGAACCCGAGGCAUCGGCGUCAAAAGGAAAGGAGAAAGUUAUCGAGGACUAAAACGGGAGAUUUACGGUUUGUAUUACUAUAAUUCAAAUUAUUUAUUUUUAAAUGUUUAAUUUUAAUUUAUGUGUUUAGUAAAUGAAAUGUGCGGUAAGUAUUAUUAUUAUUAUUAUUAUUAGUGGGAAUUAAACUGAAUAUUUGAUAUGAAUUAAUAUUUGAAUUGUUUGUUGAUUGAAAGUGGGAAGUGAAUUUAAAUCGAAUAGUGACUGAUAUUAAAUUGAAUGGAAAUGUAUUGAGUUGUGAAAAUGUGUGAAUUGCGGAUUAAUUAUUGAUUGAAAGGUGGAAAAAUGAUUGAAUUGAAAAUGUGAGAAAUUGUGAUUGAAUUGGGAUUAUAUGUGAUUUAAAUACCCUAUUAACUAGUCGGGCUGAGUCGGAUAUAGUUGGCAUGCCAUAGGAUUGGAAGAGUUCAGGGAUACUUCGACCUCGAGUCGAUGAGACACUGGGUGUCACUAUAUUUUUUCGGAUAGAUUCGAUGAGGUACUGGGUACCAACUUUCUUCAGCUUUGCCGAUGAGACACUGGGUGUCAACUAUUGCUUCGAACUAUCCGAUGAGGCACUGGGUGUCAUACUGGUGUGUUUGGUUGGAUCCGUGUAUCCGCCAAAGUCUGAUUUUUGUUAAUAGGGUAAUUAAUGAAAUGAUAAACCGAACGAGCUACUGAAAUGAAAUGAAAAAGUUGAAUUGUGAAUUGAAAUGUGAAAUGAGAUUGAGAAAUGAACCUAAAGUUCAUGAGAUGUUCAAAUUCAAAUUGUGGAUAUGUGAUAUUGAUUGAUGGAUUGCUAUUGUUGAGAUAUUGAAUUUAAAUUGUAUAUACGAUUUAUGCAUUACAUGUACAUUAUUGUUAUAAUUUGAAUUAUGGUAAUACCACUGAGUAUGAAUUACUUAGCGUACGGUUGUUUCCGUGCGCAGGUCGAUAGAAGUCAAAGGUCUCGGUUCAGCAUCCAGAUUAAUCCCGGCUUCAGCAUAACUUUGGUGAUGUAUAUUUUCUUUUGGUAAUGUGGCAUGUACAUAGGAAUUAUAAGUUUUAUAUAAAUGGUUAAAAAUGUUAGUAUUAUAAGUUUAUGAAUUAUAAUGAAAGAAGUUUAUCUAUUUUAAUCUAAUUAGUCAAUGGAUAAAUUUAAAUUGAUAUUAUGUUAAUUGAGUUUGAUUAGAAGUAUUUAGAAUAGAAAAUGUGAAUGUGAAAUGAAUUGGUUGAUUUGGUUAUAUUUGAAAAUGUUAUGGAUUUUAAUUGUAGGGGGUUGUAUGUAAAAAUAAGCAGAAGUGCUGCCGAAAUUUUUCGAAAAAAAAUGAAUGAAGUCUAUUAGCGAAAUUUAUAUGAAUUUAUUACUCUCUUAUAUAUGUUCGUUAAUUGUUUAUGAAUUAUUUGGAAUUUGUCUGAAAUGUCCGGUAAUGCCUCGUAACCCUAUUCUGGCAACAGUUCGGGGUUAGGGGGUGUUACAACAUCAUCCUAAUACCCAACGACUGAUAGUGUUGUUCCAUUUCCCACAAGAAGUUGUCCACUUCUCUAGUGGACCUUCCCCCUCAAACUUCUCUGGUUUGGGAACAUCCAUCUUCCGUUGAUUUGGUCUCGAAGCCAACAUCUUAUUGCUCAAAUUAGCCUUAUAGAUUGUGAGCUCCCCCUUAAGCUCCUCAAUUUUUUCUUUCAAGGUCAUCAUUGUGGCCUCAAGAGCAUCAUCCGUCACGGUCAACUUAUCCACAAUGGAACUAAGCAUCCAUUGCAUCACUUCCACAUUAGAACCGAGAGACUCCAAGAUAAAUUCCUUGAAUUUCUCCUUCAUCGAGUUUAACUCAUUGGUGCGUCGCUCAACUACCUUGAGUGUCUCCCCCAUAUCUCCAAUAGGCUCCUCAAGAUUGGUCACUUGAAUUGCCAAAGCCGACAGCAUUUCCCUCGAUCAAUUAGCUUUGCUAGAGCUCCCGUGGGUCUCCAUAGGCUUAAUUUGAUCUUCUACUCCUUUUGUCAUCUCAAGUGGCACUUUCAAAACCUUAGCUCUAAUACCAACUAUCACAGGGGUAGAACUUUAGUCUCACAAUCCGUGCGACCUUAGGCAAAUUCUUAGGUUCAAAUCCGCCUAAGUUAGUCUAACUCUUGCAAAGUGAAAAAUCUUGAUAGAAAUUCUCUAAGGUGCAAAAAAUAAAGUGAAAGUAAAUCAAAACAAAAGAACAAAAAAUGCCACAAGAAAGCAAAGUACAUCAAGUGUUUGAGUAAAUGUUCUCAAAGUAUUCUAUUACUCUGGAAAUAAUACAAAAAAUAGGAUAGGAUACAAUGGAAUAUUACAAAUGAGGGAGAAUGCCUCUAUUUAUACUUGAGCUCCCCAAGCCAACGAUAUAGAUUGAGUUACAUUAAUGAUUGAGAUUAAAUCCUAUCUACAAUUGAGAUUCUUAAAGGAUUGACUUAAUCUUUUAAGAUUAUAAAAUCAAGUCUUAUCAUGUUACAUAUCUUCUAAGAUUGGUUUCCUUAUUUGCCAAUAUAGCCCUAAUUUUCCAUAAAUGCUUCACUGGACUAUCAAUGCUUCAAGUAGACAGGCUUCUCCAUAUGCUCCACAAAUCGGGCCAGUUCAAAUGCGUCGAAUGAGCCAUGUUUCAUCAUUUGACCUCCAUGGGACAAUCCUUGGCAUUCAUCACGGGCUCUGAUCCGUGACCCAUGACAUAAGCACAUAAAUGUUUAGUAAGUUUAAUUGACAAGUAUUAUACUUAUCUUGCUAGGUGGACCUACAAAUUCAUUGCUCAACAAGCUUCAUAUUCUCGUAUUAGUUACUUAGCAUAAGAUAAGGAAAAUGUGUAGGUAACCAUGUUCAUUAAGUCUAUACAAGCAAAUUAUAACAUGUCCAAUAAGUGUUCAUUAUAUUCUAUUGAUCACAUGUGCACCUAUUUCCACUUUAUUACUACCUUUCAAUUCCAAUUUACGAGUUAAGAUAAUCAAGUUCAUACCUUUUUCAACCUUAAUUCUUUUCUUUAACCAUUUCUUGUCCAAUUUCAAUUUUGUAGCCCAUGUAAUCUUAGUAAAAUAGGACUCGGCUACUAUGAGAAAACCAAAAAUGCUAAGCCCAAAGGCCAUCACAUAUCAUAUCAUGUAGGCCUCCGAAGAGGUAUUGAAAGUCUAAUGGUCUAUAACAAAUGUUCUACCAAGGGUAAGCUAGAACUGGGUUUUCAGAAAACAAACCACAUACCUCUGAACCUCACACCACAACAAAUGUACUUAAGUGUAAGGCACAAAGGCAACAUAUAACAAAUAGGUUCAAAGGCGACAUACACAUAUAACUCUAAUUGACAUGUCAAUCGUAUCCUAACCUUUCUACCAAGUUUACAUAAGCUAUCAUUAACAUACUAAAGAAUUCACAUUUAAGUACCAUUAAGGCAAUUUUUCAUAUGUAUCGUCAUAUUUCCAUAAUGCCACACUUUAAUCACAAGAGUUAAGAUCUUCAAUUGAGGUUUUCAUACCACAUGAAUUUACGUGUUUGUUUAUUCACGUUAACAUGGUUACGUAUAUCAUAAUCAUACUAAAUCUUAACUUGACAUAGUCAAUUACCAUAUUUAACACGUUCUUUCAUAUUUAAUUCUUUGCAUAACAUAGUUCAGUAUAUAAACAUAUUAACUAGUAUAUUCCAUUAAGGUUCUGUUAAUAUACUCAUUAAUUAAUCGUCCAUUCAUGAUCUUAACAUGUUAUAUUCAUUAUGCAUCAAAUUAAAUGUUGUUGAGCUAUUUAACACCUAUAAACAUUGUACUAAAGACACAUAAUAAGCAAAUAUUGUAAGUUCAAGUGAACUUACCUAUUAAGAUCAUUUAAUGAUCAUCAAUUUAAAUUUUCAUUUCCUUAACUUAAGAUUCUACUCAAAAUACACACAACACAUACAAGCAUUGAAUUAAUAAUUUGAAUCUCCUUUGGUUAGUCUUACAAGCAUUGGAUUAAUUGAAUUCAACACUUGAUAGCCAUAUAGUGGCCAUUUUACUUGUUGAAAAUUCAAGAAUGCUUAACCUUUGAGCCUUAGACUUUUAUAUCCAAAAUUGAUAUAACUCGUAAUUUUCCUAUUCAAUUUUUGUUCCAACUUUAAAGUUAUAAUUUCAAGACCUCAAAUGAUCCAAAAACAUGUUUAAACUCCAAAGUUCUCAUAAUUAUCUCUAAGGCUUCUUAAGUACUCAACAAUGGUGGUAUGAACAUCCUUUAACCAAUUUUUAAUCCACCUUCUUUUCUAACUUACACUCUUCUAAGUUCAUCCCAACAUAAGCAUUGAACUAUCAUGAUCAAGCUUCAUCUCUUUCAGUUCCAAGCAUUCAUCUAUGAUUAUCUAAGGAUUUUUCUCAUCAAUUUUAACAUCGAAAAUGAAUGGGCUCAUGCUUAUCUAUUAUUUUAUGCUAUCAAUUAAACCAAAAUUCAAAGGAAACUUAUCAAUUUCUUGAAGAGCAACUCACGGCACCAUGAAACCUCCAUGAAAAUUUUCUUUUUCUUCUUUGUUCUUAAACCAUGGAGAAUGGAUGAGGAUGACCACAUAAUAAGCUUAUUCUCCCACCCACUAAGUAUAUAUAUACCUAAUUAAUCAAUUUAUUAACCUUUAAUAAUAAUCAUCCAAUGUUGGGAUUUAAGCAUGGCAAAUUGAGCGGAAAUGUAUGGCUUUUACCAUGCUUCUCCACUAAGUAAAUAAAUGAUGGUUUAUUUGUCAUUUUAAGGCAUUUGAUUAAUUUUUCAUCCAAUCCUCCAAACCUUGCUAGUGCAUAUUUAGAUCUUAUGCAUCAAUUACUAAUUUAUCAAUUUAAUCCCUUUAAUAAUUCUCGACAAUAUUUCAUAUCUACUUCAUUAACUUCUCGAUUAAUAAUAAAUUUUUGAAACGGCUUGAUCGAGAAAUCGAAUUAUUCCUAUCACAGCGAAAAAUAGAUCAUCAAACUAUUUUAAUUUGAUUUAUUAAUGUCUUUUCCAAAUUCGUAUUUAAUUAAUAAAUAUUCCACAAUAACCUUCAUUAAUUGAUAAUUUUUCCUUGUAUUAUAGGAGAUUUAUAAAUAUUCAUAUUGUAGCAUAAGUAAACUCAAUUUAAAGUGCACAAGGAAAUAGUCAAAUAUCUCAAACUUCAAGAGCCUUUAAUUAAGCCACAAUGUGUUCGCACACUCUAUUAACACUAGUGAAUUUCAUUAAUUAUAAUUUGAUCAUUAGAGUACUAGCUAAAAUUUUAUCCCAAGAUUCAAAUUGUCUUUCAAUAAAUCCUCGACAAUUUUGUGGUCUCUAACUCAAAAUUUUUUUACUUUUGUGAUAUUCGUAAAGAACAACUUCAGCAAGUAAUUCAUCUUUAUGAAUAGUCAUCACUAAUUAAAUCAUGCAUAUUAAAUUUGAUAUCAGAAAAGCUUACAAGUCGCAUCAUAAAUACAUAAUUGUGAUAUAUUUGAAUGGUUUUCCACCUCAGCAUAGGCUUAUUUUAGAGUAAAUUUGUAUGCAUUUUAGGGAAAAAUACCAAAAAAACCAAUUUUUUUUUAAAUUUACCGAAAUGGGCUCAGUAUUUUAUUAUUUACCGGAAUGGGCAUUUUCCCCGAAACCGCGUCCACGUCAGCACGAUGUCAAGGUACGUGCCAGGAAAUCGCGGCCACGUCAGCGCGCUUUGCUGACAUGGCAACAAAUCGCGUCCUCUAAAGCGCGAUUUGUGUCCACGUCAGCAAAACGCUCUGACGUGGACGCGAUUUCCUGGCACGUACCCUGACAUCGUGCUGAUGUGGAUGCAAUUUCGCCGUGUCUCCCACGUUAGGGUUUUUAGGGGUUUUAGGGCUUUUGGAGAAAAAAGUAAACAAAUAAGGGAUUAGGGUUAAGGGUUUCGUAAUUAAAUUAAUUAAAUUUUAUUCAAAAUUGGAUUACGUUUCGUGUUUAUGGGUUUUUAAGAUAAAAUCAAAGCAGGAUGAUUUAUCAGAAGGAUUUUUGAAGUCGCACCCACGUGUACGCGCUUUUGCUACAGUAGGUCUUGGGAAAAUAAUUUCGACUUGAUGUUUUUGAGCAAAUAGUUUAAAAAACAUUUCAAGCAGAAUGCUUUGUGAGAAGAAUUUGUGAAAUCGCGCCGUCGUGGACGCGCUUUUACUACAGUUGGUCCUAAAAGAAAUAAUUUCGAGUUGAUGUUUUUGAGCAAAUAGUUUAAAAAACGCUUCAAACAGGAUGCUUUAUAAUAAGAAUUUGUGAAGUCGUGCCCACGUGGAUGCGCUUUUGCUACAGUAGGUCCUAAAAAAAUAAUUUUGAGUUAACGUUUCUGAGCAAAUAAUAUAAAACAACGCUGCAAGUAGCAUGCUAUUUGAGAAGAAUUUGUGAAAUUGUGCCCUCGUGAACGUGCUUUUGCUACAGUUGGUCCUGGAAAAAUAAUUUUGACUUGACGUUUCUGAGCAAAUAGUAUAAAAUCGAUUCUAGAAGGAUGCUUUAUGAGAAGAAUUUGUGAAAUCACGCCCACGUGGACGCGCUUUUGCUACAGUAACAUGUUUGGGCUGAGGCUAUAAAUGAGGCAAAAAAUGUUCUGAGAUUGCAUAAGUCACAGCAAAAACAAUUUAGAGAGGCUAAGAAGGUUAGAGUUUCAAAUAUGAGUGAACGUAUUAGUGCUGUUAUUUACUACAGUGGUGAGGUUUGCCACACUGAGAAUGGUGUUGUUUUUUUGUCGAAGAAUACGGUGCGACUGGUUUUUAACCAAAACAUAGAUUUGACAGAACUUCGUAAAAGAAUUAGGCGUAAAAUUUUCGAAACGACGCCAAUGAAAGUUCUGUCUAUUACAUAUCGAUUUUGUUCCUCUGUUGAUCCGGUGACAUAUGACUCGUUCGACAUAAAAGGUGAUCGUAGCUUGGAGGCAAUUGUGCAGACUCAUCUUGCUAGUCGAGCACAUUAUAUUGAGUUAUAUGUACAAUUUACAUUGCCAAAUGAUGUACUUGCGACCAGUGUUCGAGAUGUAUACACGACCCCUGGCCAACAUUCGGUUAGCGGGUUAGAAAACACGAAACAGCCCAUGUUUGGUAGUGGUGUUGAAUGCACAUCCCCCGCAGGACCUCUGUCGGUGGAUGGGACAUGUACGUCGGUGGUUCGAUGUUUGAUGCUGGAAAUACGUACUGGGGAACGUCAUCAAGUUCUAGUGAUUAACAAUCUACAUCCAAUUGGGGACGUUAUGAAAUGCCCAGAAAAAAGGAUGAUGUACUCCCUACGACGUCAAUUGGUGAGGGGACCUCAUACGCUGCAGAUGAUUAUGGGUUAGAAGAUGACUCCGAUGUGGAUCUACCUCGAGAGCUCGGGCCUGAUGGUGUAGAAGUUGGCUUAUUUUCUGAACCGGAGUCUAUUCCAACAAAACUUGAAGAUGCUGAAAGGAGUUCAGAUGAAGAAGAAAAUCCACGAUUCAGAGCAUACUCACCUUCAGCCCACAUGCAUAAUGUCGAUCUGUCUGCAGAUGAUACAUUAGAGUUUCCAGAUCUACCACACUGGUUGCGUGAUCGUACCAGUUCAGGGCUAGAUUCAGGUGAAUUUUAAGUUGGUAAUCAGUUUACCAACAAGGAUAGUUUUAUUGGUGUUUUGAAACAACAUAGCAUCAAAAAAUGCGUUAACUACCACGUCGUUAAAUCCAAAUCUGAUAAGUUUGAAGCGAAAUGUACGGUGCAAUAUGGCACAUGUUCAUGGAAAAUCUACGCUUCGUUAAGGAAAAAGACAGGGUUGUGGGAGAUUAAAAAGUACAAAGGUCCACAUACAUGUGCUGCAGGUACAAUAUUGACGGUAUCUGAAUAAUACUUUUAUUAUGUAAUGUUGCAUUAUUUAAUGUAAUCCGUUUAUAGGUGUUUCACAAAAUCAUCCGAAGAUGGAUUCAGCUAUGUUAGCUAGCUUGAUACUGCCCACGGUAAAAGCAGAUUCCAGGAUUUUAGUACCGGUGUUAAUUGCCAAUAUUCGUAGCCAAAUGGGGUACACGCCCUCUUACCGUAAGGCUUGGAUAGCUAAGAAAAAGGCGUUGAAGAAGAUGCAUAGUUGGUGAGACGCCUCAUAUACUGAAAUAUGACAGUGGUGUCAAGUGCUAGAGAGAUACGUCCAAGGUGCCUCACAGACCUUGAAACGGAACAUGCGUACUACAACGGCCAAUUGCUACGUGGAUGCCAAGUGUUCAAACGUCUGUUUUGGACCUUUAAGUAAUGCCAAGACGCAUUUCCAAGCUGCAAGACAUUGGUACAAAUUGACAGUACCUUUAUGUUUGGUAGGUAUACUCAUCGGCUAUUGCUUGCAGUGGUACAGGAUAGCGGUGGGAGAAUUCUUCCAAUUGCAUUUGCAAUAACACCGGGGGAGUCGUCUGAUGACUAGGAUUUCUUUCUCUCUAGGUUAAGGAGGCAUGUGUGCCUCCAACCUGAUAUCUGUGUUAUUUCAGAUCGGGGCACCGGUAUACUAGUUGCAUUUGAUCGACAGGGAAGCUUAUGGCAGUGCACACACCAUCGAUAUUGCGUAAGACACGUUGCUUCCAACUACUACAGGCAAUACCCAUCUAAGAGCGAACGACGACAAGUGACCAACAUGGGUAUUUAGUCUAUAUCUGUGUUAUUUCGUUUCUCAAUUUGAAUUAGUUUUAUUAGUAGAAGUUGUAUGUAAUAUUCGCUAUGAACUUAUAUUGGCAGGGUAUGAAAUAAAUAAAUAUCGUUUCCACGAGAUGUUGGCAACUUUACGUUCAAUUAACGGAGAAGGGGCAGACUACCUUUGUAACAUACGUUUCGAACAGUAGGCACAAGCAUACGACGGCGGCCUACGAUAUGGCCAUAUGACGUCAAACCUGGCUGAAUGCAUAAAUUCUAUUCUUAAAGGAACAUAUUUUCGUUCAGCGACGCUAUUUCCAAAGCGAGCAGCAAGUUAUGCAGGCCAGAUGCAGGGAGGACAUGUAUGGUGCAGUAAGGUAGUUUAAGAAAUUAACAAGGCCAAGGCGCAGGCAAACACCAUGCACACAGUGUGUCACGAUCGAGACAACUUAUGGUUUCACGUGACAGAGUUUGACAGACCGCACCAAGGUGUUGUUGGCGGACAAUAUCGUGUACACUUGCGAAAUAGGACUUACAACUGUGGGAUGUUUGAUGCACUUCGUUAUCCAUGCGCUCAUGUUAUUGCAGCUUGUCAGAAUCUCCGUCUAGAUCCGAUAAAUUGUGUGGACGAAGUGUACAAAUUAGAAAACAUGUACAACGUCUGGAGACUCGUUUUUCCACUGGUCCCAGAUGAACGUAAGUGGCCCCCCGUAUCUCUUUCUCAUUUUAAGCUGUUACCGGAUAGAGAAUUACGUCGUAAACCAGAGGGUCGACCUUGCUCGACUAGAAUACAUAACAAUAUGGAUAUCCGAGAAACAGUCAAUCAACAUAAGUUGUGCAGAUGGUGUAGGAAUCCAGGCCAUACAAGUCGAUCAUGCCCUAAUCGCAAUAGUUGAAUGUAAUUUUUUUAAAAAAAAUUAUAUUUUUUCAAUUAUUAACUGAUAAUUGUAUUAAUUGUUAGUAAAAUUAUCAAAUUAUAUCAAAUAAUUAAUUGUUAGUAUCAGUCAAAACAUUUUUUCAAAUCUAACAUUAUGUGAAUAUAAAAUUAUUAACUGAUAAUUGUAUUAAUAUUAGUAAAAUUAUCAAAUUAUAUUUAAGUUAAGGGUUAGGGUUUUUAAGUUAAGGGUUAAGGGUUAAGGAUUUUAAAGUUAAGGGUCUAGGGUUUUAAAGUUAAGGGUUUAGGGUUUUUAGGUUAAGGGUUAGGGUUUUUAGGUUUAGGGUUUAUGGUUUUUAAUUUAAGGGUUAUGGUUUUUAAGUUAAAGGUCUAGGGUUUUAAAGUUAAGGGUCUAUGGUUUUAAAGUUAAGGGUUAGGGUUUUUAGGUUAAGGGUUUAGGGUUUUUAAGUUAAGGGUUAGGGUUUUUAAGUUAAGGGUUUAUGGUUUUAAAGUUAAGGGUCUAUGGUUUUAAAGUUAAGGUUUAAGGUUUUUAGGUUAAGGGUUAUGGUUUUUAGGUUAAGGUUUAGGGUUUUUAAUUUAAGGGUUAGGGUUUUUAAGUUAAAGUUUAGGGUUUUCAGGUUAAGGGUUAGGGUUUUUAGGUUAAGGUUUAGGGUUUAGGGUUUUUAAUUUAAUGAUUAUGAUUUUUAAGUUAAGCGUUUAGGGUUUUUAAGUUAAGGGUCUAAGGUUUUAAAGUUAAGGUUUAGGGUUUUCAGGUUAAGGGUUAGGGUUUUUAGGUUAAAUGUUUAGGGUUUUAAUUUAAGGGUUAAGGUUUUUAAGUUAAGGGUUUAGGGUUUUUAAGUUAAGGGUCUAUGGUUUUAAAGUUAAGGUUUAUGGUUUUUAGGUUAAGGGUUAGGGUUUUUAGGUUAAGGGUUUAAGGUUUUUAAGUUAAGGGUUUAGGGUUUAAAAGUUAAGGUUUAGGGUUUUUGGGUUAAGAGUUAGGGUUUUAGGUUAAGGGUUUAGGGUUUUUAAUUUAAGGGUUAGGGUUUUUAAGUUAAGGGUUUAUGGUUUCUAAGUUAAGGGUCUAUGGUUUAAAAGUUAAAGUUUAGGGUUUUUAGGUUAAGGGUUAGGGUUUUAUGUUAAAGAUUUAGGGUUUUAAAUUUAAGGAUUAGUGUUUUUAAGUUAAGGGUUUAGGGUUUUAAGUUAAGGGUCUAAGGUUUUAAACUUAAGGGUUAUGGUUUUUAGGUUUAGGGGUUAUGGUUUUUAAUUUAAGGGUUUAUGGUUUUUAAUUUAAGGGUUUAGGGUUUUUAAUUUAAAAGUUUAGGGUUUUUUAAGUUAAGGGUUUAAGGUUUUAAGGUUAAGGGUUAAGGUUUUUAGGUUAAGGGGUUAGGGUUUUAAAGUUAAUGGUUAGGGUUUUUAGGUUAAUGGUUUAGGGUUUUAAAGUUAAAGGUUAAUGAGUUAGGGUUUUUUGGUUAAGGGUUUAAGGUUUGUUAAUUAAAUUAUGCAUUUAAUUAUAAAUUAUAAAUUUAUAAAUUUUUAAUAAGUUAAGCGUUUAGGGUUUUUAAGUAGUAACUCAAAAAAAUUUCUAUUUUUAUUACAUCAAAAAAUAUCAAAAUAUUCAAAAUAUUUGUACAAAUAAAUUUAAAUACAAAAAUCAAUGUCUAUGCCCGCGGGAUUCAGUGCCACAUGGCAGCCGUCGACAGUUACGCGCUGGAUUCCUCCUUGUCCAGCUUUUGGCGGCGAUUAUAGUUCUUCCGGCGGCGGUUGUGGUUCUUCCGGCGGGGAUUCUGGUUCUUCCAGUAGGGCAUCUGGUUGUCGGAGUUGUGACGAUGAGCCACCUUGAUAGAAUUGUGAAUGUGGAGGUGUUUGCAUCACCAACGGCAACGGUGUUUGAAACCCAUACGGUGGUGGGGAUUGGUAAAAAGAAGAGCUCCCCGACGGCCCCUCUUGCGAUCCCUCGUGCGUCGCUGGCCUAUACAUCGGCGGUCGACUCGGCGUAACAGAAAUAGAGCUGAACCGGGCCAUUGGCUCCAACCUGCCAUAGGACUCGAAAAAGGAAACAUAUAAGGGUUAGGAUACAUAAAAGGGCUAGGAAACGCACCUGGCAUCAUCUGAAAAGGCGGUUGCGUGGGUAUCAUUGGUUGAACUGCUGGGUCGGGUGAAUGUCUGGGAGUCGUUGAAGGGCCAGCGUCGUCGUCCUGUCGUCUUGGAUUUAAAGGAUCGCGUCUUUCCCUUUGGACACGUAAUUGCCGCUGCCUCUCCUCUAGCGAUAGUAAAUACGGCUUGCCAUGGAUCCUAAACCAUGGCAUGCAUUCCGGCAUGCACGCUAACUCCGGAACGAUGAUCGGUUCCAUACUAGGUAUAUAGUCAUACCGAUCUUCCCACAUUUGGAUGUACUUGAACCAGAAUCUCGGCCAAUCCGUAUUCAAUUACCGAAGGUCGAUUUUGUGGUGAUCGUCAAACAUCUCAAGUUCCAUGGAAAUCGGUUGUCUACAUCCAAAUUGCCAUAACACCCUGUCUGACUGGUGCAUCUCCACGGUCGCGUAGUUGAUCAACGCGACUUUCGCCUGCCAAGCGUUUGGAUUUUGUAAGAACUCUUUCGGAAUUACUGCCCAAAUUGCCGGAUCCUCAUAUGGUGUCCAUUGAAACUAUAUGAAAAUGAUAGAAAUAUUAAUUAUAUACAUAAUACUAAAUACUAAAUACCAAUCGACUAGCGAAUGAUGGAAAUAUCAAUUUUAUUUAAUACUUACAUGUGCUUCCGACUAUUGGUCUAAUAGAAGCCGUAUAUCUUCAAGAGAGGUAGGUAAUCGAGCAUGACUUGCCGGAUGGUUCCACCUAAUUAAAUAAAUUUUUAGCAUACUUUUAUUUUUAAAAAUCUACAUAAUAAUUGUAAAAUCUAAUAUAAAAUUUACCUCGUUAUCAGUGGGAAUGUAUAUGGGUGGUCCACUCGAGGAUGUAGAAAUGAAAAGCGAAACCGUGCCCAUGAUUGCAGUAGGGACAGGCAACCUCCGAUUUUUGCUUUCCUCGGUCGCAUCGCCCCGUACAUCUCCUUAUAUAACGUUGUCAAGACGGCAGACCCCCAACUUAAUUCACCAGCUGCUCUAAAAUCAACGAGUUGCAGCAGCCAUCUUAGAUGUACGCGGCUCCGUGACAAGUCAGGCAUCAGAUAACCUCCAAUUAACUGAAGAAUGCAUGCCCGAGCAUAUCGGAUUCUUUCUAUUUCGGUUGAAUCUUCAUCCGGAUCCGGGAAUGUGUCUCGAAACCAGCCCAUCUCGAUCUUACCUCCCUCCAUUUUCUCCAGAAUAGCGCCCAAAAGCUCGUAGCACACCGCAAGCCAAUCGCUAGAUUGGGUAGACCCGGUGACUGGGUACCCGUCCACCGGCAAUCCCAAUUGUAGACUGACAUCUUCCAAAGUGAUAGUGCACUCUCUACAUCUUAAAUAAUAUUUAAAAAUUAAAUUUAACGCUUACCAUUUUCAUUUGUUCCACCGAUAUGUGAUGCUUAUCAAGACGAGUCAAUUCUUCGGCCAUUGCUGAAAUCGUACAAAUUUUUAAUGUUUAAAAAAAUUUUAAAAAAGUAAAAUUAUUUAAAAAAAGAGAUUUAAAAGAAAUUUAAGAGGAACUUGGGAGUAAAUUGAAAAUAAAUAUGAAUUUGAGAGAAAUUUUAAAGGAAUUUGAAAGCAAAAGAGUGGGGGUAUUUAUAGUUUUUUUUUUACCGUUCGGGGGGGCAAUGGUCAAUUUUUUGACCGUUGCACUGUUCACGUACGGGGCAAAUCGCAACCACGUCAGCGCGAUUUGCUGACGUGGACACAAAUCGCAUCCUCUGAAGCAGAAUUUGUUGCCACGUCAACGCGCUAUUUGCUGGCACAUACCCUGACAUCGCGCUGACGUGGACGCAAUUUCGAGAAAAAAUGGCCAUUUCGGUAAAUAAUAAAAUACCGGGCCCAUUUCGAUAAAUUUAAAAAAAAAUAGACUUUUUUUAGUAAAUUGCCCUACGUUUUAGUCUUGUUACAAUAUCCAAGUCUAAUGCCAAUAUUGAAGUAUACCGUAAUAGUAAUUAUUCUCUCUAUCUAGUACUCGAAACUGGUUUUAAAUAUCUUCCAUUCACUCGACAAAUAGUUAUGGUCUAAAUAAAUUUCUGGAAUUCAUGGCUGCCUACUUGCGAGAGGAUUAAUGAAAUAUGCGAUGCAAGUUGAUGAAAUCUUAUUAUUUGUAAUAUAAAAAACAAAACCCAUGCAUCCUUAAUAACAUAAAAAAAACACAUUCCAUAAUCAACAUCUGAGAAUUUAAAACUUAAUUGUAAUGUUGGCUGAACAAGACUCAAAAAGGGGAGAAAAGAAAAAUAAGUCCGAACCUGAAAAAAGUGACCGUAUAAAAAACCCUGACAGGCAGAACAGUAGCAAGCAACAUAAAACCAAGACAUAUUAUCACUUAAAGCACUUGGCAUCCAAGAGAGGCUCUCCCUCAAAUGGCUCGCAGUCUUCAAUCAUCUGAUUCACCCGUUCCUUCUGGGCUGCAUCUGACAGGUCAACCUUCUUCCACUCGUAGAGUUCCAUGUCAUAGCACUCGUCAAUCACAAAUUGAGGAAUCUCUUGCCCACGGAAAAGCCAUAGUCCUUUCACCUUGAAUGGAGGGUUAGCACCGAUCACCAACAUCUUCCCAAAUGCAUACUUGCGGGCCAAAUCCAUUCUCUGCAGGAAUCCUCCAACCUUGUUCAUUGUGACAAAUGAAACUGUAUUCUCCUCAUUGUACUUGUAGUCACAAAACCACAGUGAGUAUCCCUCGGGAUCAUACAUGUCCCAGAAUCCUGACACGAAUCAAGUAUCAGAUAUCACAAGCCCAAACAUUGCUUUUAAAAGGGAGUGCUACUGUGAAAACAACAGGGAUACCUUUAAUUGCAACCUCUCGGAAAUUGGUCUUUGUGUUAGAGUAAAGCCUCUUCCAGUCAUCCAGUACCAUCUUACUUGGAGGCAGCAAAUCAAGAGGAUUCUUUGGUUUGGGCUUUGGUGCCUCCUCCUCAGCUGCCUCUGCCUUUGCUGCCUGUUUCUCAACCUCCUUUUUGGCUUCUUUCUUUGGUUCAGCCUUUGGUUUAGUUUCUUUUGGCUGGGCAGCAGGCUUCUUUGAAGGAACAGGUGGUAGAGAGACUGCCUGCUUCACUUCACCAAGAAUCUUCUUGAUUUUUGGUUGAUUAACCAAGGUCCAAAAGUACCUCUCAACAUGAGGGAACUCCGAGGUAAAACUCUUAGUCAUGAUCUGGGAGAAACCCAAGUAGAGGUUACAUGUCAUGAUAAUGUCAGCAAGGGUGACAAAAUGUCCAACAAGAAAUGUGUUGGAAGCAAGAUGAGUGUUCAAAGCGCCAAGGGCUCUCUUCAAUGCAGCAAUAGCAGCUUCCUCAGCCUACAUGCAAAAUACAUAUAAGAGAUUAAAAUGAAAUAGGUAGGCAAAAUCAUACCAUUGAAUUAAAAUGAACUACUACUGAAUUACAAAAAUAAAAUUUAACUCUUAAUAUAGAUUAAUAAAUACAUCAGAAUGGGGGAGAAAACAACCUAGUCUCUUAAAAAAAUAAUGAGGAGAAAACCCAUGCCUACUUGAUUAUCAAUGCAAUGGGCAUUCCCUUCAACCAAAAUUACUUAAUAGUGCUUGAGUUGAUUCCUUUCCAGAAACUAUGCAGGGGAAAACACUACCACAUUAAGCAUGUACUAAAUGUUGUCUAACUAAUCCUCUCUAAAAUAAAUAAAACAAGAAUCAUAGACAGGUAAUCAAUGCCAAUUUUCCCUUCACCAUUCCCUCCUUAAUAUAUUGUAUUUCGAUGACUAAGUUGCCUUAUUCAAAUUUUAACACGGGACCAAUUGUCUUAUAAUUAGAAAGAAACAAAGACUAAGUAUGGCCCCAGCAAAUCAAGCCCAAUUAAAAUGACAAAAGAAUCUGCGAGGAAAGACAGUAGAACUUACUGGAGGAAGGUAAACACCGUAACCAAGUCUUGGAUACAACCAUUUUGCAAUAUUAGCAUCAAUUUCCAUGGCUGCGAAAUCAAUCCAUUGCUCGAUAUGACCCUAAGAAAGCCAAAGUAAUACAUACAAACAAUUACUUCCAUGGUUUAAAAUAAACUCAACUGAUGACAGAAGAAAACAAGACCGUUGUACUAUAAGAAUCUUACAUAAUCAAUCAAUGUAGAACCACAUAUAGGGUUGUUAACCUUUGAGCGAGCAACUGCAGAGAAAAGUAUACCAAUAAGUAAACAAACAUUAGAGGAAGAAAAUUUAGGAUAUGGAGUCAGCAGAUCUUCUCACCAUAACGAGCAAUGGCAUUGCUCUCAAAUACAGGACCCUCAGGUGUUUCCAACACAGGAACCUAGAAGAGUUAUAAAUAUCUUCAGUGAACGGACCUAAAAAAAGGUUACAUAACAUGUAUAAAAAAAAAUCACUAGUUUAAAUUUAUUAAUAGGAGUUACAAGGUCACCUUCCCCAAAGGGUUCAUCUUGAUGAACUCAGGAGUCUUAUUUGACACACCCAUCUCAAAAUUCUCAACCAUUUUGACCUGCACACCACUAUAUUCUGCAGCAAUGAGUGCCUUAAAGGCAUUUUUGUUUGUUUUUCCUGCAUGCAAGACCUGCAUGUAAAUCAACACACCACAUUGAUUAGAAGAACCGGUUGAUUAAGAAGUUGAGUUGAAUGUCAAGCACCAGUCACUCCCUACAACUAAUCCAGUAAAAUCCUGAAAUUGAUCCUUUUCGCCCCAUAAAUUCUCUUAAAGACCAGUCACUUUACAUUCUAAACCGCUAGACGGUACUUAGCAUUUCCAUCUACCAUACACAAUUAACCUAAUUGACGUAACACCUCGCCAUCUAUCUUUCUUCUGAACAACGGAUCCCAAUUGAAUCGAAGGUAAUAUAGUUAAAAUCAAAUUAUUUUUUUAUCGUUACUAUUAGUAUCUACAAAUGCAUAAACUAUUACAUUGAUUUAGAGAGUAACUAUAUAAAACAUAUUCGAUCUGCCACUUCCUUCGCAAUGUAAAAAACUACUUACAAACUUCACUUUCGAAUUCUAUCUGAAACAACGCCCACCAAAUCAUUUGGUGUCAAAUCUUUCAACAGUUAGACUACCACAAGAAACGAAACUAGUCUAUAUUCACACAUAUAAACCUUACCAGAGCCAUUGCUUGAUAUAAAAGGGCGCUACAAUUUGAGAAUUGAGAUCUGGAAAAUGAAAAACAGAGAAUAAAAUAAAAGGAAACAGGAAAAAUCUACAACGAGGAGAGCUUGGUUCCUAUGAAUGAAAGAAAAAAAAUGAGAGAAAGAACCUUGCAGACGAAGACGCAGCGAGCAGGAGAGGCUGCGGUAAUAAGAGGGCGAUAAAUAUAAAAGAAGGGGGGACUAGGGUUUUUGUUGAGUAGAGUGAGUAUGAUGUGGGGUUCUUUAUCGGUUCGGGUUCGGCUUCGGCUUCGGGGUCCGGUUUGGAUCCAGAUUUACUAACCCUCCUUUUUUCGGCUUUUUAAGCGUGUCUUUGGUGUUGCAAGUGGAGGGUGUUCCAAGCAUCAAUUUACGGAUAUCCUCUUUUAGGUUAAAAUAUGCCUAUAGUCCUUGAACUUUUCAACCAUUAAAAAAUUAGUCCCAGUACUUGUAUUUUUAGGAAUUUAGUCCCUCUAUUUUCCAAAUUUCAAAAUUUUGGUCUAACUGUUAAUACAUUUAAUUUGUUUAGUCAAAUUUGUUGCUGUGACAUUUUGAAAUAAAAAAUUACUCACUUGAUAACCAUGUAAUUAAAAAAAUAACUUUACAAUUAACUUGAAUUUAACAGAAAAAAUUAACAAUAUUAACAGUUAGACUUGAAUUUUAAAAUAUGAAAAGUAGAGAGACUAAAUUCCUAAAAAUAUAAAUAUUGAAACUAAAUUCAUAAUUUUUGAAAAUUACAAUAAUUAUAGGCAUAUUUUAACCCUUCUUUUAAUUAUUUUAAUGGAAACUAUGAUUUUUUUUCUUAAUUAUUUUUCAAAAAAAAUUCAGUCAAAUAUUAUCAAUUUUCAUUUCAAUAGAUUCAACUAUGAAAUCAAACUAGAAAUCAAUAGUAAUUAAAUAAAAAUAAAAUUACAAAAAAUAACACUUAAUUAUUGAACCGAUUGAACGAUUUCUUUUUCCUAUUUUUUUCUAAUUAUUCAUCAGUUUACAAGUAUAUGCUCUAUUUGCAACAAACCAAUGUAAAUAACGAAACAACUGCUCAUGCUUGUAAAUAUUAUAAAUAGGUAUGUUGCUUUUUAUUCAAUAUUUCCUCUUUUAAUUCGCCUAUUGAACAUGUUGGAAUAAGUAAUAGGUAUUUUUUAUGUUUUUUCUAUUAGUUUUUAAGUUAUAAGUGUUAGAAACAUAAAAUAAAUUUAAAGCUUAAUAAAUCAAGAUCUAUCAUAUUAAAUCAUCUAGGAUAAGUCAAGAGCAAAACUAGAUACGGAAGCGUACCUAAAUUCAUCAAUUUUUUAAAAUCUAAGUUUUUUGCGAUUUUGAUCUUUCAAAUUAGCACACAAGUAAUUUUAAGAAGGUGACUCUCUUUUUUCUAAAGAUGGGAUAUUAGAUCUAUUAACAAUUAACUUUUGUAACUUUUACGAAUCAGUCUUUUUUUCUUAAUUAACAACUUAAACUAUAAAAAUUUUAAACCAAAAUUUAACACAACUCUAUAAUAACUUUAAGAACAUCAAAUAAAUAGAAAAAAGAAAAAUAUAUGCUGUCUCACUAGUCGAAAUUGUGGUCUUGAAACCAUUGUUUUUGACACCACUAAAAAUGAGAUGUUACAAAUAAACUUUAUUUCUGCAAAAAAUAAACUUAAUAUCUGUAAACUGAAAUAAUUGAAAAUGUAUUUAUAGCAUAAAAACAUUUAAAAGUACAAACUCCCAUUAAAACCAAAUAUCCUUAAAUGACAUUACACCCAUAUGAGUAGUGUACUCAUGAAAAACCUUAGGUGUAGUCCCUUAGUAAGUGAGUCUGCAAUCAUGGAGUUUAUCUCAGUAUGCUUUAUAGGCACCUAACCACUUUGAACUUUUACUUUAACAACUAGGAACUUAAAGUCUAUGUGCUUUGUGUAACACCCCUUACUCGUAUUCCCUACCGGAACAGAGUAUGAGGUAUUACUAAAUUUUUAAAAAAAUUUCGACAGCAUUCCUACUUAUUUUUGCUUAAACCUCCUGCAAAUUUAGAACACAUUCCAAUAUACCAACCAAUUUCAUUUGUAUAAUCACACAUACAGUUUAACUAUUAAUAAACACUACAUUUAAAAGGGAAUCAUAACAUAUAUUUACAUGAUGAUCCCACAUUACAUAAGUCGUCUAUACAUGCCAUAAAAUUUCGGAACACUAGUAGUAAAAUACCCCAAAUGUGAAGGAUAGUGUAGAUGAUUGUCUGACUUCGUUCCAAUUUCCGAGUUGUUGGAAGUCACUAUAAUCAAGAGAAAAAUAAAAUCGAGUAAGCAUAUAGCUUAGUAAGUAAACACAUGAUAAAUAAGUAAUUACUCCCAUAACUACACCAAAAUAUAAACUUAUUCAUGAAUAACUUUAUUGUUUAGGCAAUUUCCAGUAAGCUGUUUUUCUGCGUCAUAGUCGCUAAUUUAUUUUUAUCUGGAGCUACAGGGCUCCAAUUUGAGUUCCGUAAAUUUUCCCUGAAACUAGACUCAUAUACCAUUUCACCAUAAAAAUUUCAGAAUUUUUGACCCAGCCAAUUAGUACAGUUUAUUCAUUAAACCUUCCCCUGUUUCACUGCCCAACGGUUCUGACCCUUCCUCACUAAAAUUCACUUAACUCUCUGUACAAAAUUUGAAAAAUGGUUUUGCUUGUUUCUAAUAAAAAUAGACUCAAUAAGGAUUCCAGGGAUAUAAAUUUCAUGCCAUAAUUAUUUUUUUACAAUUUUUGGUAAUUUUCCAAAGUUAGAACAGGGGAUCUCGAAAUCAAUCCAGCCCUGUUUCAGUAAAAUUCAGAUAUCUCCAAAAAUACAACUCUUUUGCUUAUUCUAUUUCUUUCAUAUGAGAAUAGAUACAUUCAACUUCAAUUUCAUAUAUUAUUCAGCUUCCCAUUCAUUUUCCACCAUUUAUGGUGAUUUUUUUAAAGUUACCCAAUUGCUGUUGUUCAACACAGUUUAUAAUUAAAUCAUUCCUUUUUGCGUUUUUGAUAUUUUCUCCCAUCUCAUACAUGGGUCGAUUUAGUAUUCAACUCAAUAUUUACCCCAUAAAAUUUUCCACCAUAUGGCAAUAUUCACCUUCCACACUUUUUUUGUUGAACACUUAGAAUGUUAACCGUUAUCGGUAGAUCCCGCACUUAGCACCACCACUGAAUCGGGGAAUCAGCACUUAGCAACCCCUCGGGGGAAUCAGCACAUAGCAACCCCCUUUUUCAUUUCAAAGAUACGGUGGAUAUUGCACUUAGCAUCACCAAUGAAUCAGGGAAUCAGCACUUAGUAACCCCUCGGGGGAAUCAGCACAUAGCAACCCCCUUUUCAUUUCAAAGAUACGAUGGAUAUCGCACUUAGCACCACCAAUGAAAUCGGGGAAUCAGCACUUAGCAACCCCUCGGGGGAAUCAGCACAUAGCAACCCCCUUUCACAUUUCAAAGAUAUGGUGGAUCACGCACAUAGCACCACCAAUGAAUCGGGGAAUCAGCACACAGCAACCCCUUUUAUAUACAACAUACUCCGGCUUAUUCCGAGUGUUCAACCCAUAAACCAUAUAUUGCAACCCUUUAUCACCUUUCCCGAUUUAACAACAUUUUUAGGAUAUUGCCAAACAUUUAUUUUAAUUCCAAAUAAAUCUCAACAUAUAUCAAAUAAUAUCAAAAUAAUACAUUAAGUCAUGUGUUUACUUACCUCGGUGCAAAAUAUCGUAAUUUUGCACUUUACUCCACUAUCUUUUCUUUUCCCCGUUUGAUAUACUCUUCACGUCUUUCUUGAUCUAUAAUAGCAAAUUUAACUCGUUUAAUAUUCACAUUUAUUAAAAUAAUCCACCACCCAACUUUUUGAAAAAUUACAAUUUUGCCCCCAAACUUUUGCAUAAUUACACUUUUGUCCUAAAGCUCGGAAAUUAAACUUCAUCACUUAUUCUUAAGUUUUAUAACAUGCUGAACAUUUUUUCCUUCUAUGGCAACAUCAAAUUCCCACUCCAACACAUACUUUUGAAUAUUAAUUAUUUUUACCAAUUAUGUCUAUUUACCCGUUUUCGCUUAAAAUUGCUUAGCAAAAGUUGUUUAACAUAAUCUCUAGCUUCAUAUUCCACCAUAAAACAGCAAAAUAAACACAUUUCACCUAUGGGUAUUUUUCCAAAUAUGAACCCUAACACGAAUUAAUGGUAGAAUAAGCUAAACCAAGUUACCGGGACUCCAAAAAUACGAAGAACAUUAAAAACGGGGCUUAGAAUCACUUACUAUGGAGCUUGAAAGCUUAAAAACCCUAAAUAUGGCUUCCCCCUUGCUGAUUUCGUUCACCAUGAAGAAGAUGAGCAUAUUUUGCCAUCUUUUUCCCAUUUAAUUCUAUUUAAUAACCAAAUGACUAAAAUGCCCCCAUUUAAAAAAAUCUAUUUCACCCAUUUCUUAUGUCUAUUUUUGUCCAUCAACUAACUAAUGGUCUAAUUACCACAUAAAGACCUCCAAUUUAAAAUUUCAUAACAAUUAGACACCUCUAAGAUGUAGAACUCAACUUUUGCACUAUUUACAAUUUAGUCCUUUUGACUAAAUUGAGUGCCCAAACGUCGAAAUUUUCGAACGAAAUUUUUACAAAAAUUUUUCGUGAAAUUGUAGACCAUAAAAAUAUAAUAAAAACCAUAUUUUCCCUCGUCGGAUUUGUGGUCCCGAAACCACUAUUCCGACUAGGCCUAGAAUCGGGCUGUUACAACUCUCCCCCCUUUAGGGAUUUUCGUCCCCGAAAAUCUUACCGGAAAAGAGGUUUGGGUACUGUUUCCUCAUAAUUUCCUCCGGUUCCCACGUAGCCUCUUCCAUUCCAUGUUUUUGCCACAACACUUUCACUAAGGCUACACUUUUAUUUCUUAACUGUUUGACCUCCCGAGCCAAAAUCUUUAUGGGUUCUUCCUCAUAAGUCAUAUCUGGUCGAACCUCAAUCUCUGUAGGAGAAACUAUAUGUGAAGGAUCCGAACGAUAACGUCGCAACAUCGACACAUGAAAUACAUUAUGUAUCUUUUCCAACUCUAGCGGUAAAGCUAACCGAUAUGCUACAGGGCCAACUCUCUCGGUAACUUCAUAUGGUCCAAUAAAACGUGGACUUAGUUUGCCUUUACGACCAAAUCUCAGAAUCUUCUUCCAUGGGGAUACUUUCAAGAACACUUUAUCACCCACUUGAAACUCAAUUUCUUUUCUCUUUAAAUCCGCAUACGACUUUUGCCGAUCUGAGGCAGCUUUUAGGCAAUCACGGAUUAUUUUCACCUUUUCUUCAGUUUCUUUCACCAGGUCGACUCCAUGAAUCCGAUUCUCACCGAGUUCAGUCCAAUAUAAAGGGGUUCUACGUUUACGCCCAUAUAAUGCUUCAUACGGUGCAAUUUGUACACUUGACUGAUAACUAUUAUUAUAAGCAAAUUCAACCAGUGGUAGAUAUUUCUCCCAACUGUCCUUCAUUUCUAAAAUACAACACCGGAGCAUGUCUUCAAGAACUUGAAUCACCCUUUCUGAUUGCCCGUCAGUUUGCGGAUGAAAUGCAGUACUGAAAUUCAAUUUCGUACCCAAAGCUUCCUGUAACUUUAUCCAAAACCUCGAAGUAAAUCUCGGAUCUCUAUCCGAUAUAAUAGAUUUAGGCACCCCAUGUAAUCUUACUAUUUCAGCAACAUAUAAUUCCGCCAACCUGUCAAGUGAAUAAUCAAUGCGUAUCGGAAUAAAAUGGGCUGACUUUGUCAAUCUAUCCACAAUUACCCAAAUAGCAUCUUUCUUCUUUGGAGUUAAAGGCAAUCCUGUCACGAAAUCCAUCGUGAUACUGUCCCACUUCCAUUCUGGAAUCGUUAUCGGUUGAAGUAAACCCGAUGGCACUUGAUGCUCAGCCUUCACUUGUUGAGAGAUUAAACACUUUGUUACAAAUUCCGAGAUAUCCUUUUUCAUGCCCGGCCACCAAUACAACUUCUUCAAAUCAUUGUACAUUUUCACACUACCCGGAUGGACUGAUAAAUCACCACUGUGUGCCUUACCUAAAAUAGUCCGAAUUAGCUCAUCAUUUCUCGGUACACAUAUUCUGUCCCUGAACAUCAGGCAAUCAUCUGAACCAAUUUGAAAAUCUGAGUCAACACCUGCUUCACACUGAGCUCUCUUGGCUUGCAAUUUACUGUCAUUCUUUUGAGAUUCCCGAAUUUGCUGAAGAAAUAACGGUCUAGCUCUCAAUUCAACCAACAUUGAGCCAUCAUCAGAUAAAGUUAACAUCGUACCCAUAGCUCUCAAAGCAAAUAAAGAUUUUCUGCUCAAGGCAUCAGCAACCACAUUAGCUUUCCCGGGGUGAUAAUCAAUCACUAGCUCAUAGUCUUUGAUUAGCUCGAGCCAUCUUCGUUGCCGCAAAUUCAAGUCUUUUUGACUCAUCUAAUAUUUCAAACUCUUAUGAUCAGUGAAGAUUCGGCACUUUUCACCAUACAAAUAAUGACGCCAAAUUUUUAAAGCAAAAACAAUGGCAGCCAAUUCUAAAUCAUGCGUCGGAUAAUUCUUCUCAUGCGGUUUCAACUGUCUCGAAGCAUAAGCUAUUACUUUGCCCUCUUGCAUUAACACACACCCACGGGUUGCUUGUUCUCGAACGAGCAAUUUAUCAUAGUCAUUUGUUGAUAGUGGUCAUAUUAAUCAUUAAGAAGACACAAUGGUGAUAAUGAGAUAAAAUAAGAUUGUAUUAAGUGAAUGGAUUUAACUCAAAUGAAUCAAUGAUAUCAUAUGAGGGUAACACACACAUGACAAAGUCAUUAGACAAAGUAGUUGGAUGAAUUGCUUUUGUAAAGAGUAUAUAAUAAGGAGUUUUCAGUCAUGGUACUUCUUUUGGAUUGACUCUAUGAUUAAGUAAUUGUGAAUUAUCGAAACGGUGCUUCUCGACAUAAUUGUUGUAACACCCAUUUCUCGUUUUGUUAUCGAAAUAGGGUUACGGAGUAUUAUCGUACAAGUCGAAACAUUUCAUUUCAAUUAACUUCAAAAAAUAAAAUAAAUUCAUAAAUUCAAAUAAGAUUCAAUGUGAAAUAGAACAUACAUUAAUGGGCCUUAAAUCAAGCCUUCAAAGCUCUAAAAAAAUUACGAACAUCUAGGGACCAAAUCGAAACGAAUUAGAACAUUCAGGGAAAAUUUAAAAUUUUUCAAAAUAGGGGUCUCACGGUCGUGUGGAACUACUAGACCGUGUGAUGUAGGGACAUGACCAUGUGGAAAAUCAUACUUCAGGCCGUAUAACAUUCAAAUUAAUUCUACACGGUCGUGUCGUAGGUCAUGUGCUAGCCCAUGUACCAUUCGAAAUACCCUCACACGACUGUGUCGCAGACCAUGUGUUAGACCAUGUACAAUUUGAUGUUAGGUCACAUGGUCGUGUCUCAAACCGUGUGAAUACUGCACUUAAACACAUUUAGGGCACACGCCCGUGUGUGACACACGGCCAUGUGAUAGCCCGUGUCCCAGGCCGUGUGUGCCCAAAAUUGACCCAAAUCAUACUCUUUUCUUUACCCAUAUGCAUAGGUUCCUAGACAUAUUAAAACAUACCAUUUACAAUCCCAUCAAACACCUUCAAUAACAUUUAAAACAUGUAUAUACAAUCAACCUAGGUGCCUAACUCAUGUGCCAUCAUCGACACUACAAUGUAAUUCACUUCCAUGGUUACUUAUGCAAGAUACAAUUUACACAUUAAAAUUCUACAUCCAUUUCAUUUCAUAUCAUAAUUCAACAUAGUGUAAUUGUAGUUCAUUCUUGAUCAACCAAUUCAACUUAAGUAAAAACAUGCAUACUUCCAUAAGUUAUUUAAACACAAUAAGACAAGUUAAAGGUAUAACUUGCACAAACCAAGUACUUAUACAUCCUAUCCAAAAUGAGUCCUGUUACAUGCUAUAUAUGCUAAACCAAAAUCAAAGUCCACCAAAGAUUCCUGGAUAGUGUGAUUUCUCUUGUUGACUCGAUCUUCCGAGCCCACAAAAACAUAAUCUACAAAAAAAUGAACCAAAUACAAGUAAGAUUACAUAAAGCUUAGUAAGUUCGUUUGAAUAAUCAAAAAAAUUUACUAACUUAAACAUGAUAAAUCAAACUUUGCAUUUAGGCAAUGAAAUUCCUAGCAAUCACAACUUCCAUCAAAUGAAUAAUAUUCAGAGCAUUAUUUCAGGGUUCGUUUCUCAACCAUCGAUAGAGAAAUAUCUUAUUCAGUAUAAUCAGUGGAUAUCGCUCAUUUUGAGCAAACAUUCAGUAUAAUCAAUGGAUAUAUGUAACACCCCUAACCCAUAUCCAUCGCAGGAACUGGGUUAUAGAGCAUUACCGGAGUUUAUAGAUCAAACAGAUAGAAAUUUCAAACAUUUCAUAUCAUCAAAAUAUAUCAUCAAAGCAUUAUUCAAAUCCAAAUUAUAAACAUACCAAAUUCAAUUCAUUUUUCCAUGUACAUAAGCACUUAAACAUCAACUUAAUUUCACAUGCACAUAUCUAGAUUUGGUUUAAUUUACCAUGCCAUAAUAUGGCUUCAAAAACAAAUACAUGUUUAUAUAUAUACCAAACCAAUAUUAAAAUUAUAAUCUUAUUUACAAUCAAUCUACAAAAUAACUAUUAUUUAGACACCCUAGGUACAUUCUGACACAAAAGAUAGAUAUCGCCACAUUUGAGUUCAGGAUCAUUGUUGAAUGCUGAAUCGGCGAUCAAAAAGUUAAGUACCUAACCUGCGCAUGGAAAACAAAAUCGUACGCUAAGUAAAACUCAGUGGUAUUUCUAUAAUUCGAAUAUUUAAAGACAAUAGAUUACAAAUGUAUAAUUGAAAUAUAGACACAUAUUAAUAUUUUAAAAAAAAUUACAACUACCAUAUGUCAACUCUUUGAAUUCAUACAUAAUAGCAUAUCAUAUUUCAUUUGUUUCACAAAUAUCUCAAUUCUCAUACUUACUAUAUAAAUAGCUUCUCACAUUUGAUUCACAUUUCAUUCAAACAAUGGCAUUAUUAAUUCCAUAUUCAAUUCAUCAGUAUAUAACUCAUAUAUUCCAUGUAUUUAAAACAUAUUUCACAUUUUAUUUUCAAUUCACUAUAUCACUUCCAUUUCUCAUACCAUGUCAUUUCAAUAUCAAUUAUAGAACUUUAUUAUUUAUUUACCCCUAUUAACACGACUCGGACGAAUACACGGAUCCAACCAACAUACCAGUUUGGCACCAAGUGCCUCAUCAGAUAAAUCUGAAGUAAUAACCGCGCCCAACGCUAUAUAAAUUUGACACCCAAUGUCUCAUCAGUUAAACUGAAAUAAAUUGGCACCUAGUGCCUCAUCGACUCGAAGUCAAAGAAAUCCCUGAACUCUUCCUAUCCUAUGGUAUGCCAUUUAUAUCCGACUCAGCCCGAUAUAGUUAAUAGGGUUCCAAUUCACUUUCCAAAUACAACCAAUAAACAAUUAUCAUAUUUGCACAUUAUCACAUUUACAUAUAUAUAUAUAUUCAUAAUAUAUAUAUCAAUUCCAUCCAAUUCAAUUCAAUCCAAUUCAAUUCAAUUCAAUAAUCAAUACAUUCAAUAUGUAUCUACCAUUUCAAUCAAUUAUCAAAUGUCAAUUACUCACCUCAAUACUUACCAUAUACAUUAAAUUGAAUUAUAACAAUUAACAACUAGGUUUAUAGAAAUACAAAUCAGAAAUUCCGAGCUCUUCGACUUUAUAUUUCCCCUUUUUAGUCGAGGAUUCCGAUACGACAUUAGCUACAGAAUUAAAACAAUUAAAAUUCAUCAAUAUAACACAAUUCAAUUUCAUAUUGAAUAUUUCAAAUUUUUACUCAAUAUUUUCCUAUUUUUCAAAUUAGUCCCUAAAGCGAGACUAAUUUUUAUUCUUCACAUUUAAUUCUAUAUUUUCAUACAAAUUCCACUUUAAACUAAAUUUAACUCCAUAUUUUUACUUAAAUCCAUAAAUUUUGAAUUUUUCACAAUUUAAUCUCUAUUACUCAAAAUUUACAAUUUAUUCUUUGAACUUUGAACAAUUUAAAACCCUAGCAUUGCGUCUUUCUCCUUUCUUCUUUCUUUUUUUCUUUUUCUUUCUGGUUCGUAUGGCUUUCUUUCUUUUUUAUUCAAUUCUUUUAAUACUUUUGUUUUAUUAUACAUUAAAUUAUUAUAUAAUACAAUAUAUAUACUUAACAAUAAGAUUUCGUAUUAUAAUAUAAUAUAUAAAUUAAAUUUACAUAUCAUAUAUAUCACUAACCGUUCCACUCAAAAAACAAUGGUAAAAUUUCUUCUUUAGUCCCUUUAAUUAUUCUUUAAUCUAAGAUCUAACUUUCACCCUAUAUGCAAUUUAGUCCUUACACCUAAUUACUCUUAAUUCAAGUAAAUUCACUUAAUCGAAACCUAAUUAACUACACAAAUAGCUUCGUAAGUAUUUAUUAAAAAUGUUUAUGAGUCCGAUUUACGGGAACAGAAUCCCGAGAAUGCACUUUUUUUCAAUUUAGCCCUUUUUAAUUAAUUAACUAUCAAAACAUUAAAAUUUCUUAACGAAACUUUAAUACCACCUUAAUGACACUCCGUAAAUAUUAUAAAUAUUUACUGCUCGGUUUAUAAAAACAAGGUCCCGAUACCUCAUUUUCUAAAACCACUUGAACUUAAUAAAUCACUUAUAUAACAUAAAUUAUCAAAUCAAAAACCUUUUUAAAAAUCACACUUGUCUCGUAAAUAUUAAAUAAUAAUAUUUACGAACUUACUCGUUGGAUUUGGUGGCCCCAAAACCGUUGUUUCUGACACCACUAAAAAAUGGGCUGUUACAAUAUCGUUCGUUUGAACAACUUUCAGUAUAUUCAAUAGACAUUGCUCUUUUGAGCAUGUUCAGUAUAAUUAGUAGAUAUUGCUUGUUUGAGCAACUUUCAAUAUAAUCAGUAGAUAUUGCUCUUUUAAGCACAUUUAGUAUAAUCAGUAGAUAUUGCUUAUUUGAGCAACUUUCAGUAUAAUCAAUAGACAUUAUUCUUUUGAGCACGUUCAAUAUAAUCAGUAGAUAUUGCUCGUUUGAGCAACUUCAGUAUAAUCAGUAGACAUUGCUCUUUUGAGCACGUCCAAUAUAAUCAGAAGAUAUUGCUCGUUUGAGCACAUUCAGUAUAAUAAGUAGAUAUUGCUCAUUUGAGCAUAUUCAGUAUUUAAUCGAUUCACGAUGCUGCUCAUAAGAGCUUCAAAGUGUCCACAACACAUGCAGGACCUCAAGCCAUCGUUACUGUCCAUAUCACCGACUCAAAGCCUGAUUGUAAAUCACCUACCCAAGGCCUGAUAGAUAAUUCGUAUUCCAUUUUCGUUUUCAACAUCAUACCAUUGUACAAUAUAACAUUUUAAAAAAUUAUAUUAACAUAGAAUAUAUAAGAAUUAACAAAAAUAUAAUAAAAGUACGAACUUACAGAAUUGAUUUGUAGUAAGGGCUCACCGUAUCUCAAUCAAUGAUUGACGUAAUAUCAAUUCAUUAUUUCCAUUUUCAAUUACACACAUCAAUAUAAUCUAACAUUAUGAAAUUAGAUUAAUAUAUUACAUUUAAAAAUUGUACUAAAAUUGGACCGAACGAACUUACCAGACUAACUGCAGCAAUAAUGGAAGUUCAGAAACUAUUUAGUAAUUUUCUCUUUUCCUCGAUUAUUAGCUUGUCCUUGAUCAAAAUAAUAAUUUCAUUCAAUUAUAAAUUUCCAGCAACAUAAUUAACUAUUUUAUGCAACUAAAUCCUUUUUGACAUUUUUAUAAAAUUACCCUAACAUUUUACUUUUAUGCAAUUUAGUCCCUAAGCUCAAAACUUGCAAUUUAACUAAUUUUAAUCUAAUUUAAAUUCAGCUGAAUUUUAUAGGGCCCCAUACAACCCAUAAUUUAUGUCAUUUCACAAAAAUUUCCUGUAAUUUUAUCACUUUCACGAUUUAGUCCUUAAACAUUAAAAUUAUCAAAAAUUAAUUUACAAAAUAGUCCUAUUUAACAUUCAAGCUUUAUAAUCUACAAUAAAACUUCAAGAAUAUCCAAAACUCAUCAAUAGCAUAAUCCAUAAUUUUUAAGCAUUUUGAAAACGGAGAAACGGUUUAGCUGGACCUAGUUGCAACGAUCUUAAAAACAUAAAAAUUACAAGAAACCAAUUAAAAUUGGCUUACCAAAUUGAAGGACAAGCUUGGCCGAAGCUUCCUUCACCUCCAACAAUUGUGUUUUGGCUUUUUUGGGAGGAGAAUCAAAGAAAUUACAUUGUAAUUUAGCUUUUAUUUUAAUUAUAAUUCAUUUAUUUACAAAAUUAUUAUUAUAACCUUUUAAUUAUAACGUAUAUAAUUUAUAAAACAUAUCCAUAAAUGUUCGAUAUACAAUUAUAUGGUAUAAAUACCAUCCAAGAAAGGUUUGAUUGCACAAUUAGUCCUUUAAUUGUUUCAAAUUAUUGAUUAAUUAAGUUUUAUUUCAAUUUAACCCUAAACUAAUUAAAACUAAAUGAGAAAUAGCCCAAAAAUUAGUGGAUUUAAUAAUGUCACCACCGCUUGGACUUUUUGACUAUGGUUUAAUCACCAUUUUGGUCUAUUUAGUAGUUUAAAUCCAUAGCAAUUAACUUUUACCUCUUUUACAAUUUAAUUCUUUUACCUUAAUUAAGCAAUUAAUCAUAAAAAUUACCGGACCAAACUUCAAUUCACCUAUAAUAAGACUCUAUAAAUAUUUAAUAAAAAUAUUUUUGCUCUUAAAUUAUAGAAACGAGGUCCUAAUACCUCGUUUUCAAUAACCACUUGACUUUUGAAUCGAACCACCUAUACUAACUUUUAAUUCUGUUAGUUAAAAUCCCUCAAAUUAAAAUUCAAUAUAAAAAUUAUUGUUGACUCAUAUAAUUUAAAUACUAAUUAUACGAACUCACUCAUCAAAUUUGUGGUUUCGAAACUACUGUUUUCAAUUCCACUGAAAAACGGGUUGUUACAAUUGCAAUCACUAAAACAUAAUUGUUUAUGUCCGAUUGGUCCCUCCGCUAUCACAACAAAAGCUCGACUAGAAUGCAUUUGAAUCAGAAGAAAAUUUUAGGACUUUAGGAAUACUUUAAUUGAGUUGAUUUAUUCAAUGUGUAAUUAAAUUAGGUGGUCGUGAGAAUUGUUCAACUAGAGAUGAUGAGUCAUGAAACUAACUAAAAAUACGAUAAAGGCAAGUGCACCUAUUGAUAAAUAGUAUAGCAACGGUGAAUAGAGAUAUCGUAUCCACGAAGACUAAAAGUACUAGUAAUUACGGUUUUCCUAUUAUUUAACUGACAAAUUGGAGUGAUUGGUUUAAGCUAAAAUCUACUAAAUUAAUUAAUUAAAGAACUCAACAAAGAAUAAAACAGGAAAAUAAUUAAAUAAUAACUAAGAAGCUAAACAAUACACAGGAAAAAAUCUACCUAAACUUCAUCUAUCAUUAUAAAUCUGAAUUAAACGAUUUAUUCACUUGGUAUCUUGAUAUGUAGAAAUCCCUAAAUUAUGCUAAUAUCUCUUUCGAGAGUAAAAGCAAUUGGCUCUAGGUUGAUUAAUUGAAAAUUUUUUCUAAUUAAAACCCUUAUUGUCGCAUUAACUUUAUUUAUGAAUCCUCCUAUUAGAUUUGACUCUAAUCCGGUAGAUUUAUAUCAUCCUAUUUCUAGGAUUGCAUGCAACUUCACUCAAUUAUGCUAGAUCUACUCUUAAACAGGGACUUUUCCUCCUCUGAUUUAAUCACAUUAAACAUGUAUUAAUAUUCAGGAAAUAUUAAAAAUAAGAGAUAAGCACACAUAACUGAGUACAAAAAUCAAGUAUUUAUCGUGUAAAAUAGAAAUCAAAUAAUAGAAUUCAUCAUAGGAUUCAUCUUCCCUAGGUAUCUAGAGAUUUAGUUCAUAAUUGUAAAUAAAAAUAUCUCAAAGUCAAUAUAACCACUAGAAAUAAAGAAACUCAUAAAAACUUCAAAGAAAUUAACAGGAGGUUUUCAAUCUUUGAUGGAAAUCUACUUUAGAGUUGGCUUCAAUGGUGUUUUGCGAGUUGUUUUCUUCAAUACACUCUAAUGGCUCCUGAUUCUUUUCUUCUAUUUGGCAUUUAUAGACUUUAGAAUGCCCGAAAAGCCUAAAAAUUAUGUUUUUCAGAGUGUUUGGGAUGCGAAUCGCGAAAUCGACACAGUCUGGCACAUGGCUGUGUGUCCAGCCCGUGUGGCUCCUUAAAUAUGCUCUAUUUGUCCGAUUUUAGCUGAUUUUUUGCUCUCAAAUGUUCUCAUAAGUAUAGAAACAUGAAUUUAAAGGAUUAGGAGCAUAAAAUUCACUAAUUUGCAUAAAUAAUCAUCCAAAAAAGCUUUAAGAACAGGAUUAAAAUAUGUUAUUUUUAUCACUUGUCAAGAGAAUUUGAUUAAAGAAUUUUCUUGAAAAUUUAAUUUGAAAAAUCUAAGUGAUUUUUGGAAAAAUUAAUUUUGAUAAAGUAAAAUUAAAUUAAUCAAAUCAAUUAAAAUUAAUAUGAUAUUUUUGGAAAUUAAUUUUCAAGUCAAACAAUUGGCCCAAUGGGUAAUUGAACUUAAAAAUUGGACCUGAGAUCGUAAAUUGGGUCUAGGAGCUCAAAAUCGAAACCAAUAUCCAAAAAUUGGUCGAACCAGACCUGAUAUGUGAAACUGGACCAACGGUCUAACUGGUGGUUAGACCAAACUGGUCAAAUCGUCAUUGACUCGAACUGAACCAACAGCAGCCGAAUCGACUUAGGGUGCCGUAAGAGUGCUGCACCUGCGUCACCAGACACAACGGUGUUAGUGGCUGCGAUGGCAACGUCCUGGUGGUUGGCGACGGUUGGUCGUCAAUGGUUGAGCAGUGAAAGAGUUACACUCCUAUUGGGACUCUACUAGAGCAUUUGAUUUCAAAAUAAUUAUUCCAAAAAUAAUAUUAUUUUAAUAGUUUAAUAUUAAAUUUAAUUUAAUACUUAUCUAAAUAGUAUUCUAUUAAUUUAAUAUUAAAGUGAUUAUCUUAAUAUUAAAUUUAAUUUAAUGUUUAUCUUGUAGAUAAAUAUUCUAUUAUUUUAAUAAGAUUUAAUAUUAAAUUUAAUCUAAUAUUUAUCUUAAUAAACAUUAUAUUAAUUUAAUAUUAAAGUCAUUAAGUUUAAUCAUAGUUAAACUCUCUAAACUCUCCCUAUAUAAAGAGGGCCUUGAGUCAUUAUUUACACACACUUGAAUUCAAGAGAAAGUUGUAGAGAGAAAAUUCUUUAAAGAGAUUAUUCUAGAAAAUUUAUAGAGAUGUUUUUCUAAUUUACAACUUGACCCAAAAGUUUAGAGAAAUUGCAAAAUUACCUCACUGGUAGGUUUUGUGAAAAUUUUUCUAAUUUGAAGCGAGCCUACACUCGGCAGACGUGAGCUUGAGGAUAGCGUAGAAGACUACUUGGUCGAAGCGCUCAUCCUAGAUGAACCGAAAAGGUAAAAUUUUGAUUAAGUGUUUAUUAUUUUAGAUAUCACAACCAAGAUCUUGUUUUAGAAAAAAAUUAAAACUUUGGUUUUUCCCUAAAUUUAUUUUCCGCAGCAUUUUUCAAACUCGUUUUUUCCAACAUGAGCAUGUAAUCUUUUGUUCUCUGAAGAUAUCUCAUAACCCUAUUGGCUAUUAUCUAAUGGUUCAUACCAAGAUUGCUUAAAUAUCUGCCUAACAAUGUACGCAAUGUCCGAAUGCAUACAUACUUAAGCAUACAUUAGACUCCCCACUCUUGAGACAUAAUGAACCUUGCGCAUUUCUUUAAUCUCAAAAUAAUUAUUAGGGUAUUGGUCGAGACUUAACUUAUUAUUGACAAGCAAUAUGUUAUUAACAUAUAAAACCAAAUAUAGAAUCUUACUCCUGCUGAACUUUUGGUAUAUAAAAUUAUCGACCAAAUUCAUCUCUAAACUAGAUGAGAUAAUCAUUUGGUAAAAUUUGUAAUACUAUUGACGGGAAAUCUGCUUAAACCUAUAGAUGAAGUUCUUUAAUUUGCAAAUUAUUAACUUUGCAUCAUCAGACACAAAAUUUUUUAGUUGCUCCAUAUAAAUGUAUGACCAAUGUUACCAUUGAAAAACCAUUAACUUAACAUUCAUCUGAUGCAGUUUAAAGUCAAAAUAAUUCACUAAAGCCAUUAUAACCUUUUCUUUAGUGGACCUUCUUAAUGACAUUUGUUUUUGAGGCUGUUGAGUUUGUUCUUCUAGAACAAUUACCUCAUCUUGAAUAGGGAGUUAUUCAAUAGUGUCUUAUUGAGGUUCUAGAUUCACUUCUUGAUCAAUGAUAGGUAUGAGAACCUGAACAUUGUCAAAAGUGAUAACAGUAACUAAGUUAAAAUCCAAUUCAUCCUCAAAAGUAACAUCUCUAACCUUAUUUCUCCUCCCAAACUCAACAUCCCCAAAAAUGGUGCAGUUUUCAUAUAAAAAUAUUCCUAAUUAUGGUUGUCUUUAGAGGCACUGUCCAAAUGAACACUUUCAGCCUUAUCAUAUUUCAACCUUUCUUCCUCUUGCACACAAUGAGAAAUGGGUUCAUUUAGAGUCCAUUGCUCCUUUUGACAGUUGUAACUAAUUUUAAAAUGGUUAAAAUAAGCAAGAAGCAAUACCAAAACCAUAAGAACAAACAAUUCCUUAAAAAGCUUGAUUUUAAGUACCUUAAGUCUUGAAGCAACAUGGAACAUCUCCAUAAUGUACUCCCUCAUGUUUCAUUGACUCAUAUACUUCAUAAACAUCAAAGAAGUCAGAAGUGAUGUCAUCUCAACCUUAUCAUUUUUAACAAUUUCUCAAUUUCAUCAAGGAAACCCUUGGCCUGAGUAAUCUCUUCAGAUUUUGUGCCCCUAAAGGCUUCUGGAAUGUUGGGCUUCAUGAUCAUUAGACUCAUGCGAUUUGAAUGAUCCCACAUCUCAAAAUAGCUUUUAGUAUCAGGAGGCUUUCCGUAUUGAGAGGUGCGGGUUGUUCUUCCCUUAGUGCAAUACCUAUGUCUAUAUAACCAAGCACUAUAAGUUCCUUUUCAAUUCCUUGAAAUUAGUCCCAUUAAGCAUGGGUAUAGAAUUUAUAUUAGCAGAUAUUAUGGCAGCAUAAGAUGAACUAGUUAAAUAUGGAACAAAAUAGAUAAAAACAAGCUCACAUGAAUAUUCAUAUCCAUAAGUAAACAAUAAAUUCAAAAUAGUGGCUUCAAUUCCAAGAUGCCGAACACCAUUAAUAUCAAGUCUUUGGACAAUAAUAUUAAAAGGAAGCGUUACUCUUUUUGUAGCAAUCAAACAUUAACAAUAAAUUAUGUCAAACAAUGAAUCAAUUUUUGGACUAACUUAUUGCUCACAUAAAAUACCUAAUAAUUGUCACACAUUUAUCACCACAGAUGUGUUGAAAUUCUACCAAAUAUUAACUUACCUUUGGUUCAAUUAAUAAACUCAUGAAUCACAAAAACAUAUAAUCAUCUUGAUAUUUUAAAUAAACUAAUCUACGUAAAAGAUGUCACUUUGGUGGCAUUUUGUUUCAACUAAUCUAUUUAAAAUAUUAGACAUCCUCAAUUAAAUCCUAAAGCCAAAAUCUAAAUUUAUUUGUUUCAAAAUAUUUCAAAUUUAAACCAAAAUAAUUUGAAUAAAGAUAAAUCUCAUCUCAAUAUAUCAGACACUUCAUUAAUAUUUCAUCUUUGGAUAAAAUAUUAACUUGUAAGUGAUAUCUGAGUAUAGUAGUCAAACACUGACAAUUAGAAAUUAUUUUUUAUUUUAAUUACUUGUAUUUUUAGCUUGUAAAUAGGCUUAGCUAACCACUCAUAUCAUCAUAGGGUGAAAUAUAUUUUUCAUGUGAAAUUGUGUUAAUUUUUUGUGAGAUGUAAAGAGUAUUUUGAGGAUUAACGUGAUUUGACUCAUAGGUUUUUUAAGUUUAUUACUUUCUAAGUGUUUCGAAACUUCAAGGUUUUCAACAUGAAAGAACUGAGUAAUAUUUGCUAGAAAGUUGAGCAAUGCCAAAAAUAGUGAUACAAUCAAUACCAAUUGCUUUAGGCGCUGAUGAAGAACAAAGAUGAACACAAUAAUAUGUUUACGCAGUUUGAUUUUCCUCGUACAAGUGAUUACAAGUUCUGGCCCUUAUCAUAUUAGCAAUCUCAUUAUUGCACUUAAGAUUUGUAUCACUCUCCUCUAAGUUUUUAGGAACUUAGACUGAAAACAAAGUAAUUAACUUAUUUUUAAACUCAAUGCACUUACGAUUACAAGUUCUUUAUUUAACAAAUAAGUGCUAAAAUUCUUUGUACAAAACCUAUACAAAUCUCAAGUGUAUAAACUAAUUUCGAUUUGCUAACAUACUAGAUCAAUUACAAUCAAUCUCUCCCAUUAAACUAGCAGGAUAAUAAGCUCAGCGAAUAUCUUCAAUAAGUCCAAGAUAAGUCUUCAAUAUUCAAAAUCUAAUCAAAUCUCUACAAAACAGGGAAGUCAAUUUGCUUGAUCUAAUCCAAACCAAUCUUUAAGAUGUGUUCGUAUAACAGGUUUGGAUAUCGUAAAUGAGCUUACACACGUCCAACCUAUAACAGAUCUGGAUAUCAUAAAUGGGCUUGCACAUGUCCAACCUAUAACAGAUCACUCUUAUUUCUUUGCAUUUAAUGCUCACACUUGACAACACACACCUAUUAGAAGUUCACCAAUUAUUUGUUAUUUCUCCUUGCAUUUUAAAGAGUGUAGUUAAGGGUUUUUUAGAUAUAAAACCAUAAGGAAUUAGAUAAGUUCCAAUUGAGCCUUUAUAAAAGUUAAAGGGUUUUUGCUAAGAUAUAAAAAUUAGCAGAAAAGUUUUAUAUUAGACUUAUUAAAAAAUAUAGGGAUUGUAAACAAUAAUACAUUUUUCUUAGAGUACCAAGGUAGUGGAGGUAGACAAUUAAGGAUGAACCACUAUAAAUUGAUUGUCCAAUAUUUUCUUUCUUUUUAACUCUUUUAUUUUAGAAAACUUUAUUGAAAUUUUAAAAUAAUAAUUCAUCUUUCUUAGUAUUUUUAGGCCUAUCAAAAUAUAUGAAGAAACUAAUUAAUUUUUAAUAAUUUUGCAAGGGUUUAAUUAAUUUUUUCUAUAUUUUCCAAUGAGUUUUUUUAACAUUUAAGCCUAAAAUUUUUAAAAAUGAUUAAACAUUAUGAAAAUGAUUUUAAAAUUUAAAAUUUAUUGCAAAUUUUUUAAGAAUUACAAAAAGUUAUAAAAAUUAAAAUUAUAAAAUUUAUCAAAAAUAAAAAAUGUUUAUAAAAAAUUAAUAUUUUAAAAAAUAAAAAAUGUUUAUAAAAAAUUAAUAUUUUAAAAAAUAAAAUAAAUAUAAAUAAGUAUAGAUACUUGUUUUAUUUUACAAGAGUUUUUGGUUUCAAUAAUAAAAAAAUGAAAAGAAUGAAAUGGGAUAUCAAUCAGUCUUACGUGUAUCGUAGACCUGUCCAUGGGCCGGGCCGGGCCGGGUUCAGGCUGGGCCCAGAAAAAAUUUUCGGCCCGACUCUUAGGCCCGGGCCCAGCCCGGCCCAAAAUAUGGGCCUAAAAUUUUGCCCAGGCCCGGCCCGGGAAAAAAAGAAUAAGCCCGACCCGGCCCGGCCCGAUUUUUAAUAAACACAAAAAAAUAUUUUAAAAAUAAAAAAAUAAAAAAAGUUUUAAAGUAUUUUAAAAUUAAAAAAUAAAAAUAAAAAAUAUAUAUUUAUUAUAUUCGGGCCGGGCCGGGCCGGGCUCGGGCUAAAAAAGUUGAGCCCAAGCCCAUAUUUCGGGCCUAUAUUUUUACCCGAACCCUCCCAUAGGCCCAUGGACAGGUCUAGUGUAUCGAUCAGUCUUACGUGGAGAGUUGAGUGAGAGGUUUGAAUGAUGAUGUGCUUAGUGCUUGGAACAAUUGUUAUGGUUGAGGAAUUGUGAUUCAAUUGAGGUCUAUGAAUUAGAGCUGCUCAGGGGUUGGGCCGGGCCCAGAAAAAAAUUUCGGCCCGGGCCCGGCCCGGCCCGAAAUAUGGGCCUAGAAUUUUACCCAAGCCCGGCCCGAGAAAAAAUUCAUAAGCCCGGGCCCGGCCCGUUUUUUAAAUAAAUACCAAAAAUUUAUUUUAAAAAUUAAAAAAUUUAUUUUAAAAAUAUUUUAAAAUAAAAAAAAAAUAAAAAAGUAUUUUAAAAAUAUUUUAAAAUUAAAAUUUUUUUUAAAAAAGUAUUUUAAAAAUAAAAAAAUAAAAAAAUUAUUAUAUUCGGGCCAGGCCGGGCCGGCCCGGGCCAAAAAAGUGGUGCCCGAGGCCCGGCCCAUUUUUUAAUCGUGCCUUAUUUUUUUUGCCCAAGCCCAUAUUUCGGGCCUAUAUUUUUACCCAAACCCUCCCAUAUUUUGGGCGGACCGUCAGGCCGGGCCGGGCCGCCCGGCCCAUGAGCACCUCUACUAUGAAUCAUGAUUUGUAUCAAAUUAAGUACAAUUUUUGAAGGAUGGACUUAAUUGAUUUUUUAAUUAUUUUCAAAAGGCUUACUUGACAUUUUAACCAAUAAUAAUAAUAAUAAUAAUAAUAAUUAAAGUUGAAACAUUUUAUUGACAAAUUAUAAAAAUCUGUCCAUUGUUUUUGAUUUUCUCUCACAGAUCCAUCCUUCCGUCCCUUGGAAAUACAAAGGACUUCUCUGCUAUUCUCAAUUUUUAUCCUAAAACGCUUAAAAAAAAAAACCAACUAAAAAGAUGGCGAGGAGACCGGACGAGGAAUACGAUUACUUGUUUAAGGUAGUGCUAAUCGGCGAUUCUGGUGUUGGAAAAUCUAAUUUGCUUUCUCGAUUUACUCGGAACGAGUUUUGCUUAGAAUCUAAAUCUACCAUCGGCGUCGAAUUCGCCACCCGCACUCUCCAAGUAAUAAAUCUCCCCUUUUUCUGCUCUUUUUUUUCGUUAAUUUAUUUGUAUAUCUGUAAUGAAGUGUAAUUUUGGUUUACUUUGGAUGCUUGGAUUUAGAUCAAUUAUUUCCCGUUCUUAACGUGCGGUAGAUCUGAUUCGUUCGUUGUUUAAUCGUUCUUUUUAAUUUGAAUUUCAACUGCUUUACUUUCAAAAAAAAAAAAAUUUCUCCAGUUUUUUCUUGAAUGUAUGAUAUUUUAGAUUGAGCCAAUCAGUGAUAUAGUAUUUGAAAGAAAAUGGAGUUCACUCCUGAUUUUGAUAAUCUUUAGUAUUGAAUUGUGUUGAAGCUAUGUGAGACAUGAAUAAAUAUGUAAAAAUUUUCUUUGAUUGUGAAGGAUUUGAUAGACGCCUAUUUGGCGGUGGAUUUGAAAUAACUAUAUAUCAUUAAAUAUUUGUUAAUUAACUGAAAUGAAAUUAGGUGGUUAUCUAUUAAAAUAUAUGUAGUUCAUUUGCACGAUCUCAUCAGUUCGGACAUUUGAAUCAAGUUUGAAUUUUAGAGUCUAUUUGAAUCCGCUCCCGGCCCGAACAGAACUAAUCCUAGAUUACAAAACGAAUGAUGAUACUUGUGGUUAUACCUAAAAAAAAAAGGUUGUGGCUGCCAUCGGAUUAGGUGGCCGCUGGUGAGUUUAGUCAUGAGUUAUCAGCCCUUAUAGGGGAUGAUUAAAGGGCAACAGGUUCCUGGCUAUGCCAAUCCAUAUUUCUUGAUGGAAAAUGUGCGAGUUUUCUUGGUUAACUGAUAUUUAUGACUAAAGGGUAUCUUUUUAAUACCAAAAAUGUUGAAUGGUGGAAUAAGAUAUUAGCUAAAUUUAAUUAUUAUAAAUAGACAUUUUAGUUCUCGUAUGAAAAUAACUGUAAAAGCUGAAAAAUAAUACAUUGUUAUUUGUACUAACUUGGCUGUUAUGAUCAAACAAGGUUGGAAAUGUUCAUCUAAAUCCAAAGUCGCAACCUUUUAAGAGCUGAGUUGCACACAUGUCAUGUUAUUUCGCUCAGUCUACUUGAUGGCCUACCUUGUUACAACUAAUCUAACAUAAAGAAGUUUAGAUUUUAGUCUUUUUGUUUCUCUCUUGUCGGAAAUGACUGAAAAUGUGGAGUUGGUCUUUUUUACAGAGAGAAUAUAGCUAAUGUCCAUUUCUUGGAGAAAGCCUCGAAUGCGUUUCUGGUCUCUCUGUUUGCCUUUUCCCCUGCGUGUUAGGCAUGAGAAAUACGGUUACGGGUCUGGUUGUUAUAAGUUAAAUGUUCUUAAUACAGCUUCUUUCAGGUUGAAGGGAGGACUGUGAAAGCUCAGAUAUGGGACACUGCUGGUCAGGAACGGUACAGAGCAAUAACCAGUGCUUACUAUAGAGGUGCUCUUGGAGCUCUUCUGGUGUACGAUAUUACCAAGCCAACGACUUUUGAAAAUGUGAGCCGAUGGCUGAAAGAACUCAGGGACCAUGCAGAUUCUAACAUUGUAAUUAUGAUGAUUGGGAACAAGACUGAUCUGAAGCAUCUCCGAGCAGUUGCCACAGAGGAUGGUCAAAGCUAUGCCGAGAAAGAAGGCCUUUCAUUUAUUCAGACAUCUGCACUAGAAGCAAUAAAUGUUGAGAAGGCUUUCCAGACCAUUCUGUCUGAAAUAUACCGCAAAAUUAGUAAGAAGUCACUUUCUUCAGAUGAGCCAGCACCAGCAAGUAUUAAAGAAGGGAAGACCAUUGAUGUUGGAGCACCCGAAGCCAACACCAAGAAGGCUUGCUGCUCAUCAUCUUGAACAUGUUACAAUUUUCAUUCCUUUCUUUUGUGUAAUCAAUGUGUUGUAUUGUCAAGACAUUCUUGUUGUUUCUAUUACGUUAUUUUGUAUCAUUACAAACAUUUGAAUUAUUCAUGUUCUUGUGUUGUUGCAAGUUAUUGAUUAUUUUGACAUGGCUGUAAUUACCAUCUCCUCUGUUAAUGAUCUUAAGGGGGGUAAUAAUUUUCGACUGUUUCAGAUACCGGGAUUUUAUCAUCAUUUUUGUGAAGGCUUACAGGUUAAACAUUGAAGGUAUUGCACCCACUAAUCCUCAGUUUUGUCACUCAUGCAUUUCCUGUGGUUUGAAUCUUUUUGUCCUCGUGAACACCAGAAUAUCAGGAAUUACUAAUAAUGGUUCCUGCACUCAAGUUCAGUACUUCCAACAUUUUGUUUUUCAGCAAAUACGGUAUAUAAUCUAACGAAAAUAUAAGAUACAGAGGAACAUGCAUUGGUACUUCAACUUACACAGAAAAAGUUCAAGUAGGCAGCAUUUUAGUUUCUGAAACAUUCAUAUGAUAUGCAACAUGUUUACGAUCUAAAAGAGUUCCGGCUACUAGCCACAGCAAUUGUUCUUCUGUUCGAUCGGUUGUCCCUUCAUUUGAACAGUUCCGGCUGACUUGUUCCCAGUUGGCUGGUUACCCAUUCUACAUAAAAUUGGAUAGAAAACCAGAUAGGUAAACUUCGUAAUUAAAUAUAUGACAUAUAAAAGAACUAGAAAUAAAUAGAAAGUGGAGAUUUUAGACAAUAAAUAAUGUAAACAUCUUAUGAACGUCUGGUGAACUCCAGACUAAGCUAGCAAUGUGAAAUCAAUUAUCAGAAGCAUGAUCAUUACAUUAAAUACUCUGUGGUGCAUUACGAACCUAUUGGUGGGUGACCAUGACAAUUGUGACAUCUUACCAUAAACAACAUUCAUUUAAUAGCAAAUAGGUAAAAAGAUUAUGGAUUUUGAAAGGAAAAAAAAAAAGGAAAAGUACGACAGAGUGGAACUCAUUGUACUUUUUCUUAAUCUCGCCAGCCAUGGUUAAGAAAGCCUGCUCCACAUUGAUUGAAUCUUUAGCACUUGUCUCCAGGAAAGGAAUCCCAAUUUCAUCUGCAAAUGCCUGUAGUUCAAUGAAGAACAGAAUUGCAAAUUAAUAAAAUUAUGAUUUCCUGCAGUAAAUUAUAUUUAAUCACCAGCUGUAGAUUACAGUAGUGUAACCAAACUGUUAUCUUAUCCAUUCAUAACCAGCGAGAAAUUUCAAGAGGACCAAAAGCAUCUAGAAAUCUCAAAGAGAUUAAAAACCUUCAAGGAACACCCCGGGUAAACAAGACAAUUAACUGAUGAUAACUGUCCCAACAUAAAAAAUAACAAAACAAACCUUCGCUGUCUGCGUGUCGACAACCUUGUUCUCAACUAAAUCACAUUUGUUCCCAACCAGAAGCUUACAUACACUGUCAUUAGCAUAUCUGUCAAUCUCGUUCAACCACUGCUUGACAUUGUUGAAGCUCUCCAUCUCGGUAACAUCAUAGACGACCUGUUGUAAUACCAACAAAAGGAUUCUGAGACACUUAACAGGGUCAGAUAUGAAAUAAGAAAGUAAAAUGUUUAACAAUAAAAAUAUAUGUUCUAUGUUCUUUGACAUGCUAGGAUUUGAUUUUGACAAUUUUUUUUUUAUAAAUUUCAGGGUGUUCAAACAGCAGUAUGGACUUAUAUUCACCUAGCUGACCAAUGGAAUCAGUAAAUGGGAGGCAAUUAGCAAGAGCUACAGUGAACAUUUCUGUCACACAUUCCUGAUUGGAAAUAAAUUUACACACCCAAAAUAGAAAAUUCAAAACAGCAGUAAAAAGCCAAUAAUAUGUAUGUUUAGUAAAGCAGGCUCCUCCUCUUUCACCAAGUUGAGAAUUUAUAAAUAAGGUAGUUUUGGGCUCACAUUACAAUUAGCAUGACGCAAGAACAUCCAGAAUAUUGACUGCAAGUUAAUUAUAUUUGCAAGAAAGAAAAUGGAUAUCAAUUAGCAGAUAACCUGAUGGUCAUAUUUUCUUGAAACACAUCCCAAUACCCACCCUGAAGGUCUAGUUGGGAUAAAAUUUUAUGAUCUGAGAUCAAUCAGGUUCAGUUUCUUACUAUUAUCCCAUGAGCUCCUCGGUAGUAGCUGCUAGUAAUAGUCCGAAAACGCUCCUGUCCAGCAGUAUCCCACUAAAAGAAACAAGAGCAAAAUGUUACACAUUAAUAGAGAGCCAGUGAGAAAGGGGGAAAAACUUUUAGAGGAAAGUGAUGCAUGGCUCUUCCGUCACUAAUUUCUCCCAACAUUAGACAGCCAUGGUCAAACGUAAGAAAAGUAAUUAAAUUGGAUUAACUAAACAAACUUGUCCUACAAACACCUUCUUAAUGGCCACAACUAACAACUCCUGCAUCAGUUAUACAACUAAAGUCUCCAUUUCUGGGGUGAAAGUACUUGUGAAAUCCCUCUAUUAUAGGGACUAGACCAAAUUAAUCCCUAUACUAUUAAAUGGAUCAAUUUAAUCCCUGUACUGUUAAAAAGAAUCAAAUAAGGCCAAUUGCAAUAAAGUUAACAUUUACUGUUAAAAACAUAACAUGAAAAUUAUUUUUUAUCAUUUGCAAUUCAACUCCGGACAAAAUAUUUCAUUUGCAGAACCAUAAAAAGCUUUCAAAAUAGUAACUUUGUUAACAGUAAAUAACAAUUUCUAACAAUAAAUGUUAACUCUAUUGAAAUUUGGACUUAUUUGAUUUUUUUUAAUAGUACAAGGACUAAAUUGAUCAAUUUAACAAUAGAGAGACUAAUUUGAUCCAAUCCCUAUAAUAGAGGAACCCGCUAGGUACAUUCACCCCAAUUCCGGUGUAUCAAAAAUAAGUCAUUAGAUUAUGCAAGCCCUUCUUGGUAGGAAAUUGAUAUAUGGCACUAUCUUCUCUCAAUCAUUUACAACUAAACCAUCUAUAUAUAAAGCCAAACACUAGUAGCAGCCUUUAUUGACAGUUGGGUCAUAUACUCGUAUUCUUCUACCAAGACAAUAAUUUGACACGGGACUCUCGCAAGCCCAUAUGGCUUUCCUACAUGACAACAAAAUUAUAUAGGGUUGUAAAUUUAGCGACAUUCAAAAUUUUUUUGACCAUAAAUAACUUUGAAAGAAUGAAAAUAUCAGCUUAAAUUAAAGAAGAUUGGAAAUGCAUUGUAAUUGGCUUUGAAAAGUAAAUUACAUUUAGUAAAGAAACAUAUUAUACUCACAAUUUGCAGCUUGAUUGUCUUGCCGUCCAACUCCACUGUUCUGAUUUUCUGAAUAUAAACAAUUAGGUAAAUUAAUUUUCACAUUUUUAGCAGAUGAAAGUAUGAAACAACUUCCAUUAAAAAUAUUUGUCCAGCAACGAAAAAAAAACUCACGAAAUCAACACCGAUGGUACUGAUGUAGCUAUCCACAUAAGAAUCAUCCUGGGAAAAAAACAACGUAAAAAACACUUAAAAUUCAUAACCCUAAUUACUCUAACAUUAACCUUAAAAUCAAGUUCAUUACUCAUUCUUCUUCUUAAUUUACAACAAGAAAGAGGGGAAAGCCCAAAAGGCCAAAACCAAACCGACAAUGUAAAAAAUCGAAAAUAACAACUGAAAAGCAAUCUAAAGAAUAGUAAGAAAUUAAAAUUUACAGCAAAUCUGAGAAGCAAGCAGGAUUUUCCGACGGAGGAAUCGCCGAUAAGCAGAAGCUUGAACAGAUAAUCACUAAAAACCAACAAGAAAGAAAAGUUUUGAAAUGAAAUGUGAGUAGUAAUAUAUGGAAAAAUUACUGAUAAAUGGAAAGAGAAAAGGGAAGAGGAAAUGGUGGACUCACUAUUCGUUACUCAUGAUUGAAUCGAAAAGGGGAAAUUUUUUGAAACAAUUUCAGAGAAAGAGGAAGGGAAAGCUUUGGCCGUCACUCUAUCCCCUUCUUAUUGUAGACAAAUUAAAUAUUAAAUAUUCUUAUUUUUAUUAUAUAAGGGUAAUAAAACGUUCCAAAGGCUUUGAAAGCCUUCCAACAAAUUAUUAUAUACGGACACCCAUAAUCUGUAUGGUAAAGAUUACCUAUGCUAGUAUCUAUAAUUUUUCCUAAAUUGGCAUCAUACUCCCAUGCAAUUCAUACUCGAAUCAGGUAAGUCAUUCAUUCGUGAAUUUAAUCAGUUUCACGGGUCUAACUCAUUUAUAAGAUUCGAUUUAAUAAAUUAUUACAAAAUUUAUAAAAAUAAAAUAAUAUUUCAAAAAUAAAAAAAUAGUUUUAUUAUCGUUUCAAUCAAUUUAUGAGUUAAUCGAUCUGAUACCUCUCUUAAACUGGUUUCUCAACUGAUUUAAUAAAUAUGAUAGACCGAUUCGAUCUUGUUCAAACAACCAUACCUUCAAUUGAAUUCUAACCCAAUAGAGAAUUUAUAAAAAAAUCUCUCAUUUUUACAAAGUAAUAAAUAAUAUUUUGAGAGCAAUUUUAUUUUUUCAUAUAAACAAAAAAAAUAUUUACGCAUAAUAAAAUUUAAACCUAAAAUAUUAACUGCACGUUUGGUUCGCUGUAAUGGAAUAGAGGCGUAAUAGCAAUUCAAUUGUUUGGUUGAAUGCAAUGGAAUAGAGGCGUAAUAGUAUUCUUGUGUUUGGUUGAAUGGAAUAGAGGCGUAAUAGCAUAAGAAAAAAAUUAAAAUGACUAAAAUACCCUUAACAGAAUUUUUUUUAGGUAGAUGAUUUAUUGUUAUUGUUAUUAAAUUUUAAUAAGAUUAUUAAUAUAAAUAAUAAAUAAUUUAAUAAUAAUUUAAAUUAUUAAUAUAAUUUAAUAAAAAAUAUAUAAUUUAAUAAAAUUCUUAAUAUAAUUAUUCUUAUAUUAAUUUACUAAAAUCAUAAUAUAUAAUAAUAUAAAAAAAUAUUUAAUCUCAUUUAUUAUUUUUAAACCGAAAUACAAAUUUAAUGUGCUAAAACAUCAUUAGUGAAUCAAAUAAUUUAAUUAUUCUACAAAAAAAUUAAAAGUAAUAAAUAACUUGAAAAUUAUAUUUUGCAUAAAUAUAAUAUUCAAAUAUUAACAAACAUACCCUAAAUUAAAUUUCAUGUAUAAUUUUAAAAUUUACCCCAAAGAUUUAGUAUACUUCUUGACUUGAACUUAACAAUUAAGUUUAUUUUAGUACUUGUAUAUUUUUUGUCCACUUUAAUAAUUGAACUUGACAAUUAGAUAUAUUUUAAUAUUUGAACUUGAAAUAUAUAAAAUUUUAUUGACAUAACACUUUAAUAAUUGAACUUGACAAUUAGAUAUAUUUUAAUCUUUGAACUUGAAAUAUAUAAAAUUUUAUUGACAUAACACUUUAAGAUUGUCUCACAUCAUUAAAUUUGGACGGAAUAUAAAUUCAUAGUCAAAAUAGACCUACUUGUAAAGUUAGAUACUAAAGUAGACCCCAACAACAUAUAAGUAUCAAAACGAAACUAGCUCACAAAGCGAAACUUCUUAUGAAAGAAGAUAAACAAAUUGUGCUACUUGAAGGGAACAACACUGGCACUGGAAAAACAUUCCGUGGUUGAGGACAUAAAAUCUCUUAAGCACUGCGUCCAGGUUAUGAGCUACUCACAGCAACACAGAUCGCUGAGAAAUAGUGUGCCAAAUUACCUUUUGUAUCUCUUCUUGCAACCACAUGGACAAGGAGCAUUACGGCUCAUUUCUCCACUCUUUACCAUAUUAAACUUGGCAAGAUCCAAUGGUGUUGAACCCAUUAGCUUUUGCACCUGCAAAAGAAAAAAAAAUAAAACGAAUGACAUUUCCAAUGGAGAAAGAGAGAGAUGCAUAAACUAAUACUUGUCAUUGAUGUUUUAAACUGUGGGAGAAACAUUCAUCCGAACUCAAAUGCGAAUUUCAGCAACUGAAGAUGAAUGAAGGCAGACAUCUCAGUCUUUUAAGCAAUCUGGCAUUGAACAAAAAAAGCAUAACGUAGAUCAGCAGACCAAACAUCUGUAACUCUAUGUUAGUUCGACUCUUUCUUUUCCUUUAUGCAUCCAUGUUUGAUGCAAGCGUGGGACGAGAAUGAAUAUAGGGAGAUAAUCCUCUAAAAAUCCUCCAAAUACAUUAAAAAACUUGGACAAAAAAUGAACAUAACACACCCGUGUCAAACAUAUAUAUCAGACACUCAAACUAACUCCCCUACCUUCUUAGACAAAUAUCUUACUUGUCUUUCAAAUAGCUCAUCCUACAUUCAACAUCAUAUUCACCGAGUAGCAGCCAAAAGACAAAAAUACAUUAACUUAGAGAAUUUAAGAUCAGACAAAUUGAGCAAUAAGCAUAAAUACACUAGCUCAUACAUUUGUAUCAUUCAACAUAUGAUCAGCAAAAACAUAACUGAAAAAAACCAGUGGUGAACCUACCUCAGCAAAGUUCUUUGGCAUCGGCUUGCCUUCCUCUUUCAGCGUAACCAUCUUCUUAUGAACUUCUUUAGCCCAUGUGAACUUCGCAAGCGCAUUCUCAACAUCUAAUAAGGUACAUCUAAUAAGUUAGAUGUUAUCCCUUUCUCACUCUUAAAGUCACACUUUAUGACAGCAUGCUCAUUUGUGCCUUUGAACGAGUUACGAGCUUAUUACAUAAUUAACAAGAUCGAACAACAAUCACCAUUAACAUAAACAGAAUUCUACAAACAACUACCCCUUACACUAGCUCUUGAUUGCAAAAAAACAUAAUAUCCAUCUUAUAGACCAUAGUAUGAAGCAGGAGCAAGUUAAUUUCCCAUUUCCAACUUGUAAGGUGCUCUUGUACUCUUCAUUUUUCCAAAAAUAACCGUAUCGGAAACUUGUAUUUCAAGCAAUGUUCAACAGAUUCUUGGGCAUGGAUAUGACAUUAAUAUAUUCCAAAGAUUCCCAAAU
rnacentral:lncRNA from 1 species